rnacentral:lncRNA from 1 species
UCAAACAACAUGCCGCGUUUUUUUUUUUUUUUUUUGGUUUUCAGUUUUCUCCUUUAGAAGAAAAAAGAAGCAGAUUUGAAAAAUUGGAUCACCAUUGAUUCUAGGCAACGCAUGCACCCAUUUUUCAAGUUUUGUAACGUCCUAUAUACAAUAUUGAAAAUUCAGCCACAUUACAAAUCCCUUUUUUAAAAUACUAUGCAUUUUUUCUCAUUUAUUAAACACAACAUUUGAAAAAAUAAUGAAAGGUAACUGAAAUGAUUAUUGUAUAAAAGAAAUCACCAAUUUGAAAUGAUAUAGUUUAAAAAUAUAAUGUGAAGAACUUGAGUUGGAAAGGAGAAAAAGGUAAAAAGGUAAAAAGGGAGAAUAAGAAAUUGGAAAAGAAGAAUGAUUUUUUUCUUUUGGUUGUAGACAAAAAUGGAGUUUUUCAGUCUCAUAUUGGGAGGAGCUUCGGAAAGGCUGACACGUGUGAAAGUAUGAUUAAAGAAGGAAAAUAAAGAAGGCAAUCAAUCUGGUGGGUGGGUCCGAGUAACAACGUUCCAUUUUGUUGAGUUCCGUUCCCCCGUCCCCCACGGCGUCUAAACCGUGUGCGUGUGUGUGAGUGUGUUCAACGGUUACGGUCUAUGCCUUCUCAACCUGUCUUUUAGUCUCCACCCACUUCUUUCUCUGCUUAACGCCUUUCUUUCCCCUUUCCUUUCCCUUUCUUCCAACAUAAUUAUGUGGCCAACACAUUCAACUUCUUAACAUCAAAUACAUCUAUACAUAUCUUUCUUUUACCUUUUAGUUUUAAAUGUCCCGACCAUCUUUAUCACACUUACCCCAACAAUCAAUCUCCAAAUCAAAAUCACUACACCCCAAACAAUAUAAAACAAAAAGUUGAAUUGAAAAAUGUUGAAGCCUAAUUAAUUUUACAUUACAAAUUGAAUCCAAAUUACAAAUUGAAUCCAAAACACGAGCAAGACACAUUCAUUUCUUUUUUCAUGCUAUGAGCGACCAAAAUGUUUAGUUUUGACAAAAUAUUAAGAAUGUAUAUUGUCUCACAUCAAUUAAAUUAAAGAAUUGGGAUGUGUUCUAAGCUUAUAAAAGAAUUAGAAUGUCGUUUUAGAUUUUUAAAAAACGCUUUAAACUUAGUUAAUUAAACUUUCUUUGUAUUCUUUAGUUGGAGAGCAAAUAAUUGGAUGAGUAAUAAAAAAAAAUUUAGAUAAAGAUGUGAGUAAUGAAAAGUUUUAAGAUAGCACUGCUGUAAUUGAGAUUUAAAAAAAAAAUUGUUUUGUAUAAUUGUAACAAAUUUUUACACAGUUGGAUUUCUUUUUCAUGGGUUGUUGUAAAUUCUUGUGUUUUUAGUUUUAUAGUUUUCUUCUAAAUUUUUAAGCAUGUGGUUGAUUGAUUCCGGAAACAUUCUUAUAUUUAUAAAUAUUUAUAACCAUUUUUUUAAUUAUAUUUGAAAAUAAUUUCUUUUUUUUCUUUUUUUUCUUUUGUAAAUCUUUAGUUUUGUUUUCUCAAAUACAAUAGAUUUAAACGACAUGAUUACAUAAAUUCGUGAACAAGUUGUUUAAAAAAGUGAAAAAACUAAAAGUGCGUAAACAAAAUACAUGGUUGUUUUGAAAGUAGGUUAAAUUUAAAUAAACAAAAAAUCUGAGUGGCAUGAUUUUAUUAUUUAUUAUACAAACGUGAAAGCAUCUAAUAAUAUAUAUUUAUAAGUUAAAUCGAUUAAAAAGAGAGAGGUUUGAUAGGGUUUGUACACAUGACAUAACCAGUUUAUUAUGUUAUAAAAAAUUGAAUUUAAUAUGAAAUUAUUAUACUUUAGGAAAGAAAAUAAAACAUUAAUUUAAAGUAUUGAGUUAAUUAAUUAAUUGUAUAAAAUCAGGGAUAAAUGAAAGUAGGUAAAAGAAUUAGCUGUCAACGUGCACGUAAAGCAUUCCCAUUCUUUGGCUUAAAGCCAAUUUGGGACAUAAUAAUAAUAUACAACUUUCUUAAAACAAAUAAUUCCAUUCAUAUCAUUAAUAUAUAUAUAUACACACACAGUUUUUUAAAAAAUAAUAUAAAGUGAAUAAUAUGGGCUCCAAAUUAUUAUAUUUAUUAUAGCAAAAGAAAUAUCAAAUCUAUAUUUAGAGGUUUAACAGUGACUAUGAAACAAUUAAUUUUGUUGCCGUGACCAUAUCUUUAAUUCUUUUUCUUCAAAUACAUGGGCGAGAAUAAUAGAAUUUCGUGGUCGAGAUUUGAAAUGAUGAUUUGGUGUAUUAUUCAUUGAGUGAAGUUUAAAUUGUAUUUGGUAGUUUUACAAAAUUAAUUAUCUAAAAUUUGGCAACUAUUGACAUGUGCUGGGAACAUAUAUAUAAUUAGUAAGUAAUACAUAUGCUAUGCAAACAUUAGUAUGUGAGUGAGUUAAAUUGAUAAAAACUAAUUAAAGGUGAAUUUCGAAUGACCACAAAAAAAAAAAAAAAUUGAUUUUAAAAAAUCAUUAUUUAAACUUUUUUGCGUUAAAAAUGGUUUAAAAUUAAUUUUAAAUGAGUUUUAAAAACUAUUUUGAGUAAUUAUUAAACACAAUAAUUUUUUUUAUCAAAAUUAAUUUAUUUUUAAAAAUUUAACAAUUUAAAAGUUAAACGAGAUGUAUCAUAAAUACAAAAUUAAGAGUUUGUGCUUGAUUUGGUGACCAUUUUAGUUAUUAACUUUUAGAUUCCGAAAAUGAUCAAUUACACUUUUUAGAUAAUCAACCAAUUGUGUAGUUUUUUUUUACGAUGGAAAAAAAUUUCAAAGCUAAACGAUUCUGUUGACCACGCUAAACGAUUGUCAGCGAUCAUUUAAAUCAUAUCCACAUGAUCUUAUAGUUCUUUUUAAACGAUGAGAGAAAAGGGUUUCAAAUCUAAACGAUCAUGUUGAUCAUGCUAAACAAUUGUAAUGACUAUGGUAAACAGUCAUUUAGAUCAUAUCCACGCGAUCAUGUAGGGUUUCAAAUCUAAACGAUCGUACUAAUAAUGUUAAACAAUGACGUUGACUGUGUAAGCGAUCAUUUAGAUCAUAUCAAAGUGAUUUUUAAACAAUCUUGAUAUUCUGAAAUUAAAAGGAGUUAGAAGAAAUAAAGAGAAGAUGAAGAAAUAAAGAAAAAAAAUGAAUAAAAAUAGAAGAAAGAAAAUUUGGAAUUGGAGUCGAGGAAAUUUGAAAGAGAAUAUGAAUAAAUUUGGAAGAGGAACUAAAGAAAAUUGAAAGAGAUCAAUUAUUAAAUCACAAAAAAAGAAGAAGAAAGAGAAGCGACAAAUAUGAAAUAUUAAUAGUUUCAUGGGCUUUUCAUUUUCAUUUUUGUUACUCAAAUCGUAAAUAUUUUGGUAUUUUGUUACAUUUAUCAAAAUUAAUUUUUGCAAAAUUGUUUUUUUUUUAUAUAUAAUUUGAGCUAAAAAUUCAACUUUUUCUUCCUUAAGAAAUUUCAAAAUAUUUUUUGAUAAAUAGUGAUAAGAAUUCAAAAUUUUUUUGUUAAGAAAUAUCAAGAUAUUUGUGAUAAAUAAUGGAAAAAAAAAAAACAAAAGUUUUAAAAGAAAGAAGCCAAAAUUAUUUUCCAACGACACAUUGACCCUUAAAAAAAACUAAAUACUAAAUGGAUGCAACAAUGGAGGUCUAAAUAUGGAACUUUUAAUUUAAUAAAUGCUAUAUUAUUUAGGGACACAUUUAAAUAUGAAAUAUGAGUAAAAGUAUUUAUAAAUAUAAUAAAUAUUUACCAUUACUCUAUUUAUCACUAAUAAACAUUGUUAUUUUUAGUGAAGCACGGUGAAACAUAUGGUUUAUAUGAACAUCAACAACUAAAUUAGCUUUCUUAAUUUUCUUUUUCUCUUAAAAACGAAAAUUGUUUGAAAUUAAAAUUUUAUUUUCACAAUUCAGGAUCAAACGAACAAUUUUCAAUUUUAUAAUUAAAAAAAGAUUUGUGAUAGAUGAAUUUUCAAAUAAAAGUUGUAGACAACCAUCUUUGUAAAAAGAAAUUAAACACAAAUCAAAAAUAUCUAUAUGCAGAAGUCAAAUUAGAAAACUUAGACUUUCAUUUGGUGGAUAUAUAUAGAAUAACUAAUGCAUUUCACAUAAACUUCAAUCAUUAAUAUCUUAACUUCUAAGUCAUUGUUCGUCGAAUAUAGGUAAUAAAAUUGAAAUGCAUUGUAAUGUAAUUCAAAAUUCACGUUUGAAUGGUGCAUUUUGAACCCAAAUUGAAAUAUUAACAUCUUAUUUUAUUUGAACGGUUUUCAAUUAAUCGUUUUCAUUUUUCAGGAUUUUAUUUUUGUUUCGCCCUCAAUUCAAUACACAUCACAACACUCAUCUCAUUCUAAUUCACCAAACACUCCUCUUAUAUAUGGUAUUGAUAAAGCGGUUGAAAAGUUCAAAUAUUUUAGAUUUUUUUUUUGUAAGAAAUAUCUAAAAUACCUUUAUUCUACUAAUAAGGGAAAAUUUGUAUAUUUGUGUAUGUUUUCCUAAGAAAAAGGUUUCAUAGGUUAAAUGGAUAUGUUUUAAAAUAAGAAGAACUUUGAUUGAAAACUUAUAUAUAUGAUUUUUUUAAAAAGUUAAUUUUAAAAUCAUAGUCAAAACAUGAAUAACAUUAGAAUAGAGGUUUUAAAGCAUUUUUAAUUUUGUAUGACUCAUAUUAAUGUUCAUAAAUAAGAACAAUAAUAAUGAAUCAUGUGUAAUAAUUGUGUAAACUAUAGAGAAUAAUAGAUAUGCGUGUGAAGAAUAGUUAUCAACCUACCAUAUUUUAAUAUAAUAAUAAAGUGUGAUUUAUUAAUUAUAAUUUAAAAAGACUAUGAUAUAGUAUUGUUGUAAUUAUGAAUUGAAUAGUAGAAAAAGAAAUUAUCUAAAAAUGAUUUUCAUAUGAACUACUUGAAAAAAAUAGAAAUUGCAUUCAUUUUGAAAAUAUUAGGCAAAAACCUACUCUCUAUUGACAAGUGUCAUUGCUUAUAUAGUCAUAUCAUUUCUCAUGAUAUUCUUAAUUUGUGGUGAUAAAAUUUGGAAGACAGAUUCAUUGUUUAUUUUUCAAUAAAUUAAAGGGCCACUUUUUAAUAAUACAAAUUCGAGUAUAAGAGUGUGAAAUUUAGUUUUAUGUAUCCAUUAAAAUGAUGUUUUUUUUCCUAGGAUCAUCAAUCUAAAUUGGAUCACAAUUUUUCUUUCCAUUACUCAUCUAUCUCAUAAUUAAUGAAUGUGAAGUCUCUUGGUUUUUUCAAUGUGGUAUUCUUAACAACAUAAAGAUGCUAGUUGAACUAAGCUUUUGUUAUUUUAGUAUAUAACAAUUAUGGUGAUAAGAGAUAGAUCAAAUGUUCUGCCUCUAGGACAUAAGUUUAUGUUAAUUACACGCUUAGUUAAGUUUGGUUUGACACAUAUACACAAAUAUUCUUCUAAUUAGUCAAAUAUUUAAUGAUUUUGGUGUGGGAGUGAGGUGGCCCAAAUACGACUUACCUAAGAAUUAAGAUACACCUCAUCAAAAUUUAUAAAAUGAAUGAUUAAAGGGCAUAUGCAUAUGGAUCUAUAUGGUUGGACCUAUGUGUCAUUAUUGGGUAUCUUUCCUGAAAAUGUGUGUUAAGUUAACUCAACAUGGCAUUUUGGGUUUCUAUUAGUUAAAAUAUUAUCUACUUUUUUCUUUAAGAAGAGAGACAUAAAUAUGAUAAAAUUUGACUACUUUUUUUCAUUUUGUCUAAGGAGAGGAUCCUAUUCUCAUUUGCAUGUGCACUCCAUGAAUACCUAGAGCACCUUUUGCUUUUGGCCCCCUUAUAUCUAAACAGUUCUACUUUUUGUUUUCUUUUAGAAAGAGACAUGCAAAAUGUUUAUCCUUCCCUACAGCCCUUCUUAAAAAAGCCAAAAUUUCAUAUAGGUUUGAGUUUUUUUGUCUAGUAGAAUUCCUAACUAGUAAAGUACAUAACUUCGCUUUUUAAAUAUAAAAGUGCAAGUAAGUUUAAGUGUAAAUAGAGAUAUGUCAAUUUGAUUAUAACUCAAAUAUGUCAACCAAUUAUAGUUUAAAUAAUAAGAACAUAUAACUCAAUGACAAAUCCAUGAAAUUUGAAUGAAAACUUUAUAAUUUAGAAACAAUCUAAAAAUUGAAAAUGGGUUGGAUGAAAAUUUUACAACUAGAAUAGUAAUCUAGUAUUGGUAUUAUCUUUGGCUUUUAUAUUUAUGUUCUCUAAUAAUAAUCUUUUGAAAUUAAUGGCAAAGUAUAGUAGAUAUUUGAAGGAGUUUUCAAAUGAAGAUAUAUUGGAGAUUAAAAGUGGAGUUAGGAUGUUGAUUUCCCAUCAAACUUACUUAAUGGACAAUUAAAAAAAAAAAGGUGUGGGUAUAGCAUCUUUCAUUCAAAGUCAAAAGGAAACUCCUUUCCAACUUAAACUUUAGUACCCAAAACCUAAUUUGAAAUGACAAGUCUAAUAUGAUCUCCUAGUAAGUGAAAAGUUUUAACAUGGUUUAAAUAAAAUAUUACUAAAUUAAAAUAAAGUGUGAUUUUUUUUUAAAAGAACAAUAUAUAAGAUUAAAUUAUAGUUAACAUGGAGAUUUUCCUUUUCUUUUUCAAAUUUCUAAAAAAAGUAGUUUGGUUUCAAAACGAAUUAGAUUGGGCUUUGUUGGACCUUCAAUAUGGGCCUGAGGACCCAACUCACUUGCAAUCAUUUCAAAAGAGGGCCAGCGAAAUGAGGCCCAUUUUGAUCUUUAAUUGAAUUAUGUCAAAAAUGAGAGACCAAAUUAAUAGAAAAAUUCAAGAUGCAUUAAAAUGAUACUUUCCCUAAACCCUAAGCUUUAUUUGAAGUAAUUUCCUUUUCUUCUUGUAAAUCUCUAGUUUUGUUUCCUCGAUUAAUUGAGAUUCACUUUGUAUUUGUGUAAUUUUAACACCUUUUUUGUUUUAUAUUUUAAAAGUAAUAUAGUUUUAGGAAACUAGUAAUUUUUUUUUUCUCAUGGUCAACCUCCGUCAAGAUCUACUCCGAGAUUCUUUCCAAAAUUUUAAAAACUCUUUGAAGAAUUUAUCUCGAUCUUUCUUGAUCGAGUGCAUCACCAAGAUAGUCUAUUACAAGUCUACUACUUUUUUCUAACAUAAAUAAUCGUGUAUAUGAACCCGGCGAUCAUUUAGAUUAUAUUAUACGACUGUUUAUGUUUGAACCUUUCUCUCCAUUGUUUAGAGUUAAUUAUCCAAUCCUUUAAAUAUGAAGCCUCUUUUCACAUCAUUUAAAAUAAACUAUACACUUGUGUAUCAUGAUUUAAAUCAUCGUCUAGACUAUAGUACACGAAUGUUUAGAAGAGACUUACUCGUACAUAUGACUUAUUUUAAUCUUUACUUGUUGACUAGGGUAUUUUUUAUAUUUCAUAUCAUGUAAAUAUUUUAGAUUUUUGUUAUAUUUGUGAAAAAACCCUAUUUGUUUGCAAAAUUUCAAAAGUAACUCCAACAUGAAAAUAUAAUAACAAUAAUACAAUAAAUAAAUAGCUAAUUACAAAAACUAAUUCCAUAUAAAAUUUACUUCAUAAACUAAAAAAAACAAAGUUAAAUUUUAUAUAAAUAUCACCUAUCAUGCUCAAUGUAAGCCACACCCGGUUAAAGAUACAACAACUAAUAAAAUUUGAUUAAUUCAAGCUUUGGUCAUACUUUGUAUUUGUAUAUGCAUGUCAAAUAGGUUGAAUAUAAUCAAUAAUACUUCAAUUAUACAAUGAAAAAAAAAUUCUAAAGUAAUUAAAAAAUGUUUAACGUGUAAAACUAAAAUUAAAUAACUAAGGGAACUUAACAAAUUAGAUAGAUGCAGUUUUGAACAUCUAUGUAUCUUUUGACAUUAUUUAACCUAUUUGUAUCCUUCAUAUUUGACGUUGCAAAAAAGGAAAUGUUAAUACAUUAAAUAUAUAAAUCUAAAAUGUGUCAUUUGGCUUACAAUCUUUAGAAAUUUUCACACGUGGCUUACAAUCAAAGUCCCAAAUAAAAAAAAAUGAUUACUUAAAAGAAAAUCAAUCAAAGAUGACUUUUUGCUUAUCUCAUUUUGUAUGAUUAUCACUUUAAUCCUAAAGUCUUGCUUGGGUGGACCUUGAAUAUGGGCCUGAAGGCCCAAAUCAUUUGCAAUCAUUUCAAAGGAGGCCCAGGGAAAUGAGACCCAUUUUCAGUUUUAUAAAUAAAGUCUGGUUUUUCAUUUAAGAAAAUUUGAGCUUAGUUUAACCGUAACUUUUCCUCGCUUAACAUUAAAGAGCUUAAUGUACUAUAAUUAACUUAGCUUCCAAUAAUCAAAUGUCUAUCAUAGAAUAUAAAAUAUUGCUAUAUUUUUUUAAAUUAUUACUCAUCAAUUAACUAUAUUUUAAACAUUCCAAUUUUUUAAAAAAAUAAAUAUAGUUAUCAUUUAAAUGUUAAUUUCUUCCAAAUAAAUUAUAACCCACAAUGCCUAGUUCAACAACAAAUGAGAGAAAAAUAGGUAGAUUGUUCAUGGCCCUGGAUUAUGGUCAAAAUAAUGUCUUAAUCAUUUGGACUAUAUAUACUUGAGUGUGAGAGUAAAGUAAAAACAUAAUUAUAUCAUCCAUUACCUUAGCUUAUAAAACAAGCGUUUAUAUACAUAUAUUCAUAACUAAAGAUUUGACGUACAUUAUUCAACAUUUCUCUCUCAAUCAAACCAUACUAUUACUUCUAAUAACUUAUUCCUAAGUAGAGAGAGAAAAAUGAACAAACAAAGUAAAAGACAUAUUGAUAAGAGAAAAUAAUAUUGGAGAAUCGUUAAAAAUAACAAAUUUGACAAAAUAUUUACAAGCUAUAGUAAAAUAUUAUGUUCUAUCAAUAACAAAUAUUUGGUAUUGAUAGCGAGUGAUAGAAGUCCAUCAAUUUCUAUAUCAAUCCAAAAUUUUUGCUAUAGCUUGUAAAUAUUUUAAUUUAUUUUGCUAUUUUAAAAAAUACUCCAAUAAUAUUCUUAAUUUUAUUUAUUUUUAGUUAAUAUUGGGGAAAUUUUAAUUUUGGGUAUGUGAAUUUACUCAUUGCUGAGACUUGCAUAAUCGGAAGGCAGAUAAGGAUGAAAAAGCUCGGCCAAAAUGGACUUCUUCCUAAAGUACUUCCGUCCCAUAUCUUUGCAAAGUUGAUCGUUGUACCAAAUAUUAUUAAUUCCAACACAAGAUCUCCAAAAGUAUUCCCCUGCAUAUUCUUUCAUGUUCAUCUCCCACGAGCUUAUUUCAUCCUCCAUUUCUUUUAUGCUCGGUACCUUGAAGCUUCCAUCAAGCACAUGUACUAGCCAUUGGCAUCUCAUGUCCGAGCUAAACAAGUCCGAUAUCCCCUCUGCGUACCCGAUCACCGCAAGCUGUGGAAUCCUUGGCUGAAUCACCUGUCUGCACUCAUGGUUUCGGAGAUUAAUGUUAUGAUUGAUUUUAUCCAAACAAUUGUCAAUUCAAAUUUUUAACAAUAGUUUAAGUCAAAUUUUAAAUUCUAAAUCUGCUGCCAAAUAGAUAUUUGAAAACAUGGAAUAAAUUUGAAUAAAAGAUUUUGAAAACUAUUCUAAAACAUAUAUGCUGAGGUUAUAUAUUAAGUUUUACCUGUACAGGGGCAUGAUGGAGGUUGGGGAGGUGGAGAUGUACUUUUGGAAAGUGGUAGAUUUGAAGAUGGAUUUGAGCUUUUGAUUUCCUUGGUACCCGGUGGCGAGAACGACGACAUCAGCUUCGACAGGUUGGGUGUCGUCGUCGUCGAUGACAAGACCUUUUUUGUAGAAGGUGAAGGAGUUGGAUUUUCUCAAGACAAUGCUACCUUCUUCCACUUUUUGGUAGAAUUUUUCAGGGAUGGUUGCAACUUGGCAUGAAGAAACCUCUACAAAAAAGCUAUGUUUGGGUAGCAUUCCAUGUUUCUUUAAUGGAAGUUUCCAUCGUAGGUAGCUCUCCACAAAUUUUGAGAUACCCCAUCUCUGAAAAUUUCCAUCAAACAUAUUUUUAUUUUAUGACGCGUGUGAUAGAGAAAGAGGAAAAAUAAUAUCAUGGUUGAAACAUUAUAUGAUCUAAAAUGACCUAAUGAUCAUUAGAGGUUCGGCCUCACUAGCCACCACCUCACAUUUGUAAAAAAGAAAAAAACCAUUUUUUAAUGUUUUCCAUGUGAUUUAGGGUUUGGGAGAGUUAUUUUAUGCCUAAAUUCAUGUUUCUUCCAACGUUGUUGAUGUUUGAUAACCAAAAGAAAGUGAUUUUAGAAAAUUCUUUCAAGUGAAUUUAGGGUCAUCCCCAGGAAGAUUUCUAUGUGAUUGUUUUUUUAGCAAUUUCUCUCCCAUUUCACUCUACUUCGUCAUAAAAUUUUGAGAAAAUUUGCAUUUUUAUUUUUAUUUUUUUAAAACUUUUCACUGUUCUUAAAACAACAAAAUAAAUCAAAAUAUUUACAAGCUAUACCAAAAUUUAAAUUCUACCAAUAAUAGAAAUUGAUAGACUUCUAUUAUUGUCUAUCAAUAUAAGUAAUAGAAGCAUAUUAGACAUGGAUAGAAUCUAAAUUUUUUGUUAUAUGUUAUAAAUAUUUUUUCAAAUUUGCUAUUUUAACAAUUUUUAUUUUCUAUUAUUAAUCUAGUGAUUCUAAAAUUAUUAUCGUUAAAAGCAAAUAUUAAUCACUUAAAAAUACAUUCAAUCAAAUUUAAGAGAAAACUAUUUUUUUUUUUAAUUGAGAGUUUUGCCAAUUGAUGUGUUUGGUUCUAAUUUUCAAAACAUAUUUGUUUGGUCCCUAAAAUUUUUAGAAUUGGACCCUUUGUUUUUUUCAUCUUUGAGCUUUCAACACGUGUCCUUUUAUUCUCCAAUUUUUAGAAAAUAGGUUGAAAAGGUCUAGGUAAUAAUAUGACAGUUUGAAUUACAAAAAUCAGUUUUAAAAAAUACUUAGAGUGAAGCCAUAAUUUUUUUUUUUUUUUUCUAAUUCAACAUAAAAAAAUUAUUGCAGAGAUUUUUUUAACCUAUUCUUUGACUCAAAAUGUUUUUUUUUUAAAAAAUUAAAGAUUAAUUGAACUUUAUCUUAAAAAUUUACUGACUAAAAAAAAAAAGUAUGUUUUGAAAAUUCAAUAAGCAAACUCAACUAAAAAUUUAAUUUAGAAAGUUACACUUUUAUAAUACCAAUCACAAUUAAAUAAUUUAACUUAAAAUAGUAACAAAUUUCAAUCUCAAACAUACCUUUAAGUACAUAUUAAAAUGAUAGUAUAAAAAUUACUUUUAACAAAUCACUUGUUAGUUAAAAUUAUUCUUCAAUGUCUCAUUGGAUUGCAAGAAGAUUGUGUGGGUGUAGCAAAUUGAUUACUUUUCUUUUUAAAUUUUGUUGUAGUUAAUUGCCAAUUAAUUAAAUUAUAGGGACUAUAUUAUUUGAACAUUGUGAACAGAGGCAUGCAUGUUGUUCUCUCUCUCACCUUCUAUUAUUUUUUUUUUUUUUUUGAAGAAAUAACUUAAAGAUAAUAUAAGAACAUAAUCACACCUUCUCAUGAAAGCUAAAUUAGCCAAUCAUAUAAGAUGUAUCUAAUUAACACUCUUUACCUUUUUUGUGUUUAGUAGGUUUCUAAUUAUAUUUAUAUAUUGAUGGAAUGGAUUUAAAGAUACAUCUUAUCAAAGGAACUAUGAUAAUAGUGCUGUGCUUACACACUUAAAACCACUCAUCUCUGUUGGAAGAGGUUGGCAUGCACUCAAAUAAUUUAUCUAUCAAAAGAGGGAGAAGAAUAUAUAUAUAUUAAGAGAGAGAGAGAGAGAGAGAGAGAGAGAGAGAGUCUUUUCUCACCAUGGGGGAAAGUAAGGUGGCGAUGACACUGAGUAGGAAGUUCUCGCCAGGUUUGUGAACCAGUAGUUCAGAGAAACGACUAUUAUACAAAAGACCAAUAUCGAUACCCCAUGCUUGGUCAGAAGGAGUCAACCAAUGGGGAUUUCUUACAAGCAACGUGCAUGGGUUUUCCGCUCCUGCAAAACCUCUCACUUUCAUUAGUAAUAUUAUCCUACCAAAUAAUAACAGUACCCUAAACCGAUUUUUUGAGUGAAUAAAGAUGUGUUUUACAGUAAUCACUUUUAAGCAAUGCAGUAAAAAGUGGUUAAACAUAAAAAGGUGAUUAGUUAAAAUUAAUUUCACCAUUUGCUUCAGCACAUUCCAUUGCUAUAUCCAUGGCUGAUUUGAGAGAUCCAACAACUGCAAUUUUUUUGCCUUUCACUAACUGAGUGCAAGCUGAGACACCUUCUAUUUUGUUCUUAGAGAUGGAAGCAUAAUCCAUUGAGUGAAGCACUUUCCCACGAAACACUUCUGGGCCUUCAUUUGGUGGGAACUCUGGUAUGUAUGGCAUCCCACUGUAUUUCCCAAUGCACAAUAUCACAAACCCAGCUUGAUGAACCUGCCAUAUAGAAAAUAUAGUCGUCUUUGUAAUAAUAUUACUCUUGAUCUUCCAUAAAUAUUUCGAUACUAAUCUUACAGUAAAAUUCUAGCUGUGCAUGCAAAAUUUCUAAAACGAAAAAUAUGGACUCACACCGUUACACCUAUUCUAUAUUCCUAUUUUUCAUCCAAAAUUAUAAAUGAUUAUUUUUAAUUUCUAUAAUAGCUUUGAAAUGUUUAUGAAAGGUCAAAAUUUUUAUAUGCUGAUGGUUAAUAUAAAUAUGUAUAUAAAAUUAAGGAUAGUUUUGAAAAGUUUAUACAUAUGCUAAAUUUUUUUUAGAGAAUAAUGAUAUUUUUGUAAUAAAUGUAAAAGUUAGAGGUUAUUUUUUGUUUCUUAGCUGUAGAGAAAAUUAUUUUUAUGUACUUUUUCAUGAAUAUUAGCAACUGUAUAUGAAAGAUAUGAUUGAAAUUAUCUUACUCUCUCACUUUUCUUUUCUAGAAAAAUAAAUAUAUAAAUAUUCUUGGUGUGUGAUUGGAGUAAAGACAGAAAAGUAGUGGGUGCAAUCUAGCUCGAACCAGUAUAUAAUGGAGGAACAAAACAAUAUAAAUGUAUCACUAAACCUAAAAGUUAAGAGGGAAGAAGCAACAAAAACCUGAACCGUAUUAGUUUUAGUGUUUUGAACUUCAAGGAUCCAUCUAGGUUCCUUAGCAAAGGGGAGGCCAGUUCCUCCCCAGAGCUGAGACGAUGAGUAACUCUCCGAUUCAUCAACUCCAUCGGUAUCGUAAUCAAUACUGAGAACACGAGAAUUGAAGUUGAUGAAGGGAAGGAGAUCAAAAUGAAGUGCAUAAGAAUGGAGAUAGUCAAGAACUUGUUGAUGGGAAGGAUAAUCAGUCUCAACAGAAGAAGGCCAAGGGAAAUCACAGAAUUCAUAAGUGCUUUUGUGGUUUUGAAGUUUGGUUGUGUUGAUGGUUCGAGCCCACACCCCUCCAAUACCGUCUUCGGCCUCGUAAACGACAGGGUGUAACCCCUUCUGAGCUACAUAUUUGCAAGCAAUUAGACCACUUAUUCCAGCCCCAAUUAUAGCCACUGACUGCUUCAUUUCUGCCAUUAAUAAUUAUGGUGCUAUUAAUAUGGCUAACUUUUUUUCUCUUUGCCUUAGCUAAGUGUUUGUAAUUUUUGCUGUGGUCUUUGCAUGGGAAGGGACUCUCCUUAUAUAAUGAAUUUAUGUGGUUGGGGAUGCGUGAAUGCAUGCCCCCACUAUCCUCAUUCAUUAUUGAAGGUAAAUUUUAGAGAUUUAGGGUUUAAUGUUUAGGGUUUUUGGAUUUAGUGAAGGAAAAUGUAAAUGCAUGCCCCCACUAUCCACAUUCAUUGAAGGUAGAUUUUUAGUGCAAUAAUACUUUCUAAUGUACCUUUGAUUAUAUCUAUUUUUUUUCUUUUACAACGAUAAAAAACUCAAAACACUCUUGAUUUGUCUAAAAUCGCUUUCCUUCUAAAUUUUUUUGAUGUUCCACAAUGGUUGAAUUUGAAAAUAUCCAAAUCAAUCACCAGAAGAUUAUUUAAGUGAUUUUCAUCUCGUGAUUAUAAAUUUGUGAGUGAUUUCUUUUAUCAUUUUAAUUUUAUUUCACUUUAAUUUUUGCCCUUUUUAUUUUCUCUCUAAUAACUUUAUAAAGUUUAUCUUCAAUUUUAUUACUAUGUUUUUUUCUAAAAAAUUGUUUUUACACUUGUUCUCUCUCUCAUGAUUUUUUCUCUUGAAAUCUACUCUCCAUCCUCUUAUAUUUUCUCUCUCCAAAAUUAAUCUUCAUCCUCUUUAUUAAAUUUGUUUAUCUAAUUUUAUAUCUCUCUCUUUAAAUUUUUCUUUUGUAACAUUUUUAUUUCUGAUUGAAAUGUUUCUCUACGCCUUCAUAUUUUUUUUUCUAACUUUUAUUUCUCUCUAUAAUUCAUUUUUCAAUUCCGAAUGUAUGGGUUUUCUUUAGUAAUUUGAUCAUUCUUAAAUUUAAUUUGAAAACAAACAUUAAUGAUUUAAAUAUACUUUUAAUUAAAUUAAAUCACAAGUAUGUAAUUUAUUGUAUUAACAUAGUUUAUAACACACUCUUAAAAUACUAAUUAUAUUUAGAUAAUUUAGCACAAAAUUUUAUUGUAAAAGGCAAUACCAAACAUGUUAUAGAUCAUUGAAAAUCACUUUUAGAAGUCUAAUCAAAUAUGGGAAUGAUGGUAUAAACAAAUCAAUUUGGGUUUUACAAAAAAAAAAAAAAAAUCCUUCAAAAUAAAAGUUAUUAAUUAGAGUAAUUAUAAUAAAUUACAAUUUUAGGGUAAAGUGUAUAAAAUAACUAUAAAAAAUUAUAAAUACAUCAAUGUCUAUAUUAUAUCCGUAAUAUGACCUAUCAAUCAUAAAUUUUAAUAGAUUUGGUUACAUUUGUAAUAUUUUAAAAAUGAAUAUAUUCUAAUUACUAGUUUUGAAACCGUAAGUAUUAAUUAUUUUGAUCUUUUAAUAUUAUUUUAAUAAGUGGUAAUCAUGACAUUUGUUUUUGUUCAAUUCAAGGUGUUCCACAUCCAAAAUAUUGGAAAGAUCGAGAAGGAGAAAGGAAUGAUUGAGGACAUUGGAUAGUGACUAAAGUUGAAAGAUUAUAAAGACAUUGAUAUUAAAAUUUUGUAUUAUAAUGCAAAUAUAAAUAAGAAUUAAAGUUUUACUAUAUAAUUAUAGCAACCUUUGUUAUUAAAAAUAAACGAAGAAUGGCUUUUAGGUGAGAAAAGCAUGAAAUUUAUUAUUAAUUAAUUUUAAAUAAUUCAUUAAGUGAAUUUUUAAUGAAUAUGAUAAAAUUGUGAAGAAACUUAAUUAUAUUUUUCUAUAAAAUUAAUUAUUCAAUCUGAAAAUAUGAAAAGUAAGUAGUGAAAACUGACCGUUAAAAGUAUACAUCUAAAAAUUUAUUAAUCAAAUUGAAAUAAAAAUUCAAAUUUUGAAUAUAAAAUUAUAGUAUUUUUGAAACCCAAUUAUAUAGUUUAAAUUAAAACAAAAGUUAUAACUUAUGGAUUGAGUAUGUAAUAUUUUAUAACAUAAAAACCAAAGGAUCAAAAUUAAAUCUGAAACUUACGGAUAACAAAACUGUCAUUUUUAUAUAUAGAAUAUAAUUUUUUUUUAUAUUUUAUAAAUAUUCUUUUUAAAUUGUCAUUUUUAUAAUUUUUUUAAUAUUAAAAAUAAUUGAAUUUAAAAUAACAAAACUUGAAAAUAUAUGUAAAUAUAUCAACCUGUGAUUGUGAAAUAAUUAUUUGACUUAACUUGUAUGUCAAUUUCGUGAAUUUACAAAUAAAAACUAGCAAUUUUGAGCUUGUGACUUAGAACUUUUAGUUUUUAUUUUGUAAUUGAAAUUUCAAAGUUGACAUAUUUGAUAAAUCUUUUUGAAAAUUAAUUAAACCAAUUUUAGAAAAAUAUGUCAUUGAAGUACAUAUACUCUAUAUUCUUUGAUUGUCCUUCUACCCUAUCUCUUGGGGGAUACAUAGCUUUUAGUGUGUCUCACUUUGGUGCUAUUAAUACCAAUUGAGGCGUAGAGUUUAGAAGGUAGCUUGGUGUGCGUCGUUUUAUAUAUCAUCAUGCAUAUUUAACAUGUGUGUAACAAUUAUAUCGAAGAAGUUACCCUUGUGUUCUUUCCGACUAGUUAAUAAAGUUGUGCAAUACAAUGUUUUUUUCUUUUAAUUGUUGUUCGUAAUGACUCGGGGCUUAUAUAUUUGAAAAAACGACUCAAGCAAGUUUUAAGUUUUUUUGAUUUAUCUGUGUAUUUUUUUUAAUCAUUUUUGUUCUUGUUUCUUUAGUUCCUUCUAUUGUAGCUACCAGAUCCACCUCAUUUUAUUAGUUACGGAAAAAAAGAGACUAUAUUAAUAUUUGUAAUAAAAAAUCUACUUUCAUUUUUUUUAAUUAUUUCCUAAUUAAUUAAAAAAAUAAAACAUUUUUCUAUAAGUUAGAAAUAGAGAUAUUUGUUAAAAUUAAUUUCACCAUUUGCUUAACGGGAAAAUAAUGAAAAAUUACUAAAACAGAUAUUAUGUGGGAAAUUAAUGGGAAAUUACUAAAACAGAUAUUAUUGGAGUUUAUUUCGAUUUUCUUUAUUAUUGUUGUUGUUGAAAAUAUGUUGCCAAGAAUACCAACUAUUUUUAAUUGAAAGAUGUGUAAUUUAGUUUUACAUGCAAAGGAACAAAAAGAUAAUAACAAAAAUGUUACGUGGUUAUUAAUUGACAGCAAAUGAGAUUUAGACAAAUUGGGUGUCGAUUUUUAAUGUAGCAUUAGAUCUAUCUUGAGUUUGAAAUAAAAUUUACGUAGAAUUUUGGGACUGGGUGGAAAUCUAGCUUUGAUUUUUUUUUUCUUGCAAUACUCUUUCAUGAUUUUGUUCCCUCCUAGCAGGAUCACGAUGAAGGAUGUAAAUUCCUAACGUCCUUCACCAUUAGACUUUUCUAUUUCACUAGAUUGUAAGCAAGUUAGAUACGUUUCUUUUUGGCAUUGAUCAUUUUCUUAUUAGUUUUGGACAAAGUUAGAGUUCUCUUGUCCCAUGUGUGUACCACUUGUGUCGAUGGAGUUACCUUUUGUUAUUCGUUCUACUAGUUACUGAAGUUGUACAAUAUAAAGUUUAAUUUUUUUUUUCAAUUGUUGUUCGUAAUGACCCAAGGCCUUUAUUGAAGGGACUCGAGCAAGUUUUUCUCGUUGUGACAUUUUUCUUUGAUUUGUGUGUAUAUUUUCUAUUAUUUUUACUCUUAGAUCCUCCUCAUUUUAUUGCAAUUCAACACCUAAAAAGAAAAAGACUAUAUUAUUGUUUUUAAUUAAGCGUUUAGUUUCAUUUAUUUAUCUGUUUCCCAAUUAAGAAAAUGAAAGAUUUUUGUAUAAAUUAGAAAUAGUGAUAUUUGUGGGACAGAUUAUAAAAAAAACAAAGAUUUUGAGUGGGUGUUUCUCUCAAACUUUUUUCUCUCACAAUCAAUGCCUAUUCUCAUUGCACGUAUACCCUUCUUCUCCAUUUUUAUUCACCUCAUACAAAUAUCUCACUUCCCUUUCUUCUCUCUUUUCCUUUUCAUUUCUUCCCCACACAUUUUAUAUUUGUUAAAGGUCAGAACUAAUAAAUUAAAAAGUCGAUAACCUUAUAAUUACCGUAUAAUAGCUCUAUGAUAUUUUUAAUUUUAUCAUAUUUUCAAUAUACAAAAAAUCAGUGUCGUGAAUAGUUUUUUUCUAAAUGUUUUUCAUUUGAUGCGAUUUUUCUAAUUUAAAAGACCAAUUAAAAGACAUAUAUCCAAUCUUCAAAAUUUCAUCCGUUUUCACUUAUGAUAUAUAAAUACAUACUAACAAGAGUUAACCAUUUACACUUAAAUAAAAAAAUUGGCCAUCUUUUUACUCCUAUUUUGUAAAAAAAAUAAAAUAUACAUAUGUAUAUUAUAAGUUAGUCAAUUUCUUACUUGAUUAGUUGAUUAAUUAAAAUUAACCAUCUCUAUAUUUGACAGAUUGCUAUAUACAUAUUGUAACCAUUUUUCUUGGAACGUUAUUUACAAUUAAUUCAAUUCUUUCAUUAACUUUUUUUUGUCUUAAUUUGACUAAUUUUGUUGAUUAACUUUUUGUUUUAUAAUUUUUCUUUUAUUUAACUAUUUUAAAGUUUUGUUAACUAAAUCGAUUAGUUAGACUAAUUAAAGUACUAAGAUAGGUAGAUAAAUAGUAUAAGUGAUAACUUUUUAAAAUAGAUUUCGGUUGUCAUAAACUUUAUGUCGUUUUAAGGUGAGCUAAAGUUGGUAUUAUUUUAAAUUAAAUAAAUUUGUCGCUUCAAGAUAUAACUUUGGGUAUGAAUAUAAUCCUCUCUUCUUCAUUUAUGGGGAGGAGACAAAAGGAAAAGGCCACAAAAAUAAAAGAAAAUAAUAAAUAAAACACCCUAGCUUCCAUAUCUCCAUCUUCUUUUUGUCUAAAUCUUUAGCUUCCAUAGCCACCACUUCUCUGACCCUUCGUUCUCUUACAAAGAAACCAAAAGAUCUACAACUUUUCUUUCGUUAUCGCUUCUAGCAAUCCUUAAAUCUCCAUCUUUCUCGUAAAAUCUCUCUACAAAUAUCAUGAAUCUAACCUAUACAAAAGAAACUUACCCUUAGAGAUGUAUUCACAUGACCUUUAGUCUCAAUGAAUCACAUCUCAAAUAACAAUUUUAAUUGAAUAUCUUAUAAAACAAUUUUGAAUUAAGUAAUUUGAAAGUUCGAUUUUCUAAAAUUUUUGAGAUAAAGAAAUUGAUUUGUUAGGAGUCCGAGAUCGAUCUUAAAUAUGUUUUUAUUAAAAUCUCAAUAUACUAAGUUUAUGUUUGCUUAAUUUAUUAUGAUAUUUUACACGUGUUUUUACCAAUGAUCUUACUUUCCUAAUUUAAAUUUCUCCAAGUUUUAAAAUCUUUUACAAAAACUCUUUUUCUUUUAACUCAUUUAGAAAAUUUUCUUUUAAAGUUAUAAAUUUCUUUUACUGUUUUUCCAAAGUUACAAAUUAUUUUUAUUGUCUUUUCAAACAUUCAAAAUUUAAUCUACGACUCAUAAGAUUUUUUAAUCAAUCUUUUUUAAUAACUUAUAUUGUUUUUAUUAAACAAAAUAUGAAAUCUAGAAAAUUUAGGAGUUCGAUUUUUUAGAAUUCUUAACAGGAGGGAUAACGAGAUUUGAUCCUAAGAAAAAGUGAUUUAAUUAAUGUUUGAAAAAAAAUCUCUUUUAUUAUAAGGUUGUUCCUACGACGGAUUUUGAGAAACUGUAUUAAUUUCUCACUUUCUUGAGGUGAGAAUUUUAUUUAAUAUAGUUUAAUUAAUGGAAUGUUCUUCCCUUAUUUUAUGAGAUCAUUGGUUUAAAUAUUGGAACAAUAGAUUAAGAUAAGACAUCAUUUUUUAUAAAAAAAUAAAAAAUAUUUUUAAUUUAAAAAUUCGAAUUUGAUCAUCGUGUUAUGGAGCUGGAGCAAAAGUGUUGUCUUUAUAAACAAUGAUUCCUGAACUCAAUACUAGUUUUUGCAUAUCAAUUUCUAUGAUUUUAUUUUUAAAUUGUUCCCUUUAUUUUGGUGUUCAAUCACACCAUAAAAAGAAGCGAAAAAGAUUGGUGCUCGCUUCUUUUUUUAAUUUGUUUUGAAAUCAACCAAUUUGGAGGACAUCGACCGCUUGUGAAGACAAAAGAAAAUUUAAGAAGAAAUUGUCUUAAAUAGCAAAAAGAAAAAAAAGAAAGUAUUUACAAAAUAUAUAUAAAAAAUGAUUUUGCUAUAAUAUUUUAAAACAGUAAACUAGUUUUAAAAACCUGAAAAUGAGAGAAAUUAAAGAAUUCAAGAGUUUUAUUAUUAUUGUUUUAAUUGGCCUAAGUUAAAUUUUUAAAGGGAAAUUGUAGAAACAGAACAUUAUUUGAUAAAAUAUGUAUACUUUCUAAAACAAAUGUAAUUAAUUUUAUUUUUUAGUUGUUUUUUGGUACGCGUACAAAUAUUUAUUAAUUUUUUUUUAAAGUGUAAUUUUUAAUAGUUGUUUUUGCAUAUCGUUAACGAUUUGUUGCUACCUCUAUUUAUUUUAGUAGUUUGUAGGUCAAAUUGAACUCAAUCUUAUUUGCAAAUUUUAAAAUAAAAUAAAAUAUCUCUAAUUUGAUAUAUUAAUUUUAACAAAUAAACUAUAUAAUUUACUAUUUAUUUUAUAGACAACUAAUUUUAAAAAUAAAGGUAUUCAUUUAGUGAUAUGGUACUGAUGUAAGCUAUUUCGUAAUGACUAUUCAUCUUAUAUCACUUGAAUGAAUGGACUAAUAAAUGGAAAAAAAAUGAUUGACUUACUCUAUAUUAUUAGCAUCAAAUACAAAAAUAAAUGAAUAAAUAAAUAAUUUUUAAUUUUGUCAAUUGCCCAAUAAAUAUCUUUUCCAGCUACUGGCCGCCAUGUGUCACCUUUGAUAAAAAAUAACACUAAAAUUUAUUUGGUUAAAAUAUAGUUUUAGGCUUUCCAAUUUUAAGUUUCCUUUUUAUUAGAACACUUACAAAUAAGAAAUUAAAAGAUAUUUCCUAAAUAUCUCUUUAAAGUAAUAGAUAUUACUUAUAUUUAGGAAUAUUUGAUCAUAAAAAAGUUCUUUUUUUUUUUUUACUAUGUAAAAAACUGAAAUUUGAACAUAAAAUUUUCAAAGUUUACAUUUUUGGUGGAGGGUCUGUACGAAGGUAAACUGAUUACCUUCGGGACAGAUUAUUAAAGAUCAUCAAGGGAUUUGACAUAAUAUCGAUUGAUAAGAAGUAUGAAUGAAAACUGAGAUAAUUGUACUGCGGUUAAUGAAUUCAGGGGAACCUGAAUUCGUCUUAAAUCUGUUAAGUUAUGGUGAUAACUUGUUAAUAUAACAGUUGUGAUAAGUUACAUAUUUUGAAUCUCAAUAAUAUUUCUUAUCUGAGCAAAGAAACUCGUCAAAUGUAAGUCAUAUUUGUCAAGCUGGGUUAUCUGUCGUUUUGUUACUUGUCUUCUGUGUACUCUAGCUAUACUUGUAGUUAAAUUCUUUUGAUAUAGCUAAAGGUCGUUUAACUUUUGUUAUGUUAGCUAUUUUUGAAAUUAAUCACGUUAGUUAUAGCUGGAUGAUAUUAUCAUCUUAUCUGUUUUUCAAAUUUUAUAUAUUUUCCAUCAAAGUUAUUGCAAUUAUUUAAUUCAUUUUAAUAAAAAUUAAUUUUGACAUACUAAAUUUAAGAUGCAAGGAAUAUUUAAACUAGAGUUGAAUAAAAUAGUAACCAAAAUAAUAUUUCAACAAAUUUAAUGUUUUAUUGUCAUAUUAAAUAAUUAUUUUUCAAGCCAAUAAAGGAGUGACAUUGCUUACAUCCAUACUUUUUAUUUUCUCUUCUUCUUGGAACAAAUAUAUAUAUAUAUUAAAAGGAAAAAAAAGUGCAACUUAAUUGUUUAAUUUAGAAAAAAUAUAUAUUAUUGUAUACUUUUCUACCUUAAAAAUAGUACGAAAUUAAGUACAAGUUAAAUUAGAUGUAAUCAUGGAUUAUAUUUUCUCAUUCUAUCAACACCAUAUUUAUAUUCCUUUUAGCUUUGGAGUUUCAUUUUUCAUGCUUUUUAAAAAAAUUAUUUAUAAGAUUUUUUUUACAAACCGUGUAAGAGCUCAAAAUUCAUUAAUAUAUACUUUCUAGAGAUUGUAGCGAACCGGUUUUGUCAAAAGAUUCUUGUAGUGGUAGGUUGAGUUGUGUCAAACGGUAACCAAACUUUUUUAUAUUAAUUUUUUCUAUCAUUUAUUUAUUUUAUUUUUGCAAUUAAUUUGAUGAUAUACUAAAUUUCUUGAAAUUAAUUGCUAUGAUUGUCUCUUUAUAUAUUAUUGCCCAUAUUUGUUUUAAUGGGUAGUUCUUAAAUUUCUAUAUUCAUGGACAAUCAUAGUCAAAUUAUAAGGUGUUUUAAAAACGUUACUUACUUUUAUCGUGCAAUUUGGAGCAAAUUUAAUUGCAUUUUUUCUUUUUGUUAAAAUUACUUGUUUGUCUAAAAAAAACUUAUUAUUUUGCUUAAUUUAAGCCCACACAUUAAAAAAAGAAAAUUAUUGUAAAUAAAAAAAUUGUUAAAAUAUUUAUAAGUAUAACAAAAUUAUUUUUUUUUUAAAAAAUCAAUCUCUAUCAUUAUGUCGUUAAAUCUUAAAUAUUUAUAAAUAUUUAGUUAAAAAUUUUUAUAGAAAAGUUGAUGAAAGACACGAUUCAGUUCUUUUUAGAUCUCCUAUACGGAUCCGACAUGUGGCGAUUCUCCAAAAGAUAACAUGAUGAUGAUUAGAAAAGGCUCAAAAGCUAAAAUAUUGAAAAAGAUAGAAAGAAUAUUCAAACAAAUUCCCAUGAAAGAGAUUUUGAAAGGUUAAUUGGGAUAAGAAUGCCUCAUGCUAACCACUAUACCUUUAUAUAUCUUUAAAAAUAAUUCAAUAUCUUUUAAAACCUAUUUGAUCCUUCUGUUAUAGAGAUUGAAGGUAAAAUAAGAAUUUUGAAGAUCAUUUAACACAAAAUUAAUAAUGAUUUACUAAAAAAACCAGUAAAUAUAUUUUUAAAGAUUAAUAUAAAAAGAACUCAAGAACAUAAAUGAAUUCUUAUUUCACUAAGAGGGAAGAAGUUUAAAUCUCAAACCCUUGUAUCUUUAUGAUAUAAGAGAAUAUUUUUUGUUUUGUUUUUUAGCUAAAAGUAUUGGACAGUAAAGCAUUUCGCCACUUCCAUUCUUUUGGCGGCUUGCUAGCUAAUUUGGGAAACAAUGAUAUAACAUUUUCAAAUCAAUAAAUUUCAUUUAUAUGAAAUAUCAUUAUGAUUUUGAGAAUAUAAUGUAGAGGGCCGAAUAGUGUUUAGGACCCCAAAGAAUCUAAGAAAAAGUACAAAACUUAGUAGGAGCAAUUAUUUCAAAGCACAUGAUAAUAUAUGCAGGUAGAUAUGCAAACAGAAAUAUUCAUUCAAAUUUGUAUAGUUAUUAUGAACCAGAUAGAUAUUGUUGGAUCAACAUUUCAACCAUUAUUAUUACUAAGGUCUAUAUUAUUGUUGUGUGACAGUUUCGUGUAGAGAUUUCUUUAUUUUUUAGUUAAACAAUUGGUAUGCAUGAGUGGAAAUUGAACUAAAAGGCUAGCUUUGAUAGGAUAAUUAUAUAAUAUUCAUUGGACAAUAUGUUUGAAUUGACAUAUUAUGUUAGAUUGAAGUGAAGUGACGACUUUGUUGGGUAAGCCAUAAAACUUGUCUUAUUAAGUUGUGUUUGCCCUAAAUGAAUUUUAAUCAUCUUGUUAGGUUCACAUCAUUUAUAAAUAAUCCACACUACUUUUCUAAACAUUAUUUAAUUGAUUAGAGAGUUAAAUGAUAUGGAAACAAAAAUUUAAUAAUUACUAAAUAUAAUUAGACGUACACGAUAAUAUAUUUUAUUAAAUAAGGUUUAAGAGAAUAAAUAUUACGUUUAAUUUUAGGAUAUUAGUAUUAAAAAAAUUAUUUUAAAUUAGGUUGGAUAAUUAUUGGAGAUAUUUUUAAAUUGAUUUUUUGAAUUUUGUUGGUUAUUUGUUUUUCUCCCUUAUAAGAUAUUAUUGUCUGAAAUUAAAAAAUUUAUCAUUCUCAUCCUUACCAAAGAAUUUGAAAAGGAAGAUUUCAAUUAGAAUUAUAGACUAUCGUCGUUAUCUAAAAUAACUCAAAGAAACAAAAAGUUUUUUCAUUUAAGUGUAAGUUAAAUUUGGAAAAAAAUAUCUUUAAAGUGCAUUCGUUGUCGAUGUAUAUAUACAUUGACAUGAUAUAGAUUAAAACUGUCAUUAUUCAUAUUAUAUCUUUUAGUUAAUCCAAUCAACAUGAUAUAAUAACUCAACUAAUAUAUAUAUAUAUAUAUAUCUCGUCGAUUAAAAAGUCAAAAUAGAAAUCUUUUCGAUGCUGUGGACAGAGGUUAGAAUUUGUAAAAGAAAAAACUCUAAUAACCUUCCUAAAUAUUCAAAUAUGAGAAAAAUUGUAGGUAUGUUAUAUAUGCUAUGGUAUUUUAUUAUUGGCAAAUACAUAAUAAUGGAUCAGCUUAUGCUAAAAAAAUAUCUAUAAUAAUUCAGAGAGUUGGGGUAAGAAAAGAAGAAUGAUAAGUAGUUUUCUAAACUUUCUUUCCUUUUUUUUUUUUGUUAAUAUAAACAACUAAGAAUGUUGUGAGUUGUUUUUAUUAACAAAUAACGGAAAAAAAUUUAGUGGAAGUAUUUAUAGUUGUUCUUUGUUUUCUAAAAUCAAUUAUGAUGGGUCAAAAUAGAUCGCUAUCACUUAUUGAUUGCUUUUAUUAACUAUUUCCUAGUUUAAAACUCUUAUGUUUUACUCUAUAUUGAUAUCUACUACUCCAAAACUUCUAUAAAAUAUGGAAGGAAAAAAAACACUUGUAAAAUUACCAUAUUGAGAUCAAAAAACUUUUAUCCUAAUAAAAACUUGGAUAAAUAUGAAGUAAAGAAAAGAACAACAAAUUAAAAAAUCACCGAUAACAUAUUGAUAUGCAUGGAGUAAGGAUAAAUUAUAAGUACAUAGUUACUGAUAAUGUAAAAUUUACGUUGUUGAUUGUGAAGUAGAGAGUAAACUUAAUAAAAUCAUAACCGUACGACAAACCGUAAGCUUGUUAUUUAACCUAAGGUUACAUGAGGGGAUGAAUGAAAAAUAUAUAUAUAUAUAUAUUUUACUUUUAAAAGUAAUUCGUCACCUUUCUAAAUAAUAGUCUUGGGAUAUUCUGGGCAUAUUAUAGGAGAUAUUUUAACAACUCUCCAAAGGAUAAUUAUAAAUACAAUGAAUAAUGAUACAUAAUAGCAACAAGAGCAAUAAUAAAGAGAAUAUAAUGGAGGAUUAAAGUGGGAGAAGGAUGUUGAUUCUUCAUCAAAUUAUUUAAUGGAAAUUGAAGUGGGUAUAUGGCAUCUUCUAUGAAUACUCAUUUUCAACUUAAAAUUUUUGGACCCCAAACAUAUAAUUUGAAUCCACACAGUUAUAAUAUCUCCUCCUAAGUACAGAGCCUAACAUUAUUUGUAUAUAUACAAAUAUUACCAUUACGUAAUUAGACAAUAUAUAUAGAUAUUUAAAAGUAAAUAAAACUAUCAAAUUAUGAUAUAUUUUUAACAAUAUGUGGUGGAAAAAUUAAACUUCUAGUUACAAAGUCGUUAGAAUAAAUUUUAUGCUAGUUAUGCUAUGCAUAUUUUGGGGUUUAUCAAAGUUAAUUAAUUAAACAAGUUGUUUGUAGCUGUCCAAUGCGAGAACCAAAGUGUAUAGGCGAGUCCACGUCCAUAGGACACUAGGAAAAGACAAAUAGGGGAAUGUAAGUCAAUAUCUCGAGGAUUGAGUUGACUAGGUGAGUUAGUAAAUAUAUUCCAAUUACUAGAAAAUAAUCUACAACCUUGAGUGUCGAAAAACAACCAUUACAUUGUUGGUAUAACACGAAACUAUAUGCAUGAUAUAACUCCAUAAAUGAACUAUCUUAUUAUCUCUAAUCUUGCUCGCUUACAAUGUUUAAUGUGUUUUAUGUCUAUUUUAUAGGAACUAGAAAAUUCAUGCAUCCAUAGCAUUACAUGUCGUCUAGAAUUAGUUUGGAGCAAUUUGAAGAGCAAGUUUGAAAGGAGGAAAAAAGACCAAAUAGGUAAGUCAUAGAAAGUUCCUUGCACUGGUGGUUCUAUAUUGCAAGUGAGGAACUUUCUAUAGCUUACCUAUUUAAUUCUUGUCAUUUUCUGCUCAUCUUUUCUCAAUCGAUUUUUUGGAACCACCAGAGCAAGGAUCGUCUAUGUUUGAAGCAACCUCAUGUUUCUUUUGACGCAGCUUGUAGUAAUGUUCAACUUCCCUUUUUGCACAUUCUGCCCAUGUUCCUGUGAUCAUAUUAGCUAGAUAUGUUGAGGAAAUGUUUUUAGUUUUUAUUAUUCAUGUAAUUUCUCAACCUACAAACAUGUACUUUUUUAAUAUUUGAAUUAAUUUUAAUAUAAUUUCGAUUUGAUAUUAUAAUAAUUUUUUAUUAAUUUUACUUCAAUUAUUUUUCGAAAUUUGAAUCGAAUUUGAUCCUAAUAGUGAAAAACUUAAAUAAUAAUAUAUUACAAAAACGUUUUUCUGACGCACAAAACAUGUCGGCAUGGACACAUAUUGUCAAUGUUGGAAUUUUUUGUCCUAAAACUCGUAGUUUGUAAAUCAUAUUCUGUUCAAUAAAGUUGUUAUUGAGAAAUUAAAUAUUAUAAUCUUAAAUCCAAUAAAUCAAGUUCCAAGGCUAUUUUUGAAUAAACUUGAACGUUAUGUGUAAACAUAAACGUGGAUCAAGUUCGAGUAUAUAGCCUAAAUAGUUUAUAGUAUAUGAAAUAAAGGUUGGGCGCCUUAUUUAGAGAAACUAUGGAUGCGGCCCACUUUGUAGUACAAACGAGGUGAUUCUAAUCGUUCAUGUAGAGACAUGAAAGUGGGGGCAUCCUAUGUAAAAUGUUUACAUAAGACUGAACCAUGAAUUAGUCUUUUUUACGUUAUAACACCGUUUACUGUUUAAAACUGACUAUCUCAAUUAUUGAUGACCUAGGUAACUUAGUCUUAAUCCUGAGUUAACUAUGAACUCCUAUUUACACGAGAUUAUCUUUAGAUCUGCAUAGGUGAGGGCAGCUCAUCAGCGUUGGCCCAAUAAGCCUCCCAUUUCAGGGGGAAGAUCGGGUGGAUAGCUGGGAGCAUAGGGUACAAUAUGAAAUUCACUUCUACCCGCUUUAGGGUUAGUAGAUAGGUUGUUCUCUUAAGCACUGAAUCCAAGUCUUGAACAAAGGGCCCCACCCUCUCAUUGGCCCGAGAGGGAUUAAGUUUAUAGGUUGAACCUUAAACCAAUUGUUCAAUAGUGGAUUAGUGGGACUUAAGGAGCAAGAUGUAAUCUUGGGGGUAAAACGGUAUUUUGACCCAGCCAAGGUUACGAGCAACCUGUGAAGGAUUAACUUACUGAUUAUGGUUUUAUCAAAUGGACACAAAUAUAUCUAUAGUGAGGGGAGUGCAACUACGGGACUUUAGUGGAAUGACCCGUUAGUUAACGAAUGUUGAUUAACUCGGUUUAAAAGAGUUUAGCUAGUUAAUCUUGAAUCGUUGGAGCCCAUGAUCUAUAGGUCCAUUAGGUUCCUCUGCUAGCUCAUAUGGAUUAAACUUAGAACAGUCUGAUGAAAUAAGUCGAAUUGUUCGAAUUGGGAGAAGAAAGAGAAACCGACAAAUAUAGUGAUAUAGUCAUCGGUCUUCUAAUUAAAAUAGAGCUUUAUGUUUUACAUACUAUAAGCAUGAAUGCGGAUUCAUACUAAGAAGCUCGGAAUUGAUAGAAUUGGUCAAAAAUAGUAAAAAAGUCAAAAUGUUGACUUUUGACUUUGAAAAGUCAAACUUUGACCGGUCUUAUAUUCAAAUGUGAUUUGAAUUUUGGAAAAAAUGAAUGCGGAUUCAUGCUCGGGAGGUUGGAAUUAGUCAAGACGGACAAAAUGGUAAAAAGUCAAAAUAUUGACUUUUGACUAAGAAAAGUCAAAGUUUGACUUUUGACUAGAAAUAUCUAAUGAUCAUUUUACCCUUGGACUAAGUUAGUUGGAAAAUACAACAUUUUGUUGGAUAAUCCCACUAACUCUUAGUGGGAUAUGUGGCUAUAUGAGAUAUAGACACCUAGCCCACUAAGUUCCACUAAUUGUUAGUAGAACAUUAGGUGUUGAGAUUUGGCAAAUUAAUUGCAUGGAUUUUUGCAUGUAAUUAGGUUAUAAAUAGAGGUGUUUUCAAAUGUUGAAGGACUUUUGCCUCUUUUAUCAUUUUCAUCAUCUCAACCAAAGAGAAAAAAGAAACCUUCCAAUCCCAUUUUAUCUCCAUUACUUUCUACACCAAAAUUGGGUCCCACAACCUGGUUCUUUGUCUAGAGGAUAACAGUUGAGUACUAGUGGUGGUCUCGGCUACUUUUUGAAAGCUUCAAAGGUAAUAUUUCCUAAAACCCUAAUUUGAUUAGUUUAUGGUUACAUGUUAAUUGUGGCAAUUAGGGUAGAAAUUCGAUUCUUUUUCUGCUGUGCAUGACUUAGUUCUAACAACCAACGCUUUGACUAGACAUCGGACGAGGCUUUCCUCGACGUCUCGCGCAAGUCGAUGAAGCUCCUGUCAGGCAAACGUUUUUGCUGACGUCGUCGUGUUUGCACGUUAGUUUUGGCAGUCCCGACAUUGUAAAUGACGGCGUUCUUCUCAACGCUGGUUUUGGCGUCGAGAUAGGUAUUCUCGACAUGUUUUGGUAAAUUUGCCGACGCAUGUGUACAUCGGAUGAACCCUUACUUUUUGUACUAUAAUCAAAUAACCUAUAAUCUGGACUCACAUUUUAAAUGGAUGACUUAAGACACUCUAAUUUUCUGCCAUUUAGUUUUCCUCCCAGCAAGACCAAAACCCCCCAUUUUUAUUACUUUCCUUUAGACUUGUUUACCUUGGAGAGAUUUUAACUUAGGGUCAUUGUGAUUUGACCAAUCUUGCUAAUGAUAUUAAUAGUUAGUUAGAUGUUGAUAACAUGUAUUUUAUAAAUGUCGUUACUUAACAAUCAAGGCGAGUGUAAAAGAUCCCUACAAAUAGCCAAAUUUAAUGACCCUAAAAGGAAAAAUAAAGUAAUUUUCAAAGGAGAGUCUUAACUUUAUUUGUGUACGUUUUAUUGAACUAUACACUUCUUGUACUAACUUAAAUAAUAAAGUAUGGUAGACUCAACACCACGUUGGUCAAAGGAUUUGGGCUUAAAAUAAGACUUAAGAAAUGGAGCAGCAAGCAAGCGUGAGAUCAAAUUCACAAGAGGCAAACAACGUAAAUCAUCCAACAUAAACUAGAGAUCCAAAUGGCAAUACAAUAUUUUGGGUAAAUGCACUCCUUUUUUAUAGUUAUAGGUUCUAUCCCCAUAUCUACCAUUGCCCUUUUGUCCUUUUCCAUUCCAAACUUUUGAAAAGGCAUUUGGUUUUAGAGCAAAUUGGGCCUUACUUUGAUGAUUACUGAGCCUGUUGGCCCAUUUCAGUUCCAACUAUUUCAAUGGAGAUUGGUCUUCCAAGGUGAUGACCCAAUUUCAACUUUUACAAGGAAAAUUCCGCUCCAACAACACUGAUUAUACUUUCAUUUGGAAUGUAAUCAAAUUAAUGGAAAUCUGAGGUUAUUGGAAUGGGCGAAGAACGGAGAGAGUUGGAUUGAAAGCUGCAUGAUUUGGCAUUACAAAUGAAGCCCAAAAGACUCAUUUUUCUACGAUUUAUUGAACAAGCGGUUAGAGUUUCAAAGAUUAGCACAAAACCCAUUUAAGACUUUUUAGCUUUGUCUUCCAUACAAUUAUCUCUAAUUUAGAAGAAACAAAUGAAGUCAAAGUAAAACUUGAAACCAAAUUGGAUAAGUAAAACAAGAUGGAGGAAGAAGAUAAACCAGACAUUACAACUCCUACGCCUCCCCAUCAUUUGGGAUUGUUUCCAUGUCCACUCCAACCAUUAAACCUUCAUUUCCACUUUCUCCUUCCUUUAACCAUCCAUCUCGCUCACCCAUUUCAUGGAGCUUUUCCAGACCCAUUUCAGAUUCUUCCCCUUCUUCCCUUAUUUCCACUUCCUCUCGCCAUCGACGACAACUAUCUGCCUCGGUUUCCUUCAAUCCUUCCGGAAACUUUGACCUUUCUUUUCAAGAUGAUGACGAUGGUAACUCCUCAAAUUUCUGCUGUUUCAAUUUCUGAAUUUGAUUUGCACCCAUUUCGAUUUAUGCAUUCCCGAAUUAGUUUAAAUGAAUUGUGAAGGUUGGGGAAUUUUUUUGGUUUCUAUCCAUUUCCAUUGAAUGAAAUUGUUUAUGUCGACUUUUUGUAGUUAGUCAUUCAAAGAGAAUUGCUCUCUUCUUGAUGAAUAAUGAAAUUCAAGUUCAUUGCUGUAUUUUGGAGAAAUAGAGAACAUAUACUGUUAGGGAAGAUUUUACUGAUGUUAUCUAGUUCUUUCUUUCCCUUGAAAUGUUAUGGAAACCAAAGAAAAGGAAGAACGAUUGUGGGGGUUAUAUAUAUGUGGGUGUGUAUAUAUAUUAUAUGUAUAUGUAGGGAGUGUUUAGAUGAUAUGAUAUUCAACUUGCAUGCACCCAUUAGAUUAAACUUUUGGUCAACCAUUGUUUACAAUGGUAUCGUAGCUUCUCCAACUAAUAUUGAUAUCUAACUAUUGUGUCUUCAGUCCUGUUUCAAACUCACAAAUGAUUGGAGUUUUAAAUGAUACAAUAUUUGUUAAAUUUGAUAAUAUGGGUUCUAUCUUAAAAUGAAUCGUCAAUAAGAGGAGUAACUCAUCUAUCUUGUAUGAAGUGUGAAUUUUUUUGGUUUUUGCAACGUGCGACUUUCAACUUCUCCAACAAUAUUAAAUUUGUUUUCACUUAAGUUCUUGCAUCAAUUGGAUGUUUAAGAGGAGUUCUUGAAAUUUUGAUGGGUCUUAACUGUUUGUUAAGAACAGAUUCUUCUAAAGUUGCACCUCCAAUGCCACCCACAGAAGGUCGAUUUGACGUGGUUAUAGAUAACGAUGCAAUUCGUUGUCUAGACUUAUCCUCAUUUCAGACAACAACUGGAAUAGUUUCACCUUUAGCUAGUAAGUUUUGGGUUGGUUGGUAUGUUUAUGUCAUUGUUUUGAAAUUAGUUCUUUGAUCGGAUCCCUGAUGAGUUCUCUUUCCUAGUAUUGUUACAGCUGAGCCAAAACAAUUCCUUGAACGUACAAUUGGUUUUACCAUUAACUAUACUCGAGAAGAUCCUUACGAUCGACGUGAAUUAUCCGAAUACCCUGACAUAAGGCUGUGGUUUGUGAGACUUGAUUCAGUCUAUCCGUGGCUACCUGUUCUGCUGGACUGGAGAGCGGGAGAGCUCGCACGGUAUGCAGCAAUGCUCGUUCCUCACCAGGUGAUGAAUUGUUAUAAAAAUGUAGAUAUUAAGUAGUGUGCAGAGACUUAUUUUUGGGAUAUUUUUGGUUGCAGAUAAGUAUGAGAAUGGGAAUUGUGUUCAAUCCUGAGGCUUUGGAGCUGUUUGUGAUGAAGAAAGUUUUUAUAGUGUACUCAUGGUUGAAGCAACAUGACAUUCCAAAGCCAAGAUUGAAAGCAGCUAAUAUGGCUAGGAUGCUUGGGUUUGGAAUUGGAGAUGAACUUUUUGACUUGAUAGAUCAACAUCCAGUUGCCCCACCAUGAAACAUGAUCUCGAAGUGCUGGGUGGAUACUAUCCAUUCGAGAACUGGUAUUAUCUUCUAAAAUUGUAAUGAUAGUAAAUCUUUCAAAAUCUUCACAGCUUAUACUGUUGAUGAAUGAGUAAUUUAGUUAUGAAGUCAUAAGAAAAAUGUUUGUUAAAAAGAAAAUAAUUUAUAUGUUCCAUCUCUUUAAAAUUACGUGCAUUUUGGGGUUCUUUUUACCCAUUUGAUCUUGUUGUUAUCGUUUUCUUUUCUCUUUUGAGCACUUAUCAAAUAUACUUUGGUUAUAGAUAAUUAUAGAACAUCGUAGGAUGUGAUUGCAGCCGAAGCCACGACCUUCCCUUUUGGGCUUAAGUUGGUUCAUAAUAUUAUUUGUUCCUAAAGAAAAUUGGCACGAAAGAUUACUAUUUUUAGUUCUUUUUUAAUCUUAAUUUGUAAUAAUUUUAGUGGAAAUACAAAAUUUGCAUUAUUGUUUUGUGACAGACUAUUAGAUAAUUAUUCAUAACAUAUAAUUGAUAUUUAAUCAAUUAUUGAGCCAACUUAAUCAAUUAAAUUCGAUAAAUAAGGGGUUGCAAAUAGGCCAAUGGGACAUACCAAGCAAUUGUUAAAUAUCACAACCAACAGUAUUCGUAGGUUAUAAUCGACUGUAAGUUAUCAUAAUUUGUGAUUGAGACGCUUACUAUUUUAACUGGGUGUUAAAUUUUUUGUUAAGUUAAAUUCUAUAAAUAAAAACACUUUCUUUUUUAGUUUUCAAAAAACUAAAAAACAUGAAACAAGUCUUAAAUUUUUUUCUAUUUUUAAAAUCUUAGACAAGUGGUCUUUAUGAUUAUUUGUUUUCUGAAAGUAACAUUUCACAUUUUUAGCCCAUGAAAGAUAAAACCAAGUUUCUAAAAGCUAUCUUUUACAUAGAUUUUGACAAUAUUGUUUGAAAAUUAAGAAAAAAAUAUAAAUGAAAGAAAAUCAAAAUUGAAAUUAGUGGUUAUAAUUAAGUGUUAGUAUGUGUUUGUUAUUAGCCUAAGUUUUUGGGUCAAACUUAAGUUUAGUUUUCUAUUAUUGAUGAAGAUUUGAGCUUUCAUAUUAGAACAUACCUUUCAUCUUUGUUAUAGGGAAGUGAUUGAUUCUUCUCAAAGUAGUUUAAUCUGUUUUUCUUAACUAUUUAAUAAAAUAUAUAUAGAAGAAAAAUCCAUUUACUUUUAGAAAAAGAAAAUUCCAAUUUGAUUAUACAAUUAACUAAAACUAGAUAGCAUAUACAUUAAGAAAAACAUUUAUGAUCUAGUUCUAUAGAAAAAGUGCAACCAUAUAAAGAAAGGACAAAACAUUUGUAUAUCAUCGUUCUUUAUUUUUCUCUACUUUUUGAUGAUACAAUAAAUUAGGUUUUUUCAAACAAUUCUCAAGAAAAAAAAAACAUAUGAAUCACCAUUUAUGAGUUGUAACGUAUAAUUCUAAAGUUAUCCGAUAGAUUGAGACUGUAUCGCAUUAAGACAAAUUGAGGUCACGUCAUAUGCAUAGCCUCCUAUACACUUUUUUAAAACAAAACUCUAGAAGUGUGGAAGGAGGAAGAAGAGAAGAUGUAGAUUUUACACAUAGAGGGCCACCUUUGUUAAGAAAAGAGUUUAACACUCCCAUGUGAUAUUGUACCCUUUUACACACCCAUGUGAGGGUUUUAACUCAUAGGCAUGGCCAUAAGAAACAAACCCAUUUGCAAUCUAAAGUUUUAGGUCUCAAAAUAAACAUAUUUAUGUUGAGAAACUUCCUUUGGAUUUCGUUCAUUACAUCUAUUAUUCUUUUGUUAUCCAUGUCUACUAGUAGGAUCUUUUUAAAACUAAACUUAUCACAUUAAUGGUAGUAGGUUUGGGUAAAGGGUUUGUCAAAAGAAAGAAGAAUGUAUGUGUAAGUAUUGAAAUAUGUGUGUCCCCUUAUUAAUACACACAAACAGACCUAGGAAUCAAGAGAUGCACUUGGAUAUCUCAUUUGUAUUCUCAUCAUUUUCAAGAAUAACUAAUGUAUAAUUUGAACAAAUGAUAAUUAAUAACAACCCAACAACUUUUUUCUUAUAGAAAACAAUGUAUUUAGACGCCGACCGUAGAAGAGAAUAGAGAAGAGAAGUAGAAAUUCUCUUUUGCCAAAAACAAUAAAUACACAUCAUUCUCAUAUCAUUUAUUUGUCAAACCAAACCCACACCAAAUUAACAAUAAAGUCUACAAGAUGUUGGUAUUAAUAAUGCCUUAUUGACCCCCACCAUUAAUACUCAUGUUGCAUUCUGUUGAUAUAUACUCAUUACAUAUCUCAUAUACCUUCCAUUGUGUUGGACCCCAUCUUUGGCAAUCAUGUCUUUUGGUUGCAGCUAUAUGUUUUCUUUUCUUUCAAUUGGGUCUCUUUUUUCGUUGCUUUAUGAGACCAAAUUAAGUGAAGUAGAGAGAGUUGUGUGAGAAAUUUGAUCUGUUUUGAAAGAUGCUAAUAGCAAAAUAUAUUAUAAGACAAUAUCAAAUUAUGGGAAGAGAGAAGCUAAGUUAAGGUCCUUUCAAUGGUGCUAGAAAAAGACUAAGACUUUUGCACCAUGUGCUUCUCAAAACAAUGACCCGACAAUGUCAUUUUUUGACAAUAAUUCUCCUCUCCCCUACUUGGAUUAAACUUGUUUUUUGAGAGCACCUACUCUCUACUUAUGGAUUGUUUUGUAGUACGGUUCUUUUAUAAGAAUUAUUAUGUGUGGAGUUUGAAAAGAUUUGUGUGAACUGAGAUGGUGCUGAAAAGGAACAACCAACCUCCACUAUAUAUCUUUGCAAUUGACCAAUUUUGUCAAUUUUGCAUGUAAAGUUACACUCGAAAAGCUUAUAUUAAUAAAGAUGAUUUUAUUUUAUUUUUAUUUUUAAUUAACGUGAAACUUUGUUUACACUCCUUAAUUGUUGUUGAUAAGGACAUUAUAAUCUCUACCUACCUAUCUCUCGACAUUAGUAUGAUAUGAUAUUGUCUACGCUUUAGGUAUAAGCGCUCGUGACUUUGCUUCUUGAAGUUAUUCAAAAGAUCUUAUAUCAAUUAAGAUAAAUUGAUUUAAUUUAUAUAAUUAAUAUAAUUAUAACGAUUUCCUUUCCUAACCACUUGGAGUCGUUUCCUCUCAUAUGUCUAGUCUCGGUCGGCUAUAAGAGCUUAAUUGCAAUUUAUCAAGGUCGGAGAAAAUAAAGCACAAUCACACAACCCAAAAGAUCCUAUACCAUGGAGAUAAUUGUUCUAACUUAUAUAUGAUCAAUGAUUGUUCCAUUCCUCAAUUAACCAAUAUAAGAUUUUAUUUCCAACCUAACAAUACUAUCGUAGAACUUUCUCUAUUAUAUAUGUCCAAAUCAAACUUAAAAGCCAACUUUGAAAAAAACAAAGUUUUGUCUAGAAAUUUGUUAAUACUAUAGUAGUACCUGCUAUAUUCGAUAAUAAAAAGAAUACAAUACUUUCAAAAUUGGAGUGAUGAGAGGUAGAUAAUGUCUUAAAAUGUUGAAAACAAUCUACUACAAGAGGAAAAGAUCUAAAUAGUGUUCAAAAGUCGGUGUGUUUUUUCAAAGAAACAAAUUAAUAGCACUUUGAGAACGUAAUUGUGAGACCCAUCAACUUCUCCAUUGAUUAAAAUCUAUCAUGUUCAAAAAAUAUUGUUUUUUCUUUUUAGAAAAAAAGUCAGAAACCAACUUAAACAUGAACACUGCUUUUUAAGGUAGCAGACAUAAUGUGAAGUAGAAAAAAAGAAAAAAAAAACGAAAAAUACUGCCUUGUUCAUUAAUUAGAAGAAUAAUUAUUUAUAUUUUGGAGAUAGGAAAUGAAAAUUGCAUAAAAAAAACUUAAGGUAAUUAAUUAAUGGCCAAAUAAGGUUUGCAAAUGACAAAGAUUUCUUAAAGCUUACAACAUUUAUGAUAGAUCCAUCUACUUUUCUGACAUGGGAAUAAGCCCUCCACAACUUGUCUUUCUCACAAAAUUAUUAGUGUUUCUUUAUUUUCUUUUCCUUUUUUUAUCCAUGUUUAUUCUUUUGUUUAAACGAUUGAUUUAUCCAAAAACAAAAAUCCAACUAUUAUUAUAUAUGAUCCACUUAAUUAAAUAAAAAUUUUAAUGAAAAAAAAUAAGUAAAUAUACAUAAAUUUUAACUUAAUGACUGAAUUAAAGUUAAGGAUAAAUUUUGCAAAACAAAAUUAGGAUAUGAAGGAAGGACAAACAAUAUGGAAACUAUUUAAAAGUUUAUUUUCACCUGUUUUUGCUUAAAGUUUUGGAAACUCUAGGUAGAAAUAAUUAAAUAUAAAAUGAAGUAUUAGAAUGUUGUUGUUGUUAUGCAUGGCAUGGUAUGGUUUGACCAGAGACAUUAAUCCAAAAAACACGUACGAGAAUGAGGAGUUAAGGUUUUUAAUUUAAUUAUGCUUUUUAUGUGGCUAAAUUAAACUACUAAAUUAAACCUUAUAUAUAAAAUAGUUAUGUAGAUAUAGUAACCAAUACAUAUAUAUAUGUAUAUAUAAAUUGAAAAGAAACAUCCAGUUUCCGAGGAACAUGUGCUGUCGCUUUGCCGGCAGAAACGUUUAACGAUACCUUUUACACCAUAUCCUUCAUCCUUCCAUCCAUGAUCUAUCCCAUUUUCAAACUUUCUUUUUUUCUGUUUUUACAUAAACAUACAUACUACUUUAAUUCUGUAUUUAUAUGAACUUUACAUACGAUGUAUCUUAAAUUUGCUACCAUUAAUAACACAUAUGAAAUCUCUUUCCAAACUCAAAUCAAAUGUUAACCCUAAUAAAUGUCGACAUUUUACUCUUCUUCUUCUUCUUCUUCUUCUUUUUUUUUUUUUUUUGGGUAAUUUAGUCUUCUUUUCAUAACAGUCACACUUCUAUAACAAAUGAAUUAAAAUAUAUUAAAACAAAAAUAGUUUUCGAAAUUAGGGACUGCAAAUAUGGGUUAUCAUCUCAUUAAGAAUAUAUGUUCAAAGGAAAAGUAAUAAUGGAUGUGUAUAUUCAAAGUAUAUUAGAUUCAGCUGGGAUUUUGAACACUACUAAUUUACACCAAGGGAGAAUAAUCAUCCUUUAAUUAUUUGGUUAUGUUUUCAAGAUAUAUUAGUAUAUUUUAUUUGGUCAAGCGUGAUUUAGUUCAAAAUAAUAAUAAAUAAUAGCCACUAGAAUUUGAUGACUUUAGUUGGUUUAAAUUAAAUUUUAAUUUAAUCCCUCUGGAGGAGUAGGUAAAGAGGUAAAGGCAGAUAAUUAGCUAAACUAAUCUAUUUAUAUUGUAUAAUAAAAAUGAACUUAUUAAUAAUGAAGAUUGUUAAUGUAUUAUAUACUUUUAAAAUGUAGAGGAAAAAUAGGAAAACAUAUAGUAUUGGAAAGAAAUUGGGAGAAGAAGCAAAAUGGUGUGGAGUGUUUUGGAGUGUGGAGUGUGGAGUGUGGGCGGUGGACUUGGGAGUGGCGGAGAUGCCACCUCAGUAAAGAGGGGCCCAAGAUAUGGACGUCCACGUGGAGAGAGCAUGCCACCACGUCGGUAAAUUUGAGUGAAUUAUGAAAAUUGGUUCCUUUCACCGUUUGUCUAGUCACCUUUCGCAUGCUUUGCAUUAAAUCUGAUUGCUUCCCAACACAUGCCUUUUGGCCCCACUCACUUCCUUCCCUUCAUAAUUUGAUGACCUGGAUUUUCACCUCAAAAUUAAAGUCUUUACAUUUUUCUAUAUUUUGCAAAAAAAAAAAAAAAAAAAAAAAAAAAAACCCCUUUUUUUUUAAUUCAAAAGUUUUCAAAUGAAGAUAUUAUAUCUUAAUGUGUGUUAAAUUGGUUACAAGUAAAUCAUAUUAAUUGAAUAUUUCAACUUAAACUAAUAUUUUCAUUUUCAAUUUUAACAUAAAUCAUCCCGGCAAAACUUCGAAAUAAUCCAACAUUCUUUUCAUAGAAGUUGGAGGUUCAAACUCCACCCUUCUUCUAAAAAAAAUCUAAAACAGCUAAAGAUUGAAGUAGACGUCAAAAUUAUCAAUUUCAUGAAUAUAUUGAUAUCCUUUUUUUUACACUAUAUUGGUAGAAGAUCAAACAUCUAACAACCUCAAAGUUAUCCUAAAUACUUAUGUCAAUUGAGUUAUGCUUGUUUUGACAUAGAAUAUAUAUAUAAGUCAAGAAAUUUAUAAAAAUUUGUUUAGAUUAUUAGUGAAGUUGUUUUAACUCCUUAACUAAACUAUCGACAAUAUUGUUAUCGUGGAUAUCGUUAUUUUAUCAUUCACGCUCGAAUAAGACUAAAUAGAUCACAUUUUUUAUGUUUUGGGAGUAUUCAUAAAAAAUAUUAAAAAUUGGCAUCAAUAUCAAAACUCUUUGAUUUAUAAAUAUAUUGACAAGUCAACCAAAAACGUAAUAAGUAUAUAAGUUAAAUAGUGUAGAGUGGCAAUAAGUGAAGGGAUUGAUCAAAAGAUGGAUGCAGCAUUUUCCUUAUCCUCAAUUGCAAAGGGCAUUUGAAGGGUUAUGAUUUUGCACACAUGAUGGUGCCUCAAUGAAGACAAGCCAUUUGAUUUGAUCAAUCAUCCAAAACAGCAUAUGGCCCUACAAUAAUGAAUUAUAGCCUCUUGAUUCGAUUAAUCAUUCUAAAUACAAUAUAGGCAACAAAAUAAAAUUGAUAUUUAAUUAUUUUGGCACUUGGCAAAUCCAUCUGUCUUCUCUUAACAAGAAGGGUUAUUGGCUUACAAUAUUGAAUCAUGACUCCUUAAAAUAGUACUAUUCAUUCUUUUAUAACCAUGCAAAUGGGAUCGUAAUAUUUUAGAUUUGAUCUGUAUAUUUUUCAUUGUAUAUAAAUUUAGAUUUUUGGAAUAGUUAAAUCAUAUCCAUAAUUUUUCGGUAUGCAAUUAAGAUAUUAUUCCAAAGUUUAUUUGUAAACGCAUGUUAAUAAAUAAUUAAAAGUUAAAUAUUUUUUUUAUUAAUCAUAAACUAAUUGUAGUGAAGUGAAUUUACAAUUUUAUUGAAAAGUGCAUAUAGUAACUAAAAUAAUUAAUUAGACAUUUAAAAAAUACGUUAAUUAAAAUCACAUAAAACUCUAAAAUAUAUAGACAAAGGUGAUAUUUGUUUUAAGAGUGUAGGUUUGAAAUUUGAAUCAUUUCAAAUAUUCAGGCCAUCAAUGAAUUUAGGGUUAAAAAUUAGGUUGUAUUUGUUUUCCUUUUGACAAAUGGUGUCAUUUAUUUCCAAAAUAAAGGAAGACAAGAUAGAAGAAAAAUAAAAGUGGAAGUUGAAAGUUUUGACAAAUCUUCAAAGUGGAACCCACACAUUUCUCCUUUAUAGUUUAUAUAUGUGUGUGUGUGUGUGUGUAUAUAUAUAUAGUAAUAAUCUUCAAUUGCUAAGCCAUCAAGCAUUCACAAUUUCCCCAUAUUUCUCCUUCAAAUAAUCUUCUUAUAAAAGUACUUUCAAAUAAUUCUAAUAAUAAUAACUUUAAAAAUCCCUUAUUUAUAUCUUCCAUUUCUGACCACCUUAAGGAUUCCAAAAACUGUCUUACUUUUUCGUAUCCUUAGUUUUUCUUUCUUCUCUUUGAUCUCCUCUUAUAAACAUUAUAAAGUCCUUUUAUCCAAAAAAUGAGCUCCAAUAAUUAUGCUCUACCUUCUCUUCUUCUCCUCCUCCUCCUGGUCUUCUUCUUCUUAUCUAAUGAAGCUCAAGGUAUGCACAACUUUUUCCCAUUUCUGUUAGAUGGGUUUUGUUUAUUUUGCUGUUCAAUUUUUAUUAUGCAUUAAUGGAAUUAUAAUGAUUGUGAGUUGUUUCUUCUAUUUUGUGAAAGGUAUUCGCUUGGGAAAUGGGAUCAUCAUCAAGCUUGUUGGCCAACUAGAAAAAACCCUAGUGAGUUUUCUUCCAAUCCCAGUGGAUUUCAUUUGUUUUUAUAGAAUUAUUUGAAUUCAUUCUCCAAUUCUAAAAAUAAAAUCAAUAUUUUUUUUUUUCAAAUUUUGAAUGAACUUUCCUAAUAGAAAAUAAUCCGUCUUUAUAAGCUUAAUUUUCAAGGAAAAAAGGUUUAUAACUCAACAUUUUGAGUUUUUUUUUUCUUUCUAAUUUGUUUAUUUGGUCAAAAUCUUUAAUAUUGAUAUUGCAGGAAGAAGUAGAAGGUUUGAAGGAAACUACUAUUUGUGAGAAUGGGCAUUGCAAUUCAGGUAUGCUAUUUAGUGAAAUAGUGCAAUUUAAAUCUUCCUUGGUGACUUUUUCUUUUCUUUUCAAAAAGUCAACUUAUAAAUUAUAAUAUCUAUUUUUCCUUUAUGUUUUUAUACUUGAAACCCAAAAUUUGCCAACUGAAAAAGUAGUUCUUCCAAAACAAAAAACAAAAAAGAAUUUUUGUUAAAAAAAAGAGGAAAAUGUGGACUUAAAAGGUGAGAGAUAUCUAUAUCAAACAGAGUUAUAUAUACUUUUUUAUGCAUUAAAUUGUGCAAUAAAAAUGUUGAUAAAAUAUCAUUAAAAAGGCAACCCAAAUGGGACAUACUAUUUCAUAAAUUUAUUAUUGUGUGUGUGUGUAUAUACAUAUCCACAUCUGAAGUGUGGGUUUGACAUUAUUUGAUAUUUAUGAUAUAUUUUGCAGGAAACAAUAGAAAACUUAUGACUGUGACUGCACCACCAAUACCAUCAUCUCCAACUCCUUCUAUAAGGGUUAGUCAUCCAUCACUUCAAUCUUAUUUAUUUUUAAAAACAUUCAUGAGUGAGCAUUUACUAAUUAAAAUUAAUUCUUUUUUAACAAUUUUAAAAAUUCUUACUUGUAUUUUGUCACUAUUUUUAUCAUCCUUCCCACCUCAACAUUUGAAUAAUGGAUAAAGCUAAAUUAUAUUUCUAUUUAGACUCAGUUUACGAGUUUAUUUCCUCUUAGUAGUUUUUCAUCUAUAUAAAAUUUUGAAAAUUUUGCCAAUUUUUCAAAACAAAAAAUUGUUUUUUUUAGUUUUCAAAAUUAGGUUUAAUUUUUUCCAUCACACUUGAUCUUCUAAACUAAAAAACAAUAGUCAAAUAGUGUAAGAAGAUCUUUUUAAGGGAGUGGUUUUUAUAAACUUAAAAAGUUCAAAUAUUUCUAUUAUAUUUCACUGUGUCUCCAAUAGUAUUGAUCAAUUACUAUAAACCCAAGAAAGUUUAAUCAACAUUGAAUUAAUUAAUUAAUGGUUUAUUGUGUUCUUGGUACAGAAUAAUGAAGGAAACUACAAAAAGGGGAUCAGCCCCAAGUCAUCAAAUAAAGAAGAAUCAUCAAGUGUGAAAAAGAAGGAUAAUUUGGAGAAUUCAGAGGCAGUUUCUAAAAAUCUUGAGGCAGCUCUUGACCUUAUAGACAUUGCAGAAAUGGACUAUUCUCCAGCAAAACGAAAGCCUCCAAUACAUAACUAAUCCCAAAAUUUAAAAAAGGGUUAAAACAACAACCAAACAAUAAAGUUUAUAUUUAAACAAAAAAAGUCUAUAUAUUCAACAAAAAGGGUAGAAAAAAAGAGAUAUAUAAUUUGGCAUAUAAAAGACAGCCUUACACAAAUGCUGCAGGUAUUUUAGGGUUUAGCUUAGGGAAACUGUCCUUUUGUACAAAGCAUUAUUAUUAAAAUGCUAUGUUAUAUAUUAAUAUCAAUUAUUAUUAUCGGUGUUAUCAACUUAUCAUUGCUUGUGAUUGGAUUUCUUUUUUUCUUUUUUGACAAAGCUAAUGUUUUUAUUGUAAAACUAAUGAUCUUAUUAUUACAAAUGUUUUUGCAUGGAUAAAAGUAACAAUAAAUUAAUCUAAUUAUUAUAUUAUUCCACAAACUUGGGUGGGUUUUGUAUAUUUGUUAAUAUAAUUAAUCAUGUGUAUGUUUGGUAAUUUUUAGUUUGAGAAAAGAACAAAAAGGAAUCAAGUAGUAGUGUGGUGUGGUUCAAGACUUUGGUAUAUGUAAAUGUAUAUAGUAUCACCCACAAGUAAGGUUUGAAAAUCAAUCAUAACUCAUUGUACUCUAUGUUCAUGGGAAUCCCCAAUCAUGUUCUUAUAGAAAUUAGAUUCUAAUCAAGGUUUUUUUUUUUUUCUUUAAUGGGUAAAAUUAUAAUAAUAAUUAUUAUUAUUAUAUAUCAUUUUUUUGUCCUGCUUGCUUAUACAACAUGUAUUACUUUAAUAGGUGUAGGAUUACCUUUGACAUUUUAUAUAAUAUUUUUAAAACUACUCUUGUAGUAAAAAAAUUCAGAAGGUUAAUUAAGAAGGGAAAUCAACAUGGUGGUUAUCUAAAAAUAUAUAGAGAUAUUGAUUUUUUAUCCAAUAUACUAAUUGUUUUUCUACUCGUUUUAACGUUCAUCUAAUGGUCAAGUUUAUUAUAUAUGACAACUUUGAAUACAAUAGGUGGAGUACACUUUAAACAAAUGGUGAAGUUCAAAGCAUACUGUUUUAUAAUUUAAUCACGUUGUUUUCUACAUCAUUUAAGAGUAAAAUCAUAUGAGCUCAAAACUUUCUUUUUACAAAAAUGGACAACUAUAUAUCAUGUUUCACCUAUCUCCGUGCAAUUCAAAGAGUUGUUCAAUAAAAAAAAAUCUCAAGAAAAGAAAAGAGGAAGAUUUAAUUUUUAUUUUGUGUUUGUUAAAAAUGAGAAAUAUGAGAUUAAUAAUUCAAGUACAAUAGACUACACCUAAUUAUUGUCGUUAUCGUAUAAAAAUAAGAAAUAGAAACUUUAAACAAACAAAAAAUGAAUCUUAUCAUACAAGCUCUUGUAUGGACACCCUCGUGUAAUAAUUUAGAUAUAAAAUUUGUUGUUUUUUCCAACGUAUUUACUCUAGUUUAAAAACAAAAUAAUUUUUUUUUAAAUUUUUUUAUAGGUAUAACUCAUAGUAUUUAAAAUAUGAAAGGGGAUUAGUAGACCACUUCAAAAAUGGACUUUUAUAAAAGUAAAAUUUAAUUAUUAUAUUAUGAUGCUCCAUCGUAUAGAUUUGCAUGAGUAAAAUAGUGAUAAUUGAAAAUUGAAGGGUUAGAUCUCCAACUCCAACCCCAUUAUUUAUUGAACAAAGACAAAAGAAGUAGGGAAAAGCAAAAUUGAACCAUCUGAAGAAAUGAGAGAAAAGGAGACAAAAAUGGUUAGUAAUUUAGAAGAGGGAAUGAAAAUGGUAGGUGUGGUGCGUAAUGGGAACAAGGGCAUGGUGUCCCUUAAGGAAAGGCCAAAGGGACCCACAAAUGGGCUUGUGAUUCUUUUGUUUGAACCAUUUUUUUUUUAAUACUCAUUCUUCUUACUUUCUUACAAUACAACUUUUUACCCUGUGGGCUUCCCCCAUGUUGUUGUUUAGUCAAGAAUUUUGGGCCCAUUGAGCCGAAAUUGCGCUCAACCAUAUGUAGGGGCACUAGAUUAGGACAUAUAUCUUCAUGCUACCUUUUGUCUACCCUUUCGGGUGUAUACUACAUAUACUCUUUACUCACUUUGCCAUGGGUUUAAAUGGACCUAAACGCCCUAACCGACAUUCGGUGAAGAUAAAGAGGUAAUCGGACCAAGAAUAGACCAAACAUAAGUCAAUUGUAGCACCCUAGCAUAUUGUUGAAUCGGGCAUGUUUUGGUUCUAUUAGCCUUGUUAGAACCGUGUUUUAGAUGACUUAGGUCAACACACUGUAACUAUAUACAUACAUUAUUAUUAUUCUAGUUCUAGUAAAAGUUCGUGUUCAUUCCUUCUCUCUAAUCCCAAACUCUUAUGCUUGCUUCAUUUGAUGCAUAUGCAUUCAAGUGUGCAAAUUCUCAUUCUCAUGUUUUUUUAAGAAACGAAUUUGGCUUGGAUUUUGGUGUAUCAAUACACGACGUUUAGCAUUGAUAAACCCAUCUUUCUUGUUUUCCAAUUUAGAUUUAACCAAAUCAUUACUAUAUAAUAGUAUGGGUUUAAAUUAGGAAUCUAUAAUUAAUCUCUAUUUAGCUUCUUCUUUUUACUUCAUUGUUUUUCUGUUGUGUUACCAAUUUAGGUUGAGUUUGAACUAAUUUUCAAAUCUUUAAUUUCAAAUAAAAAUAAAUGAUUUAAUAGAUACUUUUUUCUCUAUUUAAUUUAAAUGGGUCUUUAAAUCUUUGGAUUUUGAAGUUUAUAUUUAUUUGAUCCUUGAACUUAAGGACGUUGAAUAGGUCACUUGAACUUUUAAGGAUGUUGAAUAGGUCACUGACAUAUACAAAAGUUAAAAAAAAAAUCAAUUUCUCUAUUCCAUAUAAAUUUAAAUUUUAAGUCUAAUGAGAUACUCUAAACUUUCAAUUUGAUGAUCUCAAGCAUUAACAUAGACAUGACGUGUUAUUUAUUAUCUGGCCAACUAUUUCUCACAUAAAUUAAAACUUACGGCAUGAGAAAAAUCGAUGCUUGCAAUGUUAAAAGAACCAUAAGAAAAAUAAUUUCAACAAGGAAAAAGUGAUGGGGUGUUUCACAGAAGAAGUUGGUUCUAGUACCUUUAGGCUUAGGGUUGACCUAUGCCAUUUAUAAGCAAGUUCACCUAUAUCAGAUUUGAAGAUGGAGAGUUAUUGCAAUACAUUUAUUAUAACACAGUAAAAAAUAUAAAUUUGAGUCAUCUUUCUUGUCACCUUGUAUCAACUUGUAACAUUAUAAGCAAAACAAUAUGAAGCUGAUUAUUCAUGGACUAAGCUCAUUGUUCUAGUAAUUCUAUAUACCAAGCCAUCGGCAGAUUCUGAUUAUUUUUUGUAUUCUACACUCAAUAACUGUGUAGGGUACAUGAAUCUUUCCUUUCUAAGGAAUACAAAAGAAUGGGAUACAAUGAUGUACAAAUACCGUUGAAAAUUUCCUCAAAUGUAUUUUUUCUUUCAGAAAUCUCCUACUCUAAUUGUUUGAACGUAUUUCAAAAUUUCUUAAGAUCUCUUAGACUAUUGUUGGUGAGGUCUGCCUAUUAGAAAACCAUCGUCCUUCGUCCAACUUUUCUUUGAUUUCAGUUCUUGCUAAGCAAACCAAGCAGAGAGCAGCAAAGAAUAUGGAAAGAAUCAGCACGAAAAACACACUGUUCCAUCCAAAUCUGGAAAAAUAUCCUGCCAUUAGAGGGCCAAGAGCUGCCCCAACAGAUCCAGUCCCAUCAAUGAUCGCAGUUACGGUUGCUAAAGCGCGUGAAUUUCCGCCGAUUGAACUCUGAGUACCGAGAUCAGCAGCAACCGCUGUUGUAAUAAGCGAGUAUGGGCCAUUGACAAGUAAUCCGGAAAGAAACAUCAAACAGGUGUUGGUGAUUAUGGAAAUGCUCCCAAAAGCACGGUAUAGAACUAGAGCAGGAACUGAAAGUACUAGGAAUGUUAUUGAAGUAACUGCACGGGCAUCAAUCAAAUCAGAGAUAAAUCCUGCUAAAAUUCCACCACAAACACCUCCGAUGUCAAAUAUUGUUGAGAGAAUGCCGGCUGUUUUAUGAGAUAAAUGCACACCAGCAACAGCUAACCAACAGAGAAAAGACUAGUAUAAGCAAUUGGACUACAAAACUAGAAUUAGAAAAUCAUUUUCACAUCAUUCUGAACCUAUUUAGAAAUAUAAACCCUUCAGGAUUGAGUGUCUAAACAACUAAGAACUCUCGAAGACACAUUCAUUCUAAAAUUUGUAUUUCAAAGAAUGUUAACAUUCCUUAGCAAUAAGAAACAAGUACCUGUGUGUCUGAUGUAAAAUGGCAACCAGUAGAGAAAGGUGUAAGCGACCAGCUUUGAAAAGAAAAGACAAGCGGCAAAUGGUGCAACGCCGGGUAACCUCCAUGCCUCUAAGAAACCAAUUGCAGCCAUAGAAUCUGAAUGUACAUCAUCAAGUAAUACUGCCUCCUCAGAAUCUGUAAUCUCCAAUUUUUCUACUGGACUCACCUCACCGUUCAAUUCAAUCUGACCAUCAGAGUUUCCAAAGCCAAUGUCUCUUGGACUUACAACAAGAAACAGAAACACCAAAAUGCCGACGAAAAUCACUAAAGCUCCAGGUACCACAAACGACCAACCCCAUCCAAGUUCCAAGAUCCCGGAAGCUAUAAUCGAUCCAAGAAUGUUUCCAACCGAAGUAUGUGAAUUCCAGAUCCCCAUUAUCAGUCCCCUCCUAGCUCUACCAAACCAAUUUCCUACAAUUGCCACCACACAUGGCCAUCCAAUUGACUGAACUAAACCACACACAAUCUGAACACUAAUAAAAAACCACAAGACAUGAAGAUUUAACCAAUAUCCUAACCCGAAUAGUAUUGUACAAAUACCGCUACCCAUCAUCCCAAAAACAAGAAACAACCUCAAAUCAAUACGGUCACCAACGUGUCCUGCAAAAUACAUUCCAAUGGAAUAUGCAGAAAGAAAUGCAAGAUCAAGCUCCCCAAGCAACUGGGUACCAUCAGGGCCAUUAAAAGGAGCCCACCCAGUUCCAUUGGAAGUCAAAUCCGAUUCAAUCGAAGUCAAAUUCAGCAAAAUGGUUGAUGAGUUUACUGGGAUUGUUGGUCCAAGCACACUCUUGACAAUACUAGGAGGUUUUCUUGAGGCGUGGAAGGACGCAUAUGCAAAGAAAGUGAUGGUCAGAACUAAGAUUCUGUGAAAAUCUAAAGUUCUGUGGGGAGGUUUAAGGCAUGGUAUCAAAUCAAUCGCUGGAGCAACGGAGCGAUUUGAUAGCAUCGUAACCGAUCCGGGAAGAUAAUCACAGUAAAAUACAGAACAACUAGAGAAAACCUCAGAACAGUCUCAAGAUUAAAGAGGACGAACGCAAAUCAAUCAAGAUCGUUGUACAGUUGCUGCAAAACCUAUGCAACCUGUACAAAAGAAAAAAGAAAGGAUAAGAAGCUCUACGAAAUUGAACUUUCCCUCUCCCCCAUUUGCAAAUAAGAAGAACAAGUACAGAAGAUUACAAUGUCUGAUUCAGAAGAUAGGCUCAAUAAAAGAUUCAAGAAGAAAAGAAAUAAAACCCUGAAUCAGACACUGAAAUUUCCUGGAAAGAGACGGAGGUAAUGAAUUAAGACAGUGGCGGAUUAAAAUUUUGACCAAUCGAUUGCUUCGGAUUUAAGAUUUCAAAGAGAAGGUCGGAGCUAGGGUUCCGACGACGAGAAAAGUCCAAUCUUGCGGUUUCGGAUCGGAUCUUCGCGUCAUCGUCGGUGACUUAACCGUUACGGAGUUUGGACUUUCGAAAUGUAAUCCACUUUACACUAAAUUAGAGAAACUACCCACAUUUUUAUUUACAAAAUCACCUUCAAUAUUAUCUCUAAAUUCUGACAGAAAUUUGAAAAAUAACCUUCUUUUAACUAUCUUUUUUCUCUUUUCUAUAUAAGAGAAGUUGGAACUCGAAUGAUGUGACGAUGCUCUAGAAUGAAAAAUUGAAUCAUCACACUAUAUCUCAAAAUCAUCGUCACAUCGUCUCAAAUUGAAAUUUAUAUCUAGAAUUAUAAAAGACUUCUACUCCAAUAAAAUUUGAAACAAUUGCGAAAAUUCAUUAUAAAAUAAUGGAUAAAGUUUAUAUAUAGUUUCUAUAAUUUAACCGGAUCGUUGCACAAUAGUUUUCAAAAUUAUUUUCAAAUUUAUCAAUGAACACAACUCCUUGGCGUUACUCUAUGAGUCCUAAGGGUGUAUUUUCCUUUUGGUUCAAUUAGCUGAUUUGAUAAGUCCACCCAUAACAAAAAUGAAAAAUUCAAAUUAACCCCUUACAUGUUAAUAUUUGAAGGUAUACAUAUAUGUUGUUAUAUAAUCUUUCAAGCUUCUACACAUUCUUUGUAGCAUUGAUUGUUACCUUUCAUUUUAACGAGAGAAAAAGGUAAUUCUUUGGGAACAAUUUCAAAAUUAUAAAGGUGUUCACACCAGAUUUAAGGAAAAAUGUAAUUCAUGAAAUUGAACUUCGUAUAUUGAUGAAUAUUGUGAAUACAAUCUCUAAUAUUUACUCAUUUGGUAUUUUCUCUCUAAUACAAGCUAAAAACUUAAAACUUCUUUAUCUUCGAUUAUUUUCAGGAUGUUGUAAAUUUAAGGAAAAUUUAAUCUUUCAAGACGUUGAUCUCAAAGUUGAUACGAACUUGCACAUAUUAAGAGCUUGUAGAAGUUUGAAUCUUCGAUACUUUAGAGUUUCAAUUCUUCUUUCAACCAAAAGAUGCCCUCAAAAUAAUGUCUCUGUUUAUAGAGAAUUUUCAUUGGUUUUAGGUGGGCUUGAGUCCAUUUACUUGAUCGACUUGGGCUUGAGCCCAUUUUACUUGAUGAACUUGGGCUUGGAUUCAUUUGUCUAUUGGACUUGGGUCCAUUUGCUCGACGAGCUUGGACCCAUUAUUUCUUUGGUCCCGUUUUUAUUUAAGGGACUUUAGUUUGAUAUGAAAAUGUUUGAUGUCAAAAAUGAUGAAUAUCAUAAUUUUAGUGUGAUAAUGUAGCAUAAUUAUGAUCAACUUAAGGUUUUAGAAUUUAAAUGCAUAAUGAAAAGGCACUUCCUAUAAUUUAACUAAAUUAUUUUAGUGUACAAUUUUAUAUAAUGUUUUAUGUGUUUUAAACUAAAAAGAAAAUUAGGCAUAUAAAUAGACUAUUUGUGGAGAUCUAAAAAAAAUAGUCUUUAACUCAUUUGAUUAGGGUUGUAUCAAACACCCUCCCAAAUAAAACUCAAAAAAUAUGGAAGGUUUGGAUAAUUUAACUUAGCAGACCAAACUAAAUAUCAUUUUUAAUUAGUCUAUUAUUGUAUUUGUACUAUAUUUAUAUUUAAAAGAUAGGUAUGUGGUUGUAAUUUUAGAUCAAAUAUCAAUUUAUACUUUUGAACAAUCGGUUGUAUCAAUUUAGAUCUUUAACUAACAAUUGUAUCAAUUUAAAUUAUGAACUUUAGGGAGUUAUAUCAAUUAAAACAUUAAACUAAUAGUUGUGUCAACUUAAACUCCAAACUUUCAUUAGUGUAUUAAUUUAAACUCUCAACGUUCAUAAGUUAUCCAAAUAGAAGAUAAUUGAGAGUUUAAAUUGAAACAAAUGACAAAAUCUCAGUCAUGCACAACAAAAUAUUUGAUCUAAAUCACUCUAAUUGAAUCUAAUCUUAGUUAGAUAUUAGCAUGCAUUACUACUAUAAUUAAAAUGAAAUUAGGGUUAACGAAAAUCAUGCCUUUGAACCUCCCAAUUAUCGUAGUCUUCACAUAACCCCGAACUCGAACCACUACUAGUAUUGACCUGUUAUUCUUUGAAAUUAGAAUAGGAUUAUGGGACCCGAUAAAUGUAGAAUUGAAAUGAGAGAGAUAUGAAAAUUUUAGAGGGAAGAACAACUUCUUCCAUAUGAGGAUUUUUUUUCUUCUAGUUAAGUUUUUUUUUUCAUGAAUAAGUGGAAUUAUACAACCGAUGAAAACAAAAGAAAACUAUCAAAAGUUUUUUUUUUUUUUUUUUUUUUGUAGCACUCGCUUUUAGUGGGCUAGGUGUCAUCACCAUGAGCUUUCAUGUAGCCCACGGAGACUUAAUUAGAUUAUCCAACCUUUUCUACUAACUUAAGUCCAGGGGCAUUUUGGUCUUUUCUCUAAAGUCAACAUUUUGAUUUUUUUCUUUCAUUUUGUACGACUUGACUAAUUUUGAUUUCCUGAGCAUGGAUCUGCAUUCAUUUUCUCAAAAGUCAAAUCACAUUUGAAUAUAUCACCGAUCAAGGUUUGAUUUUUCAAAAGUCAAAAGUAAGCAUUUGACUUUUUACAACUUUGACCAUUUCCAUCAAUUCUGAGCUUUCGAAUAUGAAUCUGCAUUUAUAUAUCACCGGUCAAGGUCAAAUCACAUUUGAAUAUAUCACCGAUCAAUGUUUGAUUUUUCAAAAGUCAAAAGUAAGCAUUUGACUUUUUACAAUUUAGACCAUUUCCAUCAAUUCUGAGCUUUCGAAUAUGAAUCUGCAUUUAUAGUCUUAAUAUUUAAAUCAGAUUUAAACAUAAAACUCUAUCUAAUAACUGAUAACUAACUGCUAUAUCACAUAUACUUGUCGAUUUUUCUCUCAUUUCUUAAGUCGAAGAAUUCAAAUCAUUCAAUCAUAUUGUUUUCAGUUUAUUCCAUAUGAGUUAGCAGAUGAAUCUAAUGGACCUAUAGAUCAUGAGCUAUAACGAUUUGAGAUUAACUAGUUAAACCUUUUUAGACCGAGUUAAUCAACAUUCAUUAACUAACAGGUCAUUUUAUUAAAGUCUUAUAAUUGCACCUCUCCUUACUAUAGAUAUAUUUGUGUCCAUUUGAUAUAACCACAUGAUUAGUAAGUUAAUUCUUCACAGGUUAUUUGUAGUGUUGGCUAGGUCAAAAUAUUGUUUUACCCCCGAGAUUACAUCUCAUUCCUUAAGUCCUAAUAACCCACUAUCGAACAAUUGGUUUAAGAUCCAACCGAUAAAAUAAAUCUCUCUCGGGCUAAUGAGAGGAUGGACCUCUAUUCAAGAUCAUCUAGAUUUAGUCCUUAAGGGAACAACCUAUCUACUAACCCUAUAAAUGAGCAUAAGUGAAUUCUAUCUUCCAUCCUAUGUUCUCAACUAUCCACUCGAUCUUACCCCUGAAAUGAGAGACUUAAUGAGCUAGCGUUGAUGAGUUGCCCUCACCUAUGCAGGUUUAAGGAUAUUCCUGUGUGAAUAGAAGUUCCUACUUAGCUUAGGAUUAAGAUUAAAGUUACCAAGAUUAUCAAUAAACAAAAAAAUAGUCAGUCUUAAAUAGUAAAUAAUGUUAUAGUGAAAUAGUGACUUUCAUGGGUUUAGUCUUAUGUAAACACUUUACAUAAGAUGCCCCACUUUCAUGUCUCUACGUGAACGAUUCAAGGUCAUAUUGUUUAUACUAACUACAAAGUGAGUUGUAUCCAUAAUCUUACUAGCUAGAAUAAGGUGUCCAACAUUAUUCAUAUACUAUAGAUCGUUUAGACUCUAUAUACUCGAACUUGAUCCAAGUUUAUGUCUCUACAUAAAGUUCAAGUCUACAUUAGAUAGUCCUGUGAUCUUAAUUCAUUGGAUGAUCAUUAUACUUCCCAAAAAUCAAAAUUCUUGAUCAAUGGUGGAACAAUAUCACCAUUUUUGUUCAAUAAGAUACCAAAGUGGAUGAUUGACUCAUUUCAUACUAGAAUCCUCAAUAACAACUUUAUUAAAUAGAAUAUAGUUUUAAGUUACAAACUACGAGAUUUAGACACUAGAAGAAAACCUGUCUACUAUGACAGUUCUAUAUCUCAAAAAAUGAAUGGAAAAAAAAACUGUCACAAAAUAGAGAAUUUCGCGUUUUUUGCGGGAAAAGACGAAAUUUUUCGGAAAACAUUUUUCGCGACAGUUAUUAAAUGUCAUAGAAUGUUAGGGUUAAAAAUUUUAUUAUUUUAUAUUUAAAAAAUUAAAAUUACCUAUUUAUAUUUUUAAAAAAACCCAAAUUCCCCAAAAUUUUCCCCAAAUUUUUCCUCCCAUCCGCGUGCCCUAACUUUCCCCCAAAUUUCCCCCAAUUUCUUCCUCCCCUCGGCGUGAAGUCCCGUCGCCACCACCACCCCCCUCCUGCCCGUCCGUCGAAACCUUCUCCACCAACCCGUCGCCACCACCCCCGUCUUCUCCAAACCUCUCCAAUCAACCCGAAGCUUCAAAUCGUGGGCGUCGGUCGUCACCCCACCCCUCCGCCGGUAAGCUUCUCUUCCUUAUCUCUUUCUCUCUCACUCUCUCUCUAUGAAGUUCUUCGUUGUCUCCAUUGGAUUGUUUCUUGAGUUUUAGUUUAUCCCAAUUUCAGUCAUUAAUCUUUGAUUUUCUGUUAUAUGACCUUAAUUUGUUCUUGCAAGCACAUGAGCUUAUUUUGUGAAUUUGAUUUAUGCUCAAUUUGUGUUUUCUAACGGUUAGCUUCUCUUCAAUUUUAAUUUCUGAGUUAGCUUAUUAGUCUAAUUACUUGUACAAUGUAAGCCAAAGUACUUAUACAAACCUACCCUAAUCAACUAACUAAGGACAAACUAUUGUUAUAAUUAUUUGUCAACUAAUUCCCUUCAUCAUUCAUCAUGUCUGUAAAGGAAAUUGUCCUUGAAAUGUUUUAGAAUAAUUGGGGGUUGUUGAACCUAGUCCAUAAGUUUCCUUCAAGAAAAUUCCUAAAUGGUAUGAAAUAAAUUGUUAAGUACUUUGAGGAUUAUCUACCGUUUUGAAAGUUUGAGUUUUAAAAGUUGUUGCCUAUAAUCUCUUUUGUAAUCAGGUUUAUUUCGAGGCCAACUUAGACCUCUACACAAUGGACAAGUCAUGGAUGACCCAAAAUAGGAUGUCAAGAGAAUAUGAUUUAGGAGUCGAAAGGUUCAUUAAAUUUGGGUUGAGUCAUGCCAAAGGUCUUAAUUCAAUUAGAUGUUCAUGUUUGAAUUGCGGCAAUCGUUUACUUAAGGAUGUCUCAACAGUUCGGUAUCAUCUGUAUGCCAAUGGAAUUGAUAAGAGUUACAAGGUAUGGAUCUGGCAUGGUGAAGAAUUGAACUCAGAUAACGUUGCCAACACGAUGGAAACUACAGUGGAUGAAACUGAUGAAAACGACGAUUUAUUUAAUACAAUUAAUAUGGUACAAUCUGUUCAAGAACAAUCUUUUAAUGCAUCAAAUACCUUCGACACUAUGUUUGAUGACGCGAAGAAACCCUUAUACCCAGGAUGUAAGAAAUUCACAAAGUUAUCAGCCCUCGUGAGAUUGUAUAACCUGAAGGUUAGGUAUGGUUGGACGAAUACUAGCUUCUCUGAAUUGCUGUCCAUAAUAAGUGAUCUAUUACCUGAUAACAAUGAAAUUCCAUGUUCUUUGUACGAAGCGAAGAAAACACUUGGUGCCCUAGGACUGAGUUACCAAAAGAUUGAUGCAUGCCCUAAUGAUUGUUGCUUGUACAGAAAAGAAUAUGAAAAGUUGACCAAGUGCCCUAAGUGUGGUUUGUCAAGGUGGAAGAUCGCUAAGAACUCAAAGAAGGAAAAAAGUGGUGUGGCUGCUAAGCAGAUGUGGUACUUUCCAAUAAUUCCAAGAUUUAUAAGAAUGUUCAAGAGAUCUGAAAAUGCUAAGAACUUGUGUUGGCAUGCGAUAGAUAGACAAGUUGAUGGUGUUUUGAGACACCCGGCUGACACUCCAUCAUGGAGAUUGAUAGACCACAUGUGGCCAACCUUUGGGUCAGAACCGAGAAAUCUCUGUUUGGGUUUGUCUACUGAUGGAAUUAACCCAUUUGGAGAUAUGUCAACGACGUACAGUUGUUGGCCCAUCAUCACUACAAUAUACAACCUUCCACCAUGGCUGUGUAUGAGAAGAAAACAUUUGAUGCUGACAAUGUUAAUAUCAGGUCCAAAGCAACCGGGGUACGAUAUCAAUACGUACUUAGCACCUUUAAUUGAUGAUCUACAAACGUUGUGGACGGAUGGAGUUCGUUGUUUCGAUGCAUAUAAGGAAGAAUAUUUCACACUGCGGGCUGUCUUAUUAUGGACCAUCAACGAUUUUCCAGCAUACGGUAAUCUAUGCGGUUUUAGUGUGAAAGGAUACAAGGCUUGUCCAAUAUGUGGAGAGGAGACUACUUCUAUAAGAUUGCAACAUGGAAAGAAAAUGUCAUACAUGGGACACAGGAAGUAUUUGCCAAGACAUCAUCCAUACAGAUUACAAAAAAAAAAAUUUAAUGGGAAGCAAGAGCAUGGAAUUCCUCCACAACCCUUGUCGGGCGAGGCCAUGUACCUUAAGAUGAAAGACAUGAUAUUUUCAUGUGGGAAGAAGUGUGGGAAGACUGUGCAUAAUGAAGGUGGCAAUGACUAUUGGAAAAGAAGACCUGCUUUUUUUCAACUACCAUAUUGGAAACACUUGCAUGUUCGACACUGUUUAGACAUAAUGCAUAUUGAAAAAAAUGUAUGCAUGAACAUAGUGGGCACCUUACUUGAUAUACCAGGAAAAAGUAAGGAUGAGAUGAAUACUAGACUUGACUUGGUUGAGAUGAAAAUUAGACCAGAAUUGGCACCAACGUUUACUGGUAAUAGAACUUAUAUCCCUGCGACAUGUUAUACACUGUCAAAAGAAGAGAAGUAUCGAUUUUGCAAGACUUUGUCAGAAAUUAAAGUUCCAGAAGGUUAUUCAGCAAAUAUUAGUAGUCGUGUCUCUUUGGAUGCCUUAAAACUGACCGGCCUUAAGUCGCACGACUGUCAUGUUUUAAUGCAGCAACUGCUUCCAAUUGACAUUCAGUCCUACCGAAGAAUGUGAGGUACACUAUUAGUAGAUUGUGCUUCUUCUUCAAUACGAUUUGUGCCAAAAGUUUUUCUGUCUCAGAUCUUGAUGCACUUCAAGAAGAUAGAGUUCUGACUUUAUGCAAUCUUGAGAAGUAUUUCCCACCCUCGUUUUUUACAAUCAUGGCUCACCUUGUCGUUCAUCUCGUUAGAGAAGUAAAGCUUUGUGGACCAGUAUAUUUGCGAUGGAUGUACCCAUUUGAACGAUGCAUGAAAGUGUUGAAAAGUUAUGUUCGCAGUAGAGCUCGACCGAAAGGAUGCAUUGCAGAAGCAAGCAUAUGCGAGGAGACAGUUGAAUUCUGUUCAGAUUUUCUUUCUGGAUUAGAUCCUAUUGGACUUGGGUCACUCAAUUCAAGAAGACCCUAGUAUGUGUUCGAAAGGAACACCAUCAGUUCAAGGGGUUUCAGAUGAUGAGACUGAAGACGUAGCCUCUGAUUCAGUACCAGAUAAAGCGGCUGACGUUGUGACAGAAGUGAAGAAAGAAGAAAAUGUGGGGGACACAAGAUCAAGUGACUUGAAGGUCAGUUUAAAGUAUACUUUAAUAAUUAAGGCACACUGUUCCACAACAAUUCUAUAUACGUGUUUAAUCUUGUAAGAAGUUUGACAUAACCCUUAAAACGUAUUGACUAACUUUACGUGCACAUAUUUAACAUAUAAUUGUACGUAGGUUGGAACUCCGUGUAUGCUUGCGUUUGAAACUGAAGAUACUAUCAUUGCACAUGGGACAAUAUUUGAUGCUGAAGGUGACGGUGAGAACAUCAAGGUAUCAGUGGAUGUUAUCCUCGAUGGCCAAUGUGUGAUUCCAAAUCCGACAAAGGAAGGAGUCACGAAACUGACGCAUGAAGUCGGAUCACAUUUAAUGUGGCCACGACAUCUUGUUCUUACUAGGAAUGAUAAGGUAAUUGUCUGUCUUAUUGUGUUGGAGUUUUCAUGCAUCAAAUUAUACUAACAGUAGUUGAAAUUUUUGUGAUAGAAGGACUAUGGGCUUCAAUACGGAUCCGUCCACAUUCUCUAGUGCAGCAUAUCUACGUGCUCCAGUGGCACUCCGGUGUUUGGUUAGACUCGUUGAACAUAUGGGGUCAUCGAUUCAACUAAACACGCCUUUAGAGCUAUUCGAUGUGAAGAGAAAAUGUUGCAUUAUGGUUGAGUCACUUAGGGAUUUCUCGUCAAUGCAGCCAAUAUGCACAUCAUGCCUAGAUGCUUACAUGAUGUAAGAUUUCCUUUUAAUAUAUAUACGUCAUUGAUGGUUGCGGUCUCCUUUUAAUUGUAAUGACAUUUCAUUGUGUAAGUACCUUCACACAAUUAUGGUACAAGGACGAAGUUCAAGCUUGUUCAAGUUCAUGGAUGCCGGAUCUGUAAGUUACUCGAGUUACAAACAAUCGCGUGCGCAGUUGUUGAAUGCUCGACUUCUCGGAGCCGAGUAUGACCAAGUCGUAUUGUUCCCAUACAACUCUGGGUAAGCACAUGAUAAUGACAUUUUCAUUAACAUUCACGAUUUGAAUUCACUAUUUGUGUAUAAAUUUAUAAUGGUGGAAAUGUGUUCUUAGCAAUCACUGGACAUUGGUCGUUGUUAAUCCUACAAAGGGUGCUGCAUAUUGGAUUGACCCGUUGAAGAAUCGAAUUGACUGAGACAUGAGUGAAGUGCUUCAGAUGUAGGUCAUAUUAUUGUCGUUAAUGUCUUUAUUAUGUGUGCAACUAUUUUAAUUAUUUAACAAUCUUAUAUUAUGUGGUAGGUCAUUCGAUAUAUCAAAGAAGAAAAAACCGAGUUGGAAGGUUGUUAAGGUAUGUGGCAUUGACCAGUAGGGUAGUCGUAAAUAAGUUAUUAAUUUAAAUGUUUCACAUGUACUUUUUGUAUUCUACAUCCAGUGUCCCAAACAAAAUGGGGUGGUAGAAUGCGGGUACUAUGUUAUGCGAUUCAUGCAGGACAUAAUUUCUGCGAGGAGUACUUCGAUUGUAGAUGUCGUAAGUAUUAGAGUUUUUGAACCACUUUAUGUCAUUGUUUGGAAUGAAAAUAAUUCUUAACCACUUUAUUAUUUACAGAUGAAAAGUUUACCUCGUACGUACUGUCAAGAUGAAAUCGAUGAAGUUAGAUCGGAAUUGGCGGAGUUCCUUUCUAAGCACGUACAUCGUGCUUAGCACCAGAUUAGGAAACAACAUUUUUUGAAGUAUUUUGUGGGGAUUUUUUUGUUAAUAUAUAUUUUGUUAAACCCGAACGACACACAAGAAAAUGUUAAGCGCAUUCUUUUGAACAGACUUAAGCAUGAAAGGGGUAAGUGAAUGGUAAUUUUAUCACAUCUAAGUAUAUGUGACUUGCUUUUAAGUAAGUGGAUAUGAAUGUGUGUUUGCUUAUAGGUUUCUUAGGAAGAGUUCGAUGUAUAUGUGACUGGCUCAUGGAAUUUUGGUAUUUGGUGCCAUACUGCAUUGGGAUAUGAAUCUUCUUGCAAUCAAAUAACUGCUGAAGAUGAUUAUUUGCUUGUGUCCUUGGUUCACUACCUUUGAAUGUUUAAUAUAUGGAUUGAGGAUUAGAGAUGUAUGUUUUUGCAAUGUGCUGUCUAAUUGGUUUUUGUAAUUCAGUACUGCGGUCUUCCAACAUAUGGACAGCUUUGUCAUACUCAUGGGAUAAUGCUAUAGACCUACAUUGUCGCAAACCAACAAUGAAUGGUAUGUCAAUACAUGUAUGGCUUGAACAUGAACCCUUCAAUCCCUGUAGCACUUUUUUUGUUCCUGAACCUGAGUAAUUGCUGUAAUCUUCCUAUUCGUUUUAAUAAUUUGAGAGAAUUGGUACAUGAUUAUUCAUAGUUCAUCUUUAUUGGCGAUGAUUGCAUAAUACAAACUGUUCAACUCUAAGGAUUACAAAUUGUCGUACAUGUAUUGUCGUAGGCUGUUUUGUUCUAAGGACUAGGAACAACCCAAGAAGUUGUUCAAUUUGCAGUGGCCAUUUGGUUGGACGUUCUUCUUCUCCUUGAUAGAGAAUGGGAGAGUGAGAUGGGGUAUGUUUUUGGUAUGUGUAUUCUAGAGAGAAAGAGUAGCAGUAUGUUUUUGUUUGCUGUGUUUGCCUAAUGAGUCCUCAUGAUCUUCUCUUUUCAUUUGGUUGGACGUUCUUCUUCUCCUUGAUAGAGAAUGGGAGAGUGAGAUGGGGUAUGUUUUUGGUAUGUGUAUUCUAGAGAGAAAGAGUAGCAGCAUGUUUUUGUUUGCUGUGUUUGCCUAAUGUAGUCCUCAUGGUCUUCUCUUUUCAUUUCAUGGAAUCAAGUGUUGAAGUUCUUGUUUGUGUUCUGUAUUUUGUUGAAACAUUGAUUUAGUUAUUCAUUGACUGUGCGUAUGUGUUAUGGAUACUUAUAUUCAGGUUGUCUUUGUAGGUUCAACUGGAGUCGACAACUUCAAAUAUCAUUUUCAGAAACGAACAUUCUCGGUUGGUCCAGUCAAAUAUAUUCGAAUACUAUUCAAAAUAUUUUUUGAUUAAGGGCUAGUAUUUCGUACAUGUGGAUUAUUGAAACUUGUAUUAAGAUGUACAAAUAUUAUAAAUCGUAUUAUAGUGUAUAUAUAUUAAAGUGUUGGCUAUUUUUUUGUACAUUGGUGUGAAACUUGUAUAAUUUCAAAAUUGUCAUUCUCAACUACAUUAUUGUCAUUCUAAUGGUUCGUGUAAUGGUGGAGCUGCAUGGAGAACAGGAAAAAACUAUAGGAAAUUGAGAAAUGUGGAACAGGAAAUAAAUGACGUAACAAAAGAAUUUGUGAUAGUUAUUAGUUGUUGUAAAUUGGAGAACGAUGACAAUUAUUUAACAAAAUAAAUUGUCACGAUUGCUCUAUAUGUGACAGGAAUAACAUGUCGUCAAUAGAUAAACAAUGACAAUUUUUGUUAAAAAAAAACUGUCACGAUUGCAAUAUAUUUGACUGGAAAAAAAUGUCGUCAAUAGCAAAACAAUGACAUUUAAUGUUAUCGAAAAACUGUCACGAUUGCACAAUCGUUGACUGGAAAAAAAUGUCGUCAAUAACUAAACAAUGACAUUUUUACAAAAAAAAACUGUCGCGAAUAACAUAUUCAUGACAAUUAAUACAUGUCACAAUAAAUGAAUUCGUGACAUUUAUUUAACUGUCGUUAAUAAAGAAAUGAUGAUAGUUAUUGAAUGUCAUAAAAUAGAUUAUGACAGUUAUUUGAAGUCGUUGAAUGUUGAUUAACGACAUUUAUUUCAUGUCAUAAAAUAACCUAUUGCGACAGUUUUCGAAAACUGUCGUCGAAGGCCUUUCCAUGACUCCCGCUUCUAUGACUGAAAAUAAUUGUCGCGAAAUUCGUUUACGACAGUAAAUAACUGUCGUUGUAGACCACUUUUGUACUAGUGAGAGCAUAAAUUCCAACAAAAACUAUAUAAAUUUUGAGUUUAAAUUGAUAUACUAUUAAAAGUUCAGGGUCUAAAUUGAUCAUAUAAUUAUUAAUUUGGGGUUUAAAUUGAUACAACUUUCAAAAUUUAAAAUUUAAAUUGAUAUAAUUAUUAGUUUAGUAUGUAAAUUGAUACAAUCAUAUAAACGAAUUGAUAUAUUUCCUCAUUUUUAACUUUCUCUUACUCCUUAAAAAGUAUUUGGUUCGUGGAUUUGACAUUUAAAAUCAAAUUUGCGUUCAUCACUAAGGAAUGAAUUUUUUGGAUUAAGAAAUCAAACCCAUAAAUAUGAAAUAGAGUUUUUUUUUUUUUUUAAUUAAAACUGAUAUCAGGGUGUGUUUGAAAUACUUUUUAUUGAUUAAAUAAAAAUAAUAAUAAGUUGUUUGAAAAAAGUUGGUUUAGGAUAAACGUUUGAAACCAAUAUUUAGAAGAAUAAAUUUUAAAUAUUUAAUAGUUAAUUUUCUUUAUUUGUUUUAGAAACUUUCACCGCCACAUUUUACAAAUCAUUAUCUGUCGCCACACCUUUAACGGCCGUCACUAACCAUUUUUGAGUCGUUCCACUUACCACUUAUGACCAUCAUCUUCAAAAACAAAUCACUUUCUUCUCCUCAACCUCAAUCACGCACCACCAACACCUCCACCAAUCAAUUCUUUUAUUGUAAUUUGAAAUUAGUAAAUGUAAAUAGCAUAUAACAAAUCAAAUAAGCCUUUACAUUAAACAAAAAAUAAAAGUAAAACUUUGGAAAAAGAGUAGUCUAACCAUGUAUGUUUUUUUUCUUAAGAAGUUUUUAUUAAAGUGUUCAAAUGAAAAUAAUUUUUAAAAACAUUUUUUCUUACCUAUUUCAAGUUGAUCCUUAAUAUCGUAAAUAAAACUACUUACAAUGGAUAAAGAUUAUCUAAAUGAAACUGAACCGAGUUUGUAAUAUGCUUCUAUAUAUGUGUUGAAAUUUUAAUCAAAAUCUUAAUCUAGGUGUCGAAAAGUGUAAUGUUUAGAAACUUGUUUGAUAUGUUAAAAGAAGUGUUGAUACCAAAUUUUCAGUACCCACAAUGUAUGUAUUUAUGAUGUAUGAGAAAGAAUCGAAUAAACAUGAUGAAGAAUAGAAAAUCACAUGCCAGCAAUGAUGUUUAGCCUCCAACUUUUCACAGAUUAAAUUAGUAAUCAUUUAGAGAAAAUGCCAGAAAAUAGAGAACACCCAAUCUUUUUUAGCACUUAUAUAAUGUCUUAGACCCUUUUGAUUAUAUUGAUAAAUAGUUUCACAACAAUCUCUUGAACUAAUUAAUUUGAUGUUACUAACUUAAUUUGGUCGCUAAAAAUGAACCAAUGCACAUAUAGUUUAAUAAACGAACACUUGGUCACCAUUUAUCUACCUCGUGACCAGCCUUAGUAGAUGUUAUUUUUCUCUUAUGGUUGACUGUAUGGAUCAAUCUUUAUGAAGUCUACAAAAUAUUUCCAUUUGUUUAUUUAUCUAUUUUAUUUACUAUCGGAAACCAAUAAAAUUAUAUUGCUUUGAUAAUUUAUAUUUCCUCUGUGUCAAACACAUUUCAUAUUUAUUAUAAAAAACCCCUAAUAUCUAUAAAUCUAUCUAUAUAUAUAGUCUUAUUUAUGAUCUCUUUUAUUACUUUUAAUUUCAUGUCAUAUAUUUAUUGGAGAAAUUAAAUAGAAAGGAUAUUGAUUCAAACUUUGUGGUCUUUUUAAACCGAAAACAAAAUUUUAAAAAUGAUUUCUUUUAAUUUCUUAACAAUUUUUAAAAAUGUUUUCAAUAAUUUUUAAGAAAAAGCUCUCAACUUCUCUAAAUACUAAAACCCAAAUAAUACAAAGGCUACUUUAAAAGUUGAUACUUUUGUAGUUUAUAUAUAUCACAUAAAUGGAGUGAAAAAGUAUAUUUGUUUGGUUUUUAACUUCUAGGUUUAGUUUGUAUUUGUUCUCAAAUUUUCAAAGAUGUUAUCAUUCUAGUCGUUUUGAGUUUGAUUCAAUUUAAUCUAUGAAAUUUCAACUACUACAGUUUUUUUUAUUGAGAUUUGAGUUUUGUUUCAAUUUGGUCUUUAAAUUUUAAGAUUUAAAUCUAUACAUUUCUAAGUACAUUUAUUAUUUAUCGAUUAUAAUUUGAAAUUCUUAGGUUUUUUUAACUUUAUUAUUAAAUAAAAAGCUUAUAGUUUAAUAUAAUACAUUAAAAUGCAGCAAGUUUGAAAUAGAAAGUAUCACCACCUUUGAUACAAAAAUAAUGAAUUAGGAAAAACUCUGGUGAUUUUAGGAAGAAAAAAAAAGGAAAGAAAACUCACUUCUCCAUCUUUGGAUUCAUUUGAUUUUUUUUUUAAUAAAGUGAGAAGAUUUAAACUGAAAUCUUGGUUGUUAGUACUUAUAAGUGUGAUUGAGUUAAAUUGGGGUUGGCAUAUCCUCUUUUGUUUUAUUUGGUUUUAAUGAUUGUAUGAUAUAUUAAGGAGUAUGAUUAAAGAUAAUGUCUUCAUAGGUUGAGAAAAGAAAAUGAAAACAUGAAUUUGUGGCGGAAUUUGUUCACAAUCACAACCACAGCAAACAAUAAAUUUGCUCCAAAAGGCUCAUUGUCAAGUGCUAUGGCGACAUGACACCUCUGAAAUUUAUUUUUAAUACCAAGCAAAAGCUUCGGAAACCCUUUUACGAUAACAAAAACAAUAUAAUAAAAGUUUCAAAAGGCAAAAUAAUUAUUAAUAUACAUGGGUUCUAUGUAGUGUAGCCCCAACAACAUCACGAACUUCCCAUUUCCCAUCAAUCAAAUUAUUGAUUUUUUUGAUUGAAUUUGAAAUCAUAAAGGACUCAAUUCAAUUGGGUUUCCUUCAAAUUCUAUCAUCUUCAUCGUCUUCACCCAUUCCCACCAUCCCUUUUCCCACAAAACCCAAAUGGGUUCGAGCUGUAGUCGUCUGGGGUCGCGCCCUUCUCGCUCCCGAGAUUACCGCACCAACCGCUCCAAUUUAUGCUCUUUCUUUUGCGGUGCUUCCUCUUCUCGCGCGAUUCAUCAGGUUAAUUCUUCAUUUUUCAUCAUCGAAUCUUUUCUUCUCUCUUCUUUACCCAUUUCUUCUGUUUCUUAGUGAAUUUGAAUCUAAUUCGUCUUUGGAAUCUUGUUUGGAUAAUCCGGGAUUGAUUGUCUUCGUGUUAAAGAUUGACCCUCGAUACCGUCUCUUAGUUGGAGAUGUUUCAUGUGGUUUCGUUUCAUUGAAGUUUUGUAUCCGUUUGGUGUGCUUUUUAGUUGCUUGAAGUUUCGGGGUUGCUUUUAGGGGCAUUUUGGAUGAGUUUUGAUCUACCAAGAAGUGAAGAAGAUCGGUGUAUUUCACAGAAAUUAGGUCCGAAAUUGCUGUAGCUUUUGUAAUAUGUUUGCGUUUGUUUUGCUUGUGCGUGGGAUGAUGUUUUGUUUUGUUGAUUGUUGGUGGGUAAUGAUCACUAUCCAAUUGUUUGGAUUUUGAACCUUGAAUCCUGCAAAAGUUGGUUGGUGGUUGGGGAUAAUUGAAAGUUCUUUUUACAGCCUGAGAUUGCCAAUUGACCUAAAAUUGAAAUCUUGAAUGUUAUGUUUGUGUCAUUUUUUAUGUUUCGGUUGAUAUCGAUCAAAGUGCCGCUCUGUUUUCUGUUUCCAAUUCUUUUGUAAACGAAAAAUGAUAAUUCAAUUGUCGGAUUAUGUUACAAUUUCUUGUUUAGUUUAAAACUUCCUUUUUUAGUUUGGCCAAUUGAAAUAGCUGUGUGUAAAGUUGUUUUUGUUCAAUUUUCUUGUAAGACAUCCAAAGUGGCCAUCCAGGAUUUUUGGAAUUGACAUUUUUCUCUGUUAGUCUUUGUAAGAGUAGUUCUAUUGAUCAUUCUGUUUUCGUGUUAAUCACCUCAUUGCUUAUCAAUUGAGAAUAUGAAUAUAUUGAGAAGAUCCAAUAUAAGUUCGGCCUAACAAUUAAAGUUUUCGGUACUGUUAUAAUUAGAAUUUCUAAGUUUAAAUAUUUGCAAUGUUACUCCAGUUUAUUUCUUAUAAAUAGUCUACGUGCUGAGCCACAUGAUAUCGAGAAUGUAUCGACCAGAAAAUGUUGUUUACCCAUUAGAUUUUCUUAAUGCUGCUAAUCGAAUAGCUUAAGCUUUUUAUUGGCUAUGUUAUAGUGAUAAUUUAACACCCAUAUGCUUAAAAGGUAUAUGUGAUCUUUAUUUUUUAUUUAUUUAUUUUUUUUUUUUGAGAAAAACAAUUGUGAGUUGGGAGAUUCGAACCUCUCACCUCUAGGAUGGAAAGUCAUGCCAAUUGUAGUUGAGCUAAGCUCGCUUUGGUUGGUGCUCUUUAUUGGCUGUGCUUAUAUUUUUGCAUUGUGACAUCUUUUAAUCAAUUACCAAGCCAGUUCAUCUAGGUGGCAAUAUUUUCACUAAAUAGAAAUCUAAUGAAAGGUAAUUGUUCCAUUCAAGUCCUGAUUCUAGGCAAUUAUAAUUAAUUUCUAACCAUCUAAAUUGUCAUUUUUUCCAUUUUGCACCGAAAUUACUUUCAAGCUUUGUCAAGCUUAGAUGACAGAUUAAGUAAAAAAGCUGACACCUAUCUUUAAUAGAUGGAAGAUUCUUCGGUUCAAUUUCUUGUCCAUCCGACAGAACAUCAACAAUGUAAUCACAACAUUGAUGAAGUUCAACUCCCCACAAAUGGAUCUAUAAGAAUGGAACUUCCUAAUGCAAGCACUUAUUCUGAGACCUCAUACGAGAAUGGCAUUGCAGACGGUGAGGAACGAACUGCUGUAGAUGAUCCAAGAAAUAUUGAUAUCAAUGUUCAUGGGAAGUGCUUGUUUCAAAAUAAGGAAUUAGCUUCUCCUCAACAGGUUAGUGCCGAUUACAGUCCUGAUGAAUCUCAUAGAUAUAGUAAUGCGUCGAAUGGUACUUCAUUUAAAGGACAUCAAUCUUCGGAACCAGUAUCUGUAAAUAUUUUGGCUAACGAGGAUGCAGUAAAUGGCAUUGAUGGUUCAGUGGACAAGGAUAUAUCACCAGUCUGCACAAAGGUCAUGUUUGCAGCAAGCAGUUCGACUACUCAAGAGGUUGGAAACUCAUGUUCUAGUGGGCUGACAGGUUCCAUUCAAGAGGACGAGGUGUCAGUAAUUCAGGGCCCAUUUUUGGAAUCUUCUCCUUCUGGUUCUGGUCUUCCAUUAACUUUUCAAUCUCUUGGAGAUGAAUCUUCACAAGAGGAACCCUCAAUUUUAGACACUCUUGAGUCUGAUGAUAGGGAGUUAGACCAUGGAGAUGUGGGUUUGCCUCAUGUUGAUAUGGUUGGUAUUUCUUCCAACGUUUUAUCUACAAGUAGCACAGACACAAGUUCUCUUGAGGUCAGAAGAAAUAGCAGAAGACUGUUUUGGGAUGCCUUUUCAAGACGUAGUUUUAGAAGACAAAGAGAAUCUCCAUUUGUUUUCCCAUCUAAUAACUUUAGCAAUACAGGAGAUACAGACAGGUGGCUCCUUGAUAUAAGUGGUGAUUUUAUUGAUGAUGAAGUGAGUGGCGAUUCAAGACAUUUUUCCAGCAGAAUUCACAUCUUGAAUGAACAACAAAGAAACUCAAGAUCUCAGGUUACAUUCUGAAUAUUAAAAAUUAUGAAUUUCUUUUGAUUAUUACUAUUUUUUAUCUUGAAAAGGCUGAUAUGCAGUGAUCUUUUGGACAGAAAUAACAAAAAUGCUUUUAGCAAUUUUUAGUAUAAGUGUAGAUCAGCUUCACUUAGCAGUCCACUGAACUGAAAUGUUCCAUGUUUCAUUUUAAGUAGUAAUAGAAUGUAGUCGCAGUCUUUGUUGUGUUUAUUCUUAAUUGCUUCUCAAAUAGAUGCAGAUAUGGGAAAGACUCCGUAGUAGUCUCACCGAAACCAGUCAGCAGAAUGUAUCUUGCCCAUCAGGCAUUCACCCUAAUGGUCCUUGCUCAUGUGACUCAUUCUCAAGGAUAGAACACUCAAGUACCCGUGCAAGCAUAUCACGGAUAAUCAUGCUUGCUGAAGCAUUAUUUGAGGUAGUUUUCCCCUGAUCAAUUCUUUAAAUUUUAAGAUGAUAUUGUGUUGAGUAAACCAUACAUUAACAUUAUAGUGUAGGCAUUCACUUUAACUGGUACUCUAUGCCAUCAAUUUCGUUUAGGCCAUUUGAUAUUUCUAAUAAAAUUGAAGCACUCAAACACUGCCUACUUUUUGGAGUUCUAUUGUUGUAUUUCAACAUGUUAUCUCACUUCUUGUUCUCUUUUUUUAUCUGAAGGUCUUGGAUGAAAUUCAUGGUCAGCCCGUUUCUCUUGCCUUGUCUAUGGUUUCACUCCCAGCACCAGAAGCAGUUGUUGACUCUUUUCCUCUGAAGAACCACGAAAAGACAACUAAUGGAGGAGAUGAAAUUGAGCAGUAGGUUUCCUCUUUCCAUUAGCUAAGUUCUCAGUGUAUGUUUUGCAUUGAUAUGGAUGGAACUCCUCUUAUCAAAUUGGAAUCUUCUCCUUAUGGCUCUGAUUGUCAACAUAUAACUUGCAAUCCUCUUAAUAUACUGCUAAUGCCAUGCUUGGUCUAUUGUUUCUUGCUUAAAUUCUAAUUUGAGAAUAUUUACAAAUAUCUGCUAGAUGCUACAUUUGCCUGGCUGAGUACGAAGAGGGUGAUAAAAUAAGAGUCCUUCCUUGCCGCCACGAGUAUCAUAUGUUAUGCGUCGAUAAAUGGUUGAAGGAGAUUCACGGGUACGUCACAACAUAUACUUCAAUUAUUGCUAUUGUGCAAUCAACUAAUCUCAUCUGCCUUGUUGGCCUUGUUGUGUCUAACAGGGUAUGCCCACUUUGUCGAGGGGAUGUUCGUGCAGGCUCAAAUGAUGAAUGUUCAGUAGUACCAAACAAUGAAGUCCCAACAAUUUGAUAGAAUUGUAUAUAGCGAUAAUAAUAGUGAUAAUGGAACUCUCAUUAUCCUAUCUCCUGUUAAUACUGGGGAUUAACUGAAUCCCCAUGAUUUAAUUUUGUAAGGCAUCCAUAUUGUAUAGCAGUUUCAGAUGAAAUAUUUGCACAAAUUCUUUUCCCUGAGCCUAAAAAAUUGAAUGAAUAGAAGCCAGUUUGGUUUGAAUGAUUCAAACACUUGUACAAUAUGGCACUGACAAUGGUGAAUGACAAUGGCGAAUGACAAACAAAAGAUAAACGAGACAGAGAGACAGUAAUUUCAGCUGUCUUGGCUUACAACUACUUGAGCGUGGAAAGACCAGUGCUUGGCCUCCAAAAUGGAUUCUCAUAGGCAGGAUCAGAUCUCAUUUGAUGAAUAGUAGUGUUCUUUGAUGUAUCGUCAAAGAAAGGAUUGUUCUGAAAGCUCUUCGGAUCAUUAAUGAGAUUUGGCUGGCAGUUCUCAUCGUCCUCAAAAGUCGUCCAUCUCAUCGAAUUGCUGCUAUUGUGCCGUUUCUCAUAUGCUGCAUUUCUCUUAUUCUCCAUCUCUCCCACAUGGUCUUUGAACUCUUUCUUCACCACAUCAAUUACUACAUCUCCAUAACGAUCGCACCAUGACCUUAUUAUGAAGGCAAAACAAUAACAGAUCAAAUAAUUGACUUUAAUGCUUUUCCUAUAACUUAAAACGAGGAUUGGAUCUUACUUUGGGAAGAAAUUUUUGAGGUCAGCUUUAUCAACAGGAAGCCUGGUGGAAAUAGCCUCGAUUUGAUCAUCCCUGAAUUUGAAACGAUUUAAAAGAAGAAGAACAAACAGAGAAAGUGACACCAAUGAUAAUCUUUGAAGAUCUUACGAGAAUUUAAGGUUGGGAUUUGAAGUGUUGAGCUCUGAUUGGAUUCGUGAAAGCUCUUUCUUUAUCUUCUCGCCUAAAACCUUCUGAUUACUAACAAAAUUAGAAGAUGAUAAAAAAUAAAACAAAAACUUCAAAUGUACAGGGAACUGACAUUGUGGCUGUUCAUUACCUUGUCAAUGAAGAAAUCCGAUGGAGACCCAUUUGAAUGCAACUUCCUUUUCAUCAUUUUAGUGUUGGGCCCUUCCCCUAAUGGACUCGUUGCGAGCUGAGUUGAAUUUGAAGAACCCCAAAAAGCUUCACUGUCGGAUCUUUCAUGGAGUGGCAAUGGAGCCGUCUCAUCCUCUGUUUCGUCUCUCUUCCAUUUCUUCAACCCAUUGAAACCCCAUUGUUUUUUUCCAGAUUUGUUCAUCCUUUCUUCAUAAUCUGGACCAUAAUUGCCACUGUCGCCACCGCUGUCGUGUCCCUGAAACAGAGUCCUAAAGGGUCGUCGUUUUGCCUUUUCCUCACUCAUUUCCUUGUUUGAUGAACUUUCCGACAUCAGAAUCGAAUGACUUUCACUGUUAUUGCACAAUUGGUUUUCAAAAUCGAAGAUACUUUUCUCUUUUCUGUUCCUCUCUGAUUUUUGUGAUAACCCAAAACUAAAAACCGACGCGGCUCCUCUUAUGUGUUUCAUACCCAACAUAUGCUUUGAUUUAUUCUUCGAAUUCGAGUUCGAUUUUUGUGAAGUCUUUUCAUCUCUCAAGUCAAUAUUUGACCAUUCUUCUUCAGAAUUCUCUUUCAUAUUAUCUUUUGAGUCGGCUAAGAUCACAUCUCUGGCUUCAAUUUCAGCUCCUUGAACCGCUAAUCUCUGAAGCAGAGGCCUCUUCGAAGAAUGAUACUCAUCUGCCGUUAUGCAUUUCGCAUAUAGAAGCUCCUGAUAAGAACAAACAUACCAAAAAAAAAAAGAACCCAAAUCCCAUUUGGUUCCUGAAACAGAAUACUCCAAGAGAAACAGAGCACACACAUAUAAAACAGAGCAUUUAUAAACUACGAACCUGCAAGAACAACAGCUUAUCUCUCAAUAUAACUGGGUGUUCAUGUUCCACCGGCGAAGCGAUCAUAGUAUCGAGCAAAUGGGUUUUGAAAUCCGAAACUUCAUUUUCAGCUAAAAUGCCUUCAUUGUGAAGACCCAUCAAUUUGAGCAUUUGGUGGAAGGAAUCUUGCUGCCAUUUGAGGUUAUCAGAUUGAAGCUUCGCUAACUUCUGAUCGGCAGCCGGUAAGCAACGCUUCUUGAAGCUGAAAGGAAGAAUAGACUUGCAGAGAGAAGUGAUUGAAUCAUGGAGAGUAGAAUAAUAAGUGGGUGUGUAAGAAUACACCAUUCUUGUUCUGGUACGAAUCUUUGAAAUUUGAAAAACAAGGAGGAGAAAAAAAAGUUGAAGAUGUUGCAAGUAUUGUUUGUAAGUGUUUUUGUAAGAGAUUUUUGAGGGUCGUUGUUGAGUGUAAAAUGUAGUAUAGUAGUUUUUUUUUGUAGUUGUUGUGUUCAUCAAUUUGAAUUUGAGGGAUUUUAGAAACGGUCAUAAGAAAGUAGCCGUUGGGAUUUUGGAGGCUAAAACAGUAAAAUCAACCGUUUAGAUUUUAGGUCCAUUUUGUGACUUUCUUCAUGGUCCUUGCUUUUGCUUUUUCAUUAUUAACAUUUUAAUAAUGAAUAAUUGAAAUUUCUCUUUUUAUCUUCUUUUUCUCAAAAUAAAAUAAUAAUAAUAAUAAUUAGAUCAAUUUCUUUUAAUACUUUAUUUGUGUUUUAGAUUCAUCCUUUUUCCAACACUUUUAAGAGUAUAUUACCGAUUAGUUGAGAAGUUAUAAUUCAAUAUAAUUUUGUGCGACAUUUUAAUCUCAAAGAGAUAAAUAAACUAAACUCGCAUUUUGGUGGUAUAAAACUCUUUCACAUGUUAUCCAUUUAAAAUUUAGAGAACUAAAGUUGAAAAACCUUUCACUAAAUAUUUAACAAUAACAACACUCUUAAACUUGUCAAUAUAAUAACCAUUGUUUUUCUUCAUGAUUCCAACUGAUAUCCAUCUAGACUUUUGUCACACACUAUAUUAAUAUUUAAGUUCAAAACAUCAUGAAGCCGACCUCUUACAAUACACACACAUCCCUCCAACGGGAAAAGGAAUAGUGAUCAUCAUGUGGAACAAAAGAAAGAUAUCUAUCACAUGUGGGCCUUUUUUGCCAACGAUAUAUAUCGGCUACUUUUGUCUUACAGAUGGAAAAGGCUUGAUCAAGAUGAUUGUUCUUAUGACAGAAACCAAUAUUACCAAUCAAGCAAGACAAAUCAAAAUAACUGUAUGUAAACUGUAAGAAUAAAAGAAACUACUCACAGAUUGAUUGGUAGAACUUGUGACUAACAUGUUUUGAUGUGGUCAAGUUGCCACUAAACAGACCACUAUUCAUGAAAUAUUGUUGAACCAUUUGGAAAUGUGAUAUCAACCAAAUUGGAAAAAAAAAUUCACUGUAUAAGGCACAUUGUUGUGACUUUUGCUGAAAUAGGAACCCCAAGUCACCAUCUGAUUACUGCUGUGCACUUCGCCUAUUCCCUAACUUGAAGUAUUACUCAAAAAGUUACGAGAGUGCUUUUAUAAGAUUAUAAACUAGCACAGAAGGCUAACUAACAUCAAAUGCAAUAACAGAUAUUUUUGGAUAACCCAAAUUCAUUUUCCAAAUGCAUCUUAGACAGAAUGCAGCUUGAGUUACCAUUUUAGGGUACAGGAGGAAUAACUGGAACGUCUCCUGAACCGCAGUAUACUGUACACAACAAGUUGGAAGAAUUGUGAGUGAUUUCCAGUCUAAAUUUGGAAGAAUAAUUUGAUAUGCCUACUCUUUCUAUAUCAUAAAUCAUAGCAAGCGACAAAAAUGCCAACUUAGUGUUGCAAAAUGAUAAAAUUGGAAAACAAUAAAAUAAGAUCAAAAGUAUUAGAUAAAAAUGGGAAUGACACAGUGUGAUAUCAGAAAGUUCAUAUCACCGGAGGCUAUGAAGGAAGAAUUAGAAGCUAUAGUGAAAAGGUAAACCAGAUUUCAUAAACAAAUCCAUGUACAACGCGAGCUAGAGAGAAUUUCAACUUAGACACCUUAAAACUAAGUGCAACUCUCUCAUAUUAAAUAUAAUUUUCCAAACUUCUAUUUUUAAAUCUAAUUUAAUAAUAAUCUUUAGUUUCAUGAACUCAUUUGAUAGUUAAAAUUUUCUAAAUGAAUUUUAUAUUGAUUUUACUUGGUGAUUUCUAACUUGAUUUGAAUUUAAUUUUAAAACAAUUUAAUUAAAUGUCAUUUUAGUUUGAUUUUAUUGAGAUUUAGCAAAUAAUUUCAGUUUUGUUUUAAUUAGAUUUUCCACGUAAAGCUUCCGUUGAAUUUUGAAAAUAAGUUUCAACUUUAAUUUUUUUUUUAUUAGAUACCAAUCUUUCUUCAAUUUGAUUUUUUUCUUCAAUUAACAUUGUCCAUCUUUCAUUUAAUUUGAUUGCAAAUAAGAGUUCUAAGAAGAAUUCCAAUUCUUUUCUUUCUUUCUUUUUUUUAAUUUUCUCAAUUUGAAAUUUCUAGAAAAACAUUUUCGUUUUAACUUUAGUUUACAAUUUUCAUAAAUAAAUUCUCAACCAAUUUUAAAUCAAGUUUGUUAGUCCAAAAACAAUAUAAUUCAAGAUUUUCUAAAAUAUUUCAAAUUUGUUUUAAUUUGAAUUUCCAAAAUAAAUUCAAUGGAUUUAAAUGAAUGUUAAAUCAUUUCAAUUUCUAAAAACAAUAUGAAUUUGAAAUUUUCAUAAAUAAUUUACACUUGGUUUUACUUCAAAGUUUUCAAAUAAAUUUCAAUCUCAUUCAAAAUGGAAUUUUCUCAACAAAGUUUCAACUUGAUUUUUCACCUCUAUCUUCUAAAAAUGAAUGUUAAUCUUGGCUUGCACCACUCAUAAGGAUCACUUCAUAUUUUACUAACAAAAUAUGAGUUAAUCCACAUGAGACAUUUCAUUGAUUAUCAUAUUAAUCUGGUGGCAAAUUUGAGACUAUUAAAUUAUCAAAAUUAAUGGAGGUGAAUGACUUUCUUGAUUAAAAAGAUUUCAAACACAAUGUGAUAAUAAAUUGAAGGAUGGUUAUCCACUCACAAAAUACAAUUUUGCUUUAUUUUUAAGUUAAAAGUGAGAUUUUAGUGAGAGAUAUUCUAAUUGUUAAUUUCCUUUUUCUCUUGAAUUUAAUAAUAAUUUUAGAUAGUAGAAUAAAAUCUUCCCUACACUCAUUGACCUCCAAACCUAUCUUUGGUAAAAGUAGACCAUUUAUUUUUAAAAUUGAUCACCAAUCACAAAUGGCAACCUCAAACCUUUCGCCUCAAAAAAAACCCCAUAGACGCGAUGAUGUUGCAACAAUAAGGUUUAAAUACUGUUCAUUUACCACCAACUUAAGUAAAAUGACACAAAAACAAUUACAAAUACAAUGCUAAAAUCCUAAAGAUAGGAGUCAUCUUCACUAAAUAGGUUUUCGUCUUCAUUCUCUCCAUCAAUCGACUUACAACCAUCUAUACCUUCUUUGCCCAUCUCAAAGUCAUCCAAAGUAACUGGGUUGGAGCAGUAGUUGUGCCGAAGAUGAAGAUAAACAUGAAGCUUAGUCUUAGACUUGGUUCUUAAGGAACCAACUCUAGAAUAAUAGGCAAGUUCUUUUGGUCCAGCAGCUCUUGAAACAUCACCUAUGUUGAAGAAUCAACGACAAAAACAAGAUCAUCCUUCUCUUAAUCAUCAUCUAUUCUUCCAAACAUUCAUUCAUUAUUUCUUUUAUAGAGAUGGGGUCCGCAAUGUCCUAAAUAGUAUAUCGAUGCUUCAAUGCUCUACUAUAUUUUAUGAAGGCUAAAUCAUUCAUUCGACUUCAAGCAGUCUAUUCCUUUUCUUGCUAUGUUGCUACAAGUAUAUAACAAAAGUUUUAUUGUUCGAUUCAAUUACAUUAGCAUCUAAAGGCAUUACAAGUAAUAGAAGAUACCUAACUUGUUCAAAAACGAUCCAAUUACGUUCAUGUCAAGGCACUACAAGUGAGAUCUAAAAUUCUCACAGUGAACUUCUGCAAGUUGGGAGUUGAUUGCCUGAAAUCAUCCCACCAUUUCCCUAUAGAUCAAAAGUAUAUUAGUAAUUUUCAAUUUGAAUGUUAUUCAAUGUUUAAUCAAAGACUUAAAAGUUCAAGUUUACCUGAAGAAAUUUUGUCCCUCUGUCUAAUUGCUAAAGCCCGUCCAAAUAGUUCUUCAACUUUCUUGUAAGGUUAGCUUUCUAAGUAUCUUAUCUUGAAUGUCCAAGGAAGCAACCAUCUUUGUUAUACGUGUAUACAACCAUUGACAAUUUCAUCAUCAGCUUGAAUAUUUGGAUUGGAGUAAUAGAAUUCUGGGUUUAGAUAACAUCCUAUUGCAUGCAAAGAACAAUGCAACUGAAGCUCCCACCGUCGAUCAAUUAUUGUGAAAAUGCCUGUCCUUUUCUUCCUUACCAUCAAAGGAAUUAUUGUGAAAAUGCCUGUCCUUUUCUUCCUUACCAUCAAAGGAUUUUGCAAUGGCCUCCUUGGCUCUAUCCAUAGCCUCAUAAAUGUAUUUGACGGGAGGCUUCUUCUCGCCAUCCACCAACCUAAGUACUCGCACCAAACAGUUGGAUUCUUUAAGAGCAAACAUGAUGGUAUUCCAAAAAGUUAUGAACAAAAUUAUUUGAGCAGCUGUUUUCCUUGUUUUUUACUCCAUUUGUUGUUUUUCCAUUAAUCCGAAAUAAACAUAGUUCUCAAAUUGUUUUUCUGGCGAUGUAAACUUUGAUAGUGUCAUGCAAGUUGUAGCGGAACGAUUCUUAGUUGGUCUUGCGCCUUAUCAUGUUUAACAAUCGUGAACAAACAAAAAUGAAAUUGCUAACACCCAUGCCUCUUUUAAAUGGGUUGUGGAUAUGUGGGAUCUUGUACAUAUCUUCCAACAUCAAAUCUAAAGCAAUGCACGGCACAUAGAGAGCAAAUUAAUUGUGGUUGUUUUGCUUCUAACAAUCGAACAUAUUUAAACUUCUUAAAUCUGUAGGCAUAACUAACAAAUUUAAUAAAGAGUUGGUACUUCAAACUUUUUUUUAUGCCAUAACAUUUGUUGAGGUAACAUGGUGGCCUCUCCAAUGACCUUUACGAAAUUGUCAAGCCAACUCAAACAUUUUCUUUCCAUCCUUCACAUAAGAUGAAGCAUCAACAGAAUCAACAUAGUGCAUUUAGGACUAUUAACUAAAAAGUUAAUGUCCUAUUUCUUGUGUCCAUCAUCAGCCAUAAUAGUGCAUCCAACCUUCACCAUUCACCUUAUGGCUCUUCAUCAACUUAUUUGUGGAUUAUAAUUUCUUUUUCAAACACGGCAAUCUCAAUUCAUGAAGUUUCAAUCCAGGAUCGAAUUGUCUUAUUGCCUCAUUCAUAGGGAGCAAAGCUAUCAUAAGUACAAGCAUUUAGAGGCACUCCAACAUUAUAAAUCCAACGAGCAAUUCUUUGGAUGAUUUGCUCACUCGUCUCCUUUUGCAUGCUUCAAUCAUUGUGUUUUGUUUUCCCUUUUUUUUUUGUAAUUCUUUCUAUUAUCAACAACUUUCAGGUUAGGUGUACAAUAUACAUCCAUUGGACCUUUUUGACUUGGCCUCUUUAAACCCGAUCCACUCUUUCAUUCAGGUUACUUACACAUCGUUAUCUUCAUAUUCAAAACCAUAAGUCUUUGCAUCAAUAUCAACAAUCAAAUUUCUUUGCUCUUUAAUCUCCUUUUUCUUGGACAUAUAAGCUUUAAUUUCUUCCUUCGCGUGAUCAAGGCAUUUUCUACCAGCUGUGGCCUUUCUAUAACCACCAACGAGAUGUUGUUUCAUUCUAAAAACUCCUCCUUUAGUUGCUUUUAAACAAAAACCAUACAAUAACGUAUUAACAUCUCGCUCAUUUUGCAAUCGAGCAUAUUUCCAUGCUAGAUCUUUUCUUGAACUGUCCUCAGCCAUCUAAAUAGUUAGAAAAUUAAACUAAUUAGAAACUCUUAAGAAAUUGAUCACAAAAGUUAGGAGUUGGAACAUACCAAAAAUUUGAUGAAGAUGGAACGUUGAACACUACUGUUUUGGAGAGUUUUCAGCAAAAAGAAGAGAUGAAGUUGAAGCCUUAAAGGUUUCCGUUAGAAAAGAUUUCUCUUUUUUUUUUUUCGAAGAAUUGGAAUUAAAUUAGCCUCUAUUUUCUAAAGAAGAGGAAUAAUUUAUUUUUGGAAGAGGAGAUGAGGAGGUGUCAUGUUUUUUUUAGGGCACGAAGCCUUUAUUUUUUGUCUUAGGAGAAGGAGAAGGAGAAGAAGAAAAAAAAGAGGAGGAGACGUACAUAUGGUUUUUUGAAGAUGAAGAAAUCUGCACUUGUAUUAAAUCAAUUUUAGCCGUGGGUAUAAUGAAGCGCCAAUGUUGCACCUAGCACCUAGGCGUGCCUGAAGUGUUCCUUUCAAAACACUGGCCUCGCUCUAGCCUUAAGCGAGCGCCUGCUGCGCCUCAACAACACCUUUCAUCUACGUGGAACCAAGAUAAUGCUCCGAAAAAAAGGAAAUGCUACUCCGCAUGUUAUUCAGCAGCUGUAAAUUCAGCCUUGUGUCAAGACUCUAAUGUGAAAACCUUGCAGUUUUAUGGUAAUGUUGAUGAUCAAAACCAGCAAUAUGGUAAGUCAAAACGAGAUGAAUUUUUUUUCUCUAAUAUCCAUGAGUGUCAGGACCAACUUACACACACUUUGACUAAUCUCACAAGACAACUCAUCUAAUCCUAUAACAUUUGAGUGUAAAAAAACCGUAGGACAUUAAUCUUGGACAGGCGGUCACCAUAGAAAACACCUGUAACUUCUCAACCCUUUAUCAAGAUCAUCCCCCCAUUUCCAGAACAUCAAAAGUUCCAAGUUUUUACCAUUCUUUUUUUUAAAAAAAAAAGGAAAGUGUAAUGCACAGAAUCAGAGAUUAGGAUCGUUGGAAUUAUUAGGUUGUAAACAUUGAUGAUUAGUAGGAACUAAAAACAUUAGAAACUUACAGCUCUGGAUAACAUCUGCACCAUGUUUGCAACAGAGGAGACUGACUUCCCUUCACAGAAACUGCAAGGCAAAGCCAUAAGAUUACCGUUUAAGAGACUUAACUUUUAACUGAUGCUCAAUUAUGGUUACUGGCACCACAAAAGGCAUAAAAAGAUGCAUAGAAACCCAAUUACCAAUAUCAUUGACAAGUUUAACUAACUAACUACUUCAAAUAAGCCCUUACAAAUAUAUUGCUUCAAAUAAGUUCUUGUCAUUCCCAGUAAUAUUUGACUUGGAUUAUAAGAAAGUAAUUUUAAAGAUGAGUCGUGAGGUCAAGUAAAAUAAUUAAGUAUGAACCUGGAUUUUGUAUAUUUUAAUUUCCUUCCAACCCCAUUACUGCAGCAAUUCCACACACUUGACUAUUUCAUCAUCAGGUCAAGGCAGAGUUCACUAUAUUGCUCAAGUAGAUUUCAGUUGUGGAGAAUCCAUGACCUGCAGAGUACAAAGAACUUGUAAAAUUCAAAAGGAGGAGAGAGGCAGGACGCAAGCGAAUGAAAAGAAAAGAAAGAGAACAGCAUUGUGUACAAGGACUAAGCAUAAUACUUCAUUUGAAAAAUUCAAGGACUCAUGCUACUCACUGUUAUUCAGUAAAGAGCUUGCAAAGUUAAAUUUUCUUGGUUUCUAAAGUAUCGUGUUGCAACAGAUAUGAGAAAUUAUUAGGAGGAAGAAUUCCCUUAGACGUCAUUUCAUAACAGAGGGUUUGAGCCUUCUCCUUAUAUCCAUUUCUACAACAGCUGGACAGUAGGGCAGUAUAAGUCACUGCAUCAGCCUCUAUUCCUUGAUCAACCAUUUCCUCAAAGAGGACAAAAGCAUCAUUAAGGUUGUUCAUUUUACAAUACCCAUCAAUCAAUACAGUGUAGUAAACAACGUCUGGAGUGAUCUUCAUGUCCUUCAUUUCAUUAAAAAUUGAAGACGUCAAAGCUAUUUCUACAGAGGAGCACUUUUGUAAACUGGUUUUAAAUCCACCAUCAAGCAAAACUGUAUAGACAAAAAUAUCAGGUUCCCUUCCUCGAUUCCUCAUAUCACACAGAAGUUCAUAAGCUUCUCUCAAGUAAUUAAUCUUGCAAUAACCAUUUAUCAUCAUUGUGUAAGUGAUAAGAUCGGGAAUCAAGCCAGCACGAACUAAACAAUCAAAUAAACAUUGGGCCAUCUUCAUAUUUUUUACCCGGCAUAGGGAAGCUAUGACUUUAUUGUAAACAAUUUCUUUAGCCUCCACAUUCAUAACUGGAAGUUGUUUCAUCACCUCAAUAGCUCUAAAGCUAGAAUUUUCCAUGCAAAGCCUGCUAACUAGCCUAACGAGAGAACUUCUUCUAAUAAAAAUUCCUUCCUUGGACAAAUUAACAAAAAGUUUAUAAGCAGAUUUCGUAUCACUGGCUGCACAAUACCCAUUAAUCAUGGCAGCAUAGUUAUCUACCGUCUUUACUUCUAAACUAUUGAAAAUUUCAGUUGCUUCUUUCACUUUUCCUCCUAUGCAUAAAUUUUCAAUUAUCAGGUCGGGCAUCUUAGGGUCUUUUCUCAAACCAUGUUCCUCCAUGUAGUCUAGAAGGUCUUGGACCUUAGAUACAAGACCAUUUCUAGAAAAUCCAGCAGCAAGCACACUAUAAGUGAUGGAGUCAGGCUCAACACCAUUUUUCUUCAAAUUUUCAAACAUCAUCAUUGCUUCAUGAAUUUUUCCUUGAGCAAAAAGACCUUUAAUCAUUGUUGUAUAAUGCAUGACAUCCAUCUGGAUCUGUCUACUUGUCAUUUCUUCUAACAACUCAAUAGCUUCCUCCAAUUUCCCUAGUUCACAUAGGGCAUGAACAACAAUAUUGUAUACAACAUUGUCCAAAAAUACCCCCUUUCCCUGAAAUACUUUAAAUUGGUUCACUACUUCUGAAUACAUUUGCAUCCUAAGGAAGCAUUGAAGGAUAAAGCUGACAAUCACACAAUUUGAUUUUAUACCUUUUGACAGCAUGAGACUGUGAAGAGACAAAGCUUUUUGCAAAUUCAACUUCUUGCAAUAGCCAUUGAUCAACACACCGUAUGUUUGUGCAUCUGGAACUACUCCAUAAUUUUCCAUAUCAAGAAAGACAGAUUCUGCCUCAUCUAUUUUCAUCUCAUCACAAAACCCACGAAUGACUACAGUAUAAGCAUACGUGUCUAUUGGGAAUAGUUCCGCUCUCCAUGCUUGUAGCAACUGAUACCCUGAAGUUGAACAAUCAUGGGUACACAACGCUUCAAUAUAUGCAGCACAAGCAAAGGCAUUAGGAACCAUCCCAUAUCCACUCAUCUCCUCAAAAAUGUCUAUAGCUUUUUCCAUUUUACCUAUUUUACAAAGCCCUUUUAUUACAGUAGCAUAAGUGUAAUCGUUAGGUUGGCAACCAAACCUCUUCAACUGCUCAUACACAACUAGAGCCAUAUUCAUUUUCCCAUGCUCAAUAAGCCGGUUCAAGAGAUAAUUACAAGUAAAAAUAUGUGGAACAAAUCCCUUCCUUCCUAAUCGGAAGAGUAAAUCCACAACACUAUCAAACAAGUUAACACUGACAUAAGCCUUGAUUAAGGCAUCAUAUACUCGAAUAAAUGAGGCAUCCACCACACACCCUUGAUUAAGUGAUUCAAUCAAAUCUAAGACAUCAAAUUCCACUUUUUUGGAUCCAAUGAGAUUCAAAAACAGAGUUUCAAGCUUUCUCCCCAAACCCCAAGAGCACAAAAUCCUAAUAAGAGCUGCGUAAGUAGAGAUGUUAUGUUGAAAUCCCCGUUCCUCCAAUUCACAAAAAAAGGAAAAGGCAAUUUUGGGCUCCCUUCGGAGACUUUCUAGGACUUGGACCACCUUUGAUGGUUUACAUUGAACAUUCAAAGAUGUGUUGAAGGAGGAGGUACUUUGUUCAUCAUCACUGUGUGAAAAAAUACAUGAGUUUAGUUGAGCAAUUGCAGUGGAGGCAAAUCUGACUAGUUUGAGCUUUAAUUUAUUGAGCUUGGUGGGAUUAUUCACAGCGAGUAACAAACAAUUCAUGGAAGUGGGUCGGUAUUUUCUUUUCCUUUGUGGUCUAGAGAAGGAUAAAAACUGCAAAAUGUUGCAGAUAUAUUUCCUUCUAUCCACUGCUUUUAGCAACUGCACAGUCUAUGGCCGUCUAAAUAGAUCCCUCAGAAAUCCUUCCAAAAGUGUCCUGAAUCAUUAACAAACGCAAUCUGAAUUAACAAUUUACCAGUAACAGCCCGUAUUUUCCAAUACAGCUAUUAAAACAAUAAUGCAUAAGCAUAACUAUUAUACCUUUACAACUUAUUACACAAAUCAGAGGAACCAAGUAAUUACAAACAAUUUCUUAAUCAAACCAUCAAAUCCUAAGAUACAAAUCACCACUGCAAAGCUUCUUUCAAAACUAUCACCUGAGCUGUCAUCUAAAAUCAUUUUGGAAAAGCAAAAAUGGGUACAAAAAUACUCAAUAAGCAAGUCACAUGUCAAGCUUUGAAAUCAUUUCCUUUCAAAACUUUUGUAAACAAAUAAAGCUUUUAAUCAAUCAAACAAAAAUCUCAAUCAAUCAAACAACACUUCACCACAUACAAUAGAAUCCUCAGCCAUUUAGUGUAGGGAAGAUGCAUAGUUGAAAAUUUGAAAUAGCCCACCAUAGGUAACCAUAUUAGAAGUCAAUUACUUAAUUGUAACAACGUGUCACUGCAACACACAUAAAUCUUCGUUCGAAAAGAAUGCCAAACCACUAAUAAGUGUCUUCCAAGAAAUAAAUUUCAAGCAGAUAAUAUACCGUCAAUUCCAAAUUUAGCUACUACGAAAUACGCAUACAAUCUCAAAAAACAAAAUUUGGCAUACCCAAAAAGCUCUAUUGAAUUCUUCAUAAGCAUUUGAGACAAAACAUUAGUUUCAAGUAGCAAUUUACAAAAUAAAUUCAAACCUUUCAAUAAUUUUAAGAGGUAAGAAAGCCUAAAUAUAAACACUUUCAAGUCUCCACAGUCGCCGCCGAAGUCUCCACUUGCUAAGAUGGUCCGCCGCCUCUCCGACGUUCCACAUUCGCUGUCGUCGUGAGAUGGCACCGCCGUCCGGAGCUCCGACGUCGUCGCUGUUAGAUUUGUUCUUCGCGGAGGAGAUGAUGGUUGCGCGCGCGAGAGGGAUAUACAUCGAAUUUGAUUGUGGUUUUAGGGCUUUUCUUUUUUAAUUUUUGUGCUUUAUAUAUAGAUAUCAAUUUUAAAAAUAAUAAUGAAGUAUAAAGCAACCUAUUUUAAAAGUUGCAAAUAUAGGAAAGUUUAUAAUUUAUAGCUUAUUUAGUUUGUGGGUAAUAGAACGACGUUUUGAAUGAUCUAUCAAUAAUACACUCUAUCAUUUAUCGAUAUUAGCAUAUUUUGCUAUAUUUAUAAUUUUUUUAAACAUCACUGUAUAUGUAAACAUUUUUAAUUUAAUUGGCGUGUUUCUCACUGUUUUCCAUCAUUAUUAUAGUAUACGUAUAUUUGCUGUUUAGGAGGAAAAAAAAAAAAGACUAAUUAUGAUGUUACUCUGCAUGUUUAUCUUUAUUCAGGAAAGAAAUAAACUAAAAUUUAAUUUAAAGUUAGCCAAAGUGACUGUUCAAAACAAAGGGCAGGUAUAUUUGUUCUUUAUUGGACAUUGAUUUGGGUCCUGCUGUCUAAAAUCGAUUGGUUUAACUUGUUUCUUGGUGUUUUCAAAAUCGAUUAUCAAUAUUUGUUCAAUUUGAUGUACACAUCUUAUUAUUGUUAGGCAAAGUUAUAAACAAUCAAUGAUGAAUGUAUCUAAACUAAUGUAUAUGUUUACCAAUAUUAUUGAUAGACAUUCAAAGGACAAGAAGUUGAUCCAAACUCCGCCAAUCAUUUUCAUUGUAAAAGUAACGAUAGGGAGGUUAAUUUUCUUGUUUAAAUUCUAUAUGGGUUCCUAAGCUUUAUAUCUAAUUCUAUUUUUGUUCUUUAACUUUUAAAAGUGUUUCUUUUAGUUUCUAAUUUUUUUAUUUAAUAUACUUUGGUCUAUGUCAUUAAGAUUACGUCAACUAUCGAAUGGUGAGUUAACUUCUAUAUUUGUAUGAUCCGGAGGUUAAAUAAGAUAAUCACUCAUCCAUAAUCUAGGUUUUAAUCAUUAACUCAAGGUCUAGAUGGUAAAUUGAUAUUUUGUCGAAUGAUUCAAAAAGUCCGCAUCUUUUCGAUUUUGAUCGUUACCAUUUGGACGCAUUGUCAUUCUAAUUCAUUUUCUCAAGUCAUGUGCUUGAUGCAACUCAUCCACAUAUAAAUUUUGUAAUGUAUGAAGUGUUUGAAUAUUUUGUGAUUCAUUAAAGUGUUUUUUUUUUUUUUGUCUCUUUCUUCUAAUUAUUAAUAUUUGUUUACAGUUUCGUAGAGUUUAUUUUAAACCAACUUUGUACUUAUUUUAUUUUUUUAGUUUAACUUGUUAUUCAUGUUAAACACCAAUAUGUCCAUUUUAUUUUCUUCAACACAACGUCGUCGUCAACACAACGUCGUCGUGAUUUGCUUCAAGAUUAUUUCAAUUUGAAAAAUAAAUAAAAGGGAGAAGUCAAGAGGAGAUGUGUGAGACUUAAGUCAAUUAGUUUCUAAUUUGGGUUUAAUAUUUUUAUGCGGGUGUAAAAGAUUUAUAAAAUAAAUGAAUAAGAUUUAUUAAUUAUUUAUCAAUUUAAUUAAUAUAAUAAAUUUGUAAUCAUCCAAAAGUCAUCUCAUCAUUCCGUUUUAACAAAAUUCCAACGACGUGGACCUAAGUAAGCUUUUUUCAAAAAUGUUUGGGAACCAAAACAUAUACUUAAAAGUUCAUAGGCAACAAAUAAAAAUUACAAAGUUUAAAGACCAAAAUCAGAUUUUAACCUUACCUACCAUGUCAUCCACCAUAGUUCUCUUCUCCCCAUUGUUGCUUCAUUUGCACUUAUGGCCAUACUAAUACAUAAGGAUAUUGGCAGCCUCAUCACAUAUACUCUAAUCGGUCAUCAUCCAUUUCGAAGAUAACAUGGAUGUAUUUGAUUUUUCUUUCUUUUUCUUCUUUAUAACGUGGAAGGAGAGAAACAAUUUUUGUUUCCACACUAAUCUCAUUAUCUUUCCUAUCAUAACUUAAUGCAAACACUCGUAGAUUAGACUGAUUUUGUAUAGCUUUGGGAGGCUCUAGCCCUCAAACUUUAUGCCUUAUGUAUAAAAAUCUAAAAUAACAUCAAAUUCAAAAGUUAUCCAAUGGUAAGAUUAUCUCUCAUCCGCGUUCAAUAAAAUUUUCUAGAUAUGCGAGUAGAUGCAAAUGUAAUUUUUCUUUCUCUUUUAACCAAUUGGAUAUUUGUUUUGGUAUGAGCAAACUCAAACCUCAACUUCUUGUCUUAAAACUUAUUAAUGUCCAAUGAAAAUAUAUUUAAUGUCCAAACAACCAUAACUCAAACAAACAUGUAUCAUAGAUCCAAAAUUACCCCAUCCCUCAAUAUUUUGUUAUUCAAUCAUUUAUAUUGGAGAGUAUUUUUUUCAAUUAUUCAAAAUCCUACAUUUGUUUGGGUUUAAAUUGUUAAAUUACAAACAGCUAACUAAAAUUACAUUCCCACCCCCAAUCAUGAUGAAGAUGAAGAACAAACUCACUGAAAAUCAACUCCAAGUCGUCUUCUUCACCAGGCAUUGACCGCACUUAUCUUCUUCGACGCCAAUCCAAUUCAACUUUCUCCAACUGAAUUUUCUCCUCAUCAUCUCUCUGCACCAUCACAUCCCAACUAUUUAAUUCUUCUUAUGAACAAUCUCAAAACCGGUAACUAAGUCAAAAGAAACGUUAAUUCAUCGAUGUUGUUGUUGUAAUCGUUUUUAGUACCUUCCAUUAUCUUCUGAUUUCCUCUGCGUUCUCAACAAUCGCUCAUCCAAUCUCCUCUUCGCUUCUCUCGCAAUUCCAUCCAGUUCAUCUUCUCCUUCUGCCUCCAUUAACAAACGUCUCUCCUGAAAAAAUGUAAAAAACAGAUCAGUUUUCCAUCAUGAAAUUUCAAUUUCAUUAACAGAUCGAUAAUCCGAUUCACGAACCAUAGAUGGAUUUGAAAAGAGGAGCGCUUCGUUGUUACUUGUGUACAAGCAGAGAACGGAUCUCCUAGUUAAAACCUGAGCGGCGAUUAGCGGUGAAUCUGACCAUAUACUGUUUUGAUGACAACGUCUUCUUCGAGCACAUUCUACACCAGGAAGUGUUCCGGCCAUUGGAGAAACUUACGGAACUUUGAAAAUUGAAAUUUCGGCACAGAUCUAGGGCUUUUCUUUGUGGCGUCUGAUUUGAUUAUAUGGUUUUCUUUCUACUAAAAAAAUAAUGGUUGAUUUAUAAGAAUUUGGUGGUUCGAUGAUUGGAAGGAGAAGGAAGAAAAUGCGAGGAUGGAGAUGGGAAGGUUCCAAGAAACUUACCAGAUUAGAGUAAAUUUAGUUAGCCCCACCGGAAAGAAGAAUAUUGAACUCUCUUUCCAUUAGUUCUUUAGUACCAAAUUAUGAGUAUUCUACUCACGUCUCAUCCACAUUGUGUGAUUUAUAAUUUGUAUCACACCAUUUAUAAUUUUCUCAAUUAAAUAACUUAAAAAGUUGAGCUGAUGUUAACAAUAUUUGUAUAAGUCUAUGCCGAGAAGUAUUAAAUAUUUUUAAAUGUAAUUUUAUGACUGGUAAAAUAACUUCUACGUCGAGUCAAUUUAAAUCAUUAACUAAUAAAUGUAUUGAUUUAAAACUUUAAAUUUGGUGGGUGUAUCUAUUUACACAUCCUAUCACAAUUAGAUUGAAAAAACCUCAUACGAAACUAUGUAUCAAUUCAACCCCUAACACCUUAGUAGAUUAACAAAUUUAAAACAGCAAAGUUCCAUCUAAAAUUUUCAACAUUUACCCUAAUAAUUCAAUUUUAAAAAUUGAUACUCAAACAAAAAUGUACACUUUUCAUAACCAAAUAUGAUUAAUAGAUAUAAUUUUAAUCAACCGUCUAAAUUGAUUGAUUUGUAAAAAUUUAAGAUUUAAUUGAUUCAAAUUGUGUUUCACAUCACAAUGAUCGGAGCAAAUUUAGAAUAGACAUAAUUUAAUACACUAAUUAUGAUAUAGUUUAGGUUUCAAAUUAAUACAAUUAUUGGUUCAGUGUUUAAGUUGAUACAAUCUAAAAUUUAUAGAUAUAAAUUAAUAUUUGUCAAAAUUCACAAUCAAUAAUAUUAUUUUAAUUUUCAAGAGAAUACUUAAAAGAUCAAACGAUCCUCUAAUUAGCACCAAGAUAUGUUUCAACUAGAUUAACAAACUCAAAGAUGUUCACAUAUUUCGAACUUGAAAGAAAAACAAGAGAGAAUAGCUUGAAACAAAAUAAACCAUCGUAGAUAUCAAAAGCCUUCCAAUUUAGCAAAAUAUGGAACUUAGUACAUCGAAAUGAUUUUAUUAAGUGUUUAAACAAAUGUUUGUAAGUGCAAAAAAAAGUAUUCUAUAAACACUUAGAAAGUCAAUCCAAAAACACGUACUAUUUCUUAUAACCAAAUGUGAAAAUUAGGUUGAGGAUUUAGUAUAACCAAAUUUCUUCUUUAAAAAAUAAUUAAAAACAUUUUUUAAACUAUUUGAGUGAUCCAACUUAAGUGGAAUUAAAUUAAUUAAAAUUCUUUAAUUAAUUUUUUAAUUUGAAAUUAAUGCAUCAAGGGAUAAAAAGGAAUUUUGAAAAUUAAAAGAAAAGUGAAAAGGCAAUAGUUGACUAUGAUCUUGAUGUGUUGUUCUUCAAGCAAGUUAUCUGCCAAAUCCUCUUAGUUAGCCCAAGUGUGUCAAAUUAAUUUGCAAGUGAAAUUUGCAUGUAAUUUGGCUAUAUAAUUAUGAAAUUUGAUUGUGUAAAGAGAUGAUGAACAUGAGUGAUUUUUGCUAGAAAAACUCUUAUAUAUGAAAUUCUCUCUCACUAAACAUGGUGCUGGAGUGAGGCAAUGGUAGUUGUUGAAUAAGAAAUUUCGAGACUAAUCACAAGUUGCCACAUCAUUUAUUAAGUUAAGGAUGAAAAGUACAAAUAAUUAAAUUUGGGACUAAUUAAAAUUGACAUAUGCUCCAAAUUAAAGAGUUAAAAAUAAAUAAAAUGGUCAUUCUAAUAAUGUCACAUGUUUUCAUAUUAAUCGUUAGAUUAAGUUAAUCAUUUUAGUUCAAUUAAAUAUUAUUUACUUGGACUAAGUUCAAUUAAGCCCAAAAAUAAGUUUAAUUGAGCCCAAAAACUAAAUAUAACCUAAGUCCAUAUGGUUGAGCCCAUGGGUCUGGUCCAUGGACCAACCAGGUUCAAACCCAUAAAGCCUACCAGUGAACUCUAUAAAUAGAGGAAUUCUCCUCAUUUGUAGGGGUUGGAAAAUUUUGACUCUAGAAGAUCUAGAGAGAAUUCUUCCAAGAGCUAGAAGACUCCCUAACUCCUGAAGUCGACCAUCCUCGAAGAUUGAAGCUUCUUUAAAGAUACAAGCUUUCUUCCAAGGCUCCAACUUCAAGAACAUCACGUGCUUCGCUUCCUCCAAAUCAAGCUGAAGCAUUCAGUUGAGAGAGAAUCAGAGGAUCAAAUUCUAGAGAUUGAACCGCAUCGCAUCAAAUCAACAAAAAUACAACAUCAACCCAAGUUCAAGUCCACGAAUUAAAUUUCUCCGGAAAUCUCGUGCGAACAAAUUGGCACGCCCAGUGAAGAAAUGUGAAGAAAUGUGAGGCUUGUCAAUACCAUGCAAACUUCAUACACCAACCUCCAGAACCUCUUCAUCCAACCCAAACCAUGGGGGAAGGGACAUCGAAAAAUUUUGCAAGCCACCAGACCUUAUAAUGAGAGGUAACAUGUGUGUCUGGGUUAGGGGCAGACACAGGAAGAUAUACUUGAGAAAGUGUAUUCUCGCGAAUACAAAUCAUCCAACAAUAUCGUACGUUAAAAAAAUUGGCUUCGGGAAUUUCUUCACCUAAGUCAUAUGGCACGUCUUGAUAAAAUCCAAAUUGUUGGCUAAAGCGACAAGGACAAGGCUCAAUAACUGUGGAGGAUCCACAUUGCGAGGAUAGAAAACAAGAGCGAAUGCUUAUGAAAAAUGAAGCAUUCCAACUAAUUAACUCUCCAUCAUCCGUUAAGAGUUCGUCCUUAUUCUUUGUUGGAAGACACGCAUGCCAUGACACAUACUUUCCCUUGUGGAUAUGUGUUCGAGCCUCAAGAUUAGUAUAAUAUUUGGCCCCACCUUCACCAGAAAAUUCAACCAUGCGAGGACCCCUAAGACUCCUAGGGGCUUUAUAAUGAGUGUUGAAGUAAAGAGCAAGCCACCCAUGGACAUAGUGAAGAGGAAAACAGGCAUUUGAAUAACCAAGUGAUGAAGUAGAAUCAUGAACUUGGCGUAGGCCACUAUAAAUAUUAGCUAAAACAGGGACGACAAGGCUAAAUGUGUAGCCUUCCGCCAUGAGGCUAGCAACCUUAAAAACCUCCGGACGAAGGGAAAGUUGCUUAUCAGGGAAACAAACACACAUAGCCAACAAGAGAGAAAUGCCGCUAGAUAGGUUUUGUCCCUAUGAUCAUCAGUGACGCUUAAGUCAAGGAACACUUUGAGUUCAGCUUUAGACCAGUCAGGACGUCUGAUGGGAAUUCCAUCUGGAUUAUGAGUUGAGCGAGGGCGAGAAGUCUUUUUAGGCUUUCGAGGAGGCGGUUUCGAAUACUUUACCUCAGAUCGUGUAACCCAGAAAGAGAUCCAUUCACUUACAGUGAUUUGAGAGUGAUCCAUGCGUUGAGAAACAAUGCGGUAAUAGGCUGCAAAUAAAUGCUCACAACUUCUUGGACAUACAUCAGGUGAUCCUAUUAAGUCUUGGUGGCAAGGAAUGCUUUCUUCAUAAAAUCUACCUUUAAUCGAGAGUCCUCCUAGUAUCCAUAAGUCCCAUAAGGAGAUGGACAUCUCACCAGCUGAGGUGUGAAGAGUGUUUGUUGAAGGACACCAUGCCUCGCAGAAAGCCCGAUCAAUGUCACUGUUGCGAUCAUAUGUAUAUAGGGAAGCCAUCACAGCAUUAAAUAGGGAGGCUCGCUUGAGUACUGCCGUAUUUCUAGCAACAACGAGCUCUAACCACUCCCAAUAAUGAGGAAGAUAGUAAAAUUCUCCAUGUACCUUGAGCACAUUUCCCCAACGAAUUUUUGGGUCGUUUAUAAUUCGACGACCCAACGUUGAUUCUGGAUCCUCAUUUGGAGGCUUGUUGUGAAUCGAAGACUCCAGAAACCAAGAUUUUAAAGAUGAAUUUGGAUUUACAAACUGUUCCUUGGACCAUUUAGGCAAAAAGAUAAAAUUAUCCUCGGGUAUUUGGGAGUCCAUAAUAUUCUCAAAUGUCCCCUCUCUCACAGGAAGAAUGAUCCCUUCCUCUAAAGAUUGAUCUACGUCCUUCAGGAUAAUUAAACACCUUUUGGUCGAGUCAGAAUACUCAGUGAAGUGCACCAUGAUGAAAAGUAGAGUUCCUGCACAAUAAUAAUAAUAAUAAAAAGAAGAAGAAAUAGAAAAAACAAAAAAAAAAAACCAAAAAACAAAAGAAAAGAAAAAGAAAAAAAAAAAAGAAAGAAGAAAAAAAAAGGGGUGGGGAAGAAAAAGCAAAUGAAGAUUGAAGCCCGACGAUGACAGAGUCGAUCUCUCCUACUAGGGCGAUAGAUCUGACAGCAAAAGCCCGAUCGUCCCUAGAAGAAGCUCAACAAAGUCAUUUCUGCAAACGAAGAUCGAAGCCCGACGAUGACAGAGUCGAUCUCUCCUACUAGGGCGAUAGAUCUGACGGCAAAAGCCCGAUCGUCCCUAGAAGAAGCUCAACAAAGUCAUUUCUGCAAACGAAGAUCGAAGCCCGACGAUGACAGAGUCGAUCUCUCCUACUAGGGCGAUAGAUCUGACGGCAAUAGCCCGAUCGUCCCUAAAAGAAGCUCAACAAAGUCAUUUCUACAAACGAAGAUUAAAGCCUGACGAUGACAAAGUCCGAUCUCUCCUACUAGGGCGGUAGAUCUGACGGCAGAAGCCCGAUCGUCCCUAGAAGAAGCUCGACAAAGUCAUUGCUGCAAAAAAAAAACAAAAAAAAAACAAAAAAAACAAAAAAACAAAACAACACACAAAAUAAAAAAACAAAACAAAAUAAAAAAAAACACACACAAAAAAAAAAGAGAAAAAAGAGAAAGGGAGAAAGAAAAGUUUUCUAUACCUUUCUGCUGAUUGGACGAGGAAUAAGCGUUGGAUGAGGUAUAAGUGAGUAGGGUAUGAGUUUAUUUAUAAGUCUAACAAAUCCAAUUCCUAAAAGGAUUAGGAAUAAUAUUUAAUUAUUUUAAAAAAAAACAAAUCCAAUUCCUAACAUGAAUAGGAAUGAUUUUAAAUAUAUAUAUAUAUAUAAAAGAUAAUCCAAUUAUCUUAUUUUAUUUUAAAUUUUUUUUUUUUUUUGGAUAAAUCUCAAGUUUAAUUUUUAUUGAGAUAUUUAAAAUAUUUAAAAAUUUCAACAUUUUUUAAAAUAUAUAUAUAUAUAUGUAUAGAUAAAUAUUCUCAAUUUCAAAAUUCAAGUUAAAUUAACUUGCAUAUAUGACCUUCUUUUUAUCAUGAAUUUAAAUCGGAACCAUAAAUCCAACUUUACCUAAGAUUGAGGACCUGAUUUUUUAUCUCAAAUUAAAAUUGGUCAUUCCAAAUUCUUAUGCAUCCCUAAGAUAAAUUAAGGUACGGUAGAAACCUUAUCCUUAUUUCAAAAUUAAAAUUUUGGUUAUAUUCCAAAUUUUACUUUAAAAAAAAUCAUCAUAUUAAAUUUUUUUUAUCCUCAAAUAAAAUUAAGUUGGGAAUAAAACUUUGAAUUUUUUUAAGGUUUGGCCAUAUUCCAACCCUUAUUUUAAAUUUAAAUCAAACUCACGUACUAAAUUCAUAGUUUGAUUAAUUUGAUAUGUUGAAUUGAGUAAAAAAAAAAAAGAAGCUCGUACUUUGACUUCAAAUUUAUCUUUUCCGAGAUUCAUUCACGUGCAUAAAUCUCGAAAAGGGGCAUUUGUUGAAUAAGAAAUUUCGAGACCAAUCACAAGUUGCCACAUCAUUUAUUAAGUUAAUGAUGAAAAGUACAAAUAAUUAAAUUUGGGACUAAUUAAAAUUGACAUAUACUCCAAAUUAAAGAGUUAAAAAUAAAUAAAAUGGUCAUUCUAAUAAUGCCACAUGUUUUCAUAUUAAUCGUUGGAUUAAGUUAAUCAUUUUAGUUCAAUUAAAUAUUAUUUACUUGGACUAAGUUCAAUUAAGCCAAAAAUAAGCUUAAUUGAGCCCAAAUACUAAAUAUAACCUAAGUCCAUAUGGUUGAGCCCAUGGGUUUGGUCCAUGGACCAACCAGGUUCAAACUCAUAAAGUCCACCAGUGAACUCUAUAAAUAGAGGAAUUCUCCUCAUUUGUAGGGGUUGGAAAUUUUUUACUCUAGAAGAUUCAGAGAGAAUUCUUCCAAGAGCUGGAAGACUCCCUAACUCCUGAAGUCGACCAUCCUCGAAGAUUGAAACUUCUUUAAAGAUACAAGCUUUCUUCCAAGGCUCCAACUUCAAGAACAUCACGUGCUUUGCUUCCUCCAAAUCAAGCUGAAGCAUUCAGUUGAGAGAUAAUCAAAGGAUCAAAUUCUAGAGAUUGAACCGCAUCGCAUCAAAUCAACAAAAAUAUAACAUCAACCCAAGUUCAAGUCCACGAAUUAAAUUUCUCCAGAAAUCUCGUGCGAACAGUAGUCAUGGACAACAAUUGGGGGUGGAGUCAUUGAAAACAUUAAUAAGAGGGAGUAUUUGGUUGAAUUGGUGUAAGUUGGUUAAAAUAACCAAGUCACCUUUAUCAAUAUUUAAAGUGAGGGGUCAAACAUUGAGUUGAUAACUUUUACCCAUUGAUCCUUCUUCCUUAUGUAAAGAGGCAGGUAGAGAUUCCUUUAGAUUUGUCUCUUUGGUUUUCCUCCAUCAUUUAUAAGCUUUUUGUGCAACUAACAUCUUAUAUGUCAACUUGUCAAUACUAUCAACUCAAUUAAUUAAAUUUAUUUGUAUUGUUUAGUUCCUACCAAGGCCGAGGAAAAAAUUAUCCCAAGACACAUCAUUCAUCUAUGAAUUCUAAUAAAUUAUCUAAAUUAAGGCGCCUCACAAUAAUUAAAAUGUUCUUGGACAAAAAAAUUAUGGAGGGAAAAGCUAGUCUAGUGCAAUUUAGAACCAUGCAUGUUUAAAGAUUUUGCUUGCUUAACUAUUAAUGAGAGAUGACACAUGAUGUUUAUGGGUGGAAACAUAUGAUCACCGUCAAGCAAGAAUAGAAACAAUAAAGUCAAGAAGAUAACAAAAUUCAAUUCCAAAGUGACACCUUUAACACUAAAAUGGGUCUAAUAUCACGGGCUUGGGCUUUGGCCCAAGUCAACAUGCUAGCUAGGCAUCAACUAAUAUCAAGUUGAGCCUAACAGAGUACUCAACGGGACAUGCCCCAUGCAUGUCUAACCCAAAGAAUCUUUCCAUAAUCCAAAUGGGCCUAAGAGAAGGUGCUUGAUUGAGAUCGACUCUAGUAAAACGACGAGAGGGGCACACCCCUCAUAUGCUCGAGCUGAUUAGUAAAAAUAUAGUUUCGAGUAACUCCAAAAUUCUAUUGGAAAGGACUUGGGACAAUUAUACCUGUAAAAUAGAUCAUGUUAGCUCUAGGAAAGGUAGGUCUAUUUUAAUACUCAAGCUUUCUACUUUCCAUACAUGUAUACUGUUUUUUACUUAAGCAUCACAGCUUAUGUGGAAAGUUUUAUUUUGAUUUGCAAAUUUUUCAAUCUUAUAUAAAUCAUAUUCUUAUUUGAAUUAUAAAUUUAUUCUUGGUGUCACGUAAGGGUAAAAAAUCAUUUUUCUAUCUAAUUAGACAAAACCAAUAUGUCAUGUUUAUUAUUGCCUGACUUUGGACAUUCUCACUUGCAUCGAAUAAAUGAAAGAGAAAAAAAGGUGUUUUCUCUACAUAAUGUUAUCAUUUGAAAAUUAGUUUGACCAACAUUCAAAAAAGAAAAAAAAUUAAAUGAUGGAUUAUUGGGCGCGUAGAGUUACGUUGGUAAUAACGGGUUGUCAAGCAAUAAUUAUUUGUAUUUGAGGUGUAGAGUAGAUUUGAGUUGGUGCUAACUAUUCAUUUCUGGAAUGCAAAGUUGAGUUGAGUUAUAGAUAUUUAAUUCAAAUUUCUAUAAUCUAAAAAGGUACACACUUUUCAUAGGAUUUUCUUUUUUUAAAAAAAUUGUUAUACCAUUCAACUAGAUACUACACAUUUUCCCCAAAAAAAAUUAACAAUAUGAUGUGAACUCAAUAAAUGAAAAUACAUUUUUCAACAUGUAACCAUUUGCACUCGACGUAGAUAAAAUAUUUUUAUUUAUUUAAUCAACAAACCUACAACGUGCUUUUAUGGUCGUAGAACAUAUGAGUUGAGCAUGCAUAAAAGUAUGAUUUUCAUUAGUGACCUAUUUACAUGUUCAUGUAACUAUAGUGGCAUUGUUAACAAGAAGUCAGUUUUCUUUUCUGAUUGUUUGUAAUAGGUAGGUCUAUAAGAAAAACUUAAUCAUUGUUUGACAAUCCUCUAAUGUCAAAUUAUUGUAAAAGAUAACUAUCAUACACUAAACCAAUAAUUUAAAAGUUGCAUUUAAAAACACUUUUACCAAACGUUUUUUUUUUCUUUUAGUAUGAUUUCAAACGAGUUGACUCUCAGAGUUAGUUAUGUGAUACAAAAAAUUAUUUUAGUGAUUGAGUUGAGCGUCAGAACUGGUCGUCAAAGUUUGUUGCCAGAGGUGGUUGUUGUAGAAGGUAACCAUCAAAGUUUGUUACCAGAGGUGGAAUUGAACUUUAUGUAUUGAUUGAUAUACUGGACACGGUCUCUAAUAUUUACUCAUUUGAUGUUUCAUCUUAAAUACAAAUUAAAACUUAGAACUCAUUGAUAUUAGAUGUUCAGGAAGUUGUAGUUGUAAGGCUAUUUGAGCUUCAAUCUUCUGGAAUUCAAUGAAAGUUUGAUCUUUUUAGUCUUCAAUCUUUCAGAAGAUGUUGAUAUCGAAGUUGAUAAGAACUUGUAUGUCUUGAGAGCUUUUAGAAGUUUGAGUUUUCAAUUCUUGCUCUAGUUCUUCAAAGCUUCAAUUAUUUCUUCAACCAAAGAUCUCCAAAAGAAAUGAGGUCUCUAUUUAUAGAGAAUUUCCAUAUGCUUGGGCCCAUUUACUUGGUGGGCUUGUGCUUAGACUUAUUUUGACUGUUGGACUGGGGCCAUUUUGCCUGCUGGGCUUGAACUUGGAUUUGUGUCCGUUAUACUCGUUUGACCCAAUUUUUACAUUGGAAGCUUGAAUUGGGUUGGAUAUGAAAAAACUUAAAUACCCAAUUAAAUUAUGAAUAUCACCAUUUUGUUGUGGUGACAUGACAAAAUUUGUUGAUUAUCGAAGUUCUCAAACUCAUGUUGAUGAAUAUUAGCUAACCAACAUGAUGUUAAUCUUACAUAUUGGCAUCCCUUAAUAAACUAAUGUAAUAUUAUGCGGCAUACACAAAUAUAGUUAAAUAACUAAUUUACAUUUUAAGAGUCAAUGAUUUGGUCUCAUUAAUUGAAUAUUAAUAUGAUUUAAUUAUCAUUUAAUUACUAAUUAAGGAGACCAUUUUUAGCAACUAACUUCCACCUCAUAUAAAUCUUUGUAAUUUUAGUAAUAAUGUAAAGACAUUUCUGAAUGUGAGUUAAAGAUCUUUAUUUAGAAUGAGAACACCACCUAUCUUUUGUGCUUAUGAACACAUAAAAGAUGCAACUUCCUCUCUCCUAAUCUCUCUUUAAUCUUUUACUUUCUAAAAAGAACAAUUUAGAGCAGAAAUUAAUACGAAUUUAUCUUACUCGUUUUUUUUUUUGUUUAUUACGUUCAACGCUACAAAAAUGUUAACUUCUCAAAUUUAAGGGACAUUUGAGAAAAGGAUUACCAUAAAACUAUAAUAGCUGCUACAUUGUAAUUCUCAAAUUAGGUAGGGUGGCACAAAUUCAAAAUCUCAAUUUGUUACAAUAUUUAUUAUUUUAUUUUCAAACUAAAAUAGUUUACAUGUUUUUAUAAAUUUAUAACCAAAACUAAAAUAAUUUGCUUGAUUGAAAGCCUCAAAAUAUGUAUCAAUAUUCAAUAAAUUGAAUAUCUCAUUUAAGAGAAAAAGGUAAAUAAAAGACAACGUUUUUUUCUUUUACCCUUCGCUUGAAUUUAAGAAAGUUGAUGAAAUGAGUUUAAAUGUUAUGAUUUGAAAUUGGAGAAAUGGUUUAAAAAUAUUUAUUUUGAUUGGAAGAAGAAAAUUUUGAUAGGAAUGUAUUUAAAAUUUAAUGUUUUGAUGGUAAAUGAAAAGAAAAAAGGAAAUUAAGAAUUUAUUAAUAUAGAUUUGUAUGUAUGAAUGUGUAUUAUGAAAAUUAGAUAAAGAAUAGGUCUACCAUAACCAACUAUUUUAGUUAGGAAAGUUUUAAAAUAAAAACAGAAAUUGAAAUCAUAUAGAAUAUUGAAAUCAUUCUCUUUUUAUGCGUUAACAAAUCACAGAAUUGAUUUGAAGUCCGUUAUAAAUGGAUGUUAGCAAUUAAGUGGUUUUGGUAAAUAACAUUUGAAGCACAUAUUAUAGUUCAUAUCUGAAGAAAAAAAAAAGAAGACUUUCAUAAUUUCAUAAGGUGUGGUUGACUUUGAAAAUUGCAUGUGACACCCACGUGUCAUUUCCCCAUGAUUCGUUGCCUACGUGGCAAAAAAGGAGCUUAUUUAAAUUGUGAAAAUUUGCCACUUCUAUAAAUAGUACACCCAACCCUCAAACAAAACGCAUUUAAUAAGAUUUUGCUUAUUAUCGUCUCUUUCAUUGGAGUGCGUUUCCCUAUGAAAUAGAAUCCGGCCACGCGAGUUUUGUACUCUGCUACUGCAUUUUCCGACCAUUCAUCGAAUCACUUGAAUAAGAAAAUCUCUCUGAAAGUAGAGGAGGGGGAGAGAGAGAGAGAGAGAGAGAGAGAGAGGAGAGGAGGGAGAGAGAGACUCAUCGGAAUCCCUCAUUUGGGGCUCAAUCGCUACGCUUAUUUCUUUCUGAAGUGUUUUUGUUUGCGCCACUCACCGACUGGUUCGUUCUCGUUUGUUUUUUUUAUAAUUGUUUUCUGUCUUUUGUCUCUCUAUCUCUCUCUCUCUCUCUCUUAGCGUGUGAGCUGUUUUUUAGCCCUGUUCUUCUUGGCCUGGGAAACAGAGUCGUUUUCUCUUUUUUAUUAGGGCAAUUUUUAGAGCUUAGUAUAGGUAACAAACGAUAUUAGAAACCCUAGUUUUCAAUAGGUUGUUAGAAUUUACGUUUUUAGUGGGUUAGUUUAUUUUUCAACUCAUGGCAUUUGAUCAGAACGCAAUUCCUACAGGCUUGCGGCCUUUAAAUGUAGCUAGAACUUUAGUUGAAGAUUCUCAUCUAACGCUGGUUGCUAAUACUGGUCAAAACCCCCAAAGGGUUACUCCUUUGCAUCCCUACGACAUUGCCAAUGCAGACAAUUUGCCUCUUCCUUGUAAGGGGAAUGUCUCUGAUAUGGGACUUGCUGAGCUAGGAUAUCGAAAUUUUGUUGCUGGUGUUACUGCAUGGUGCCCUCGAAUGCCUCCUCCCCUUGCGCAUACUGCAACGGUUCCUGCCGUAGGACUUGGUUAUGUCAUGAGCAAUCGUGGUGGUGCCAAUGCCAUUGAGCUUGCUAGUAGUUGCAUGACAGUUGGGCCUAAUCAUAAUACAAAUUUAGGUCAUCGAGUUGGGGGAGGUGGACUGGAAUUUGUAUGCAGUAAUACCUCAAUGGGAUCUGGGGAUAGUACCAAUUUAUGCAAUAAGGUGACUGGUAAUGAUGAUCAGAUUAGUAGUGAUAGUACUUCUGGAUUUAGCUCCCACUUGAGGAGUUCGGUUGGUGGAAAUAGUGGAAAUGUGGUUGAUCAAGUAAGUGAGGAGGGUGGAGAUGGUUCCAUUUCAAAAAAGAAAGUUAAGUUUAUGUGCAGUUUCGGCGGCAAGAUCUUUCCUAGACCGAGUGAUGGUAUGUUGAGAUACAUUGGAGGCCAAACAAGGAUUAUAAGUGUUAGAAGAGAUGUGACUUUCAAUGAGCUUAAUCGAAAGAUGGCUGAUACAUGCGGGCAGGCUGUGGUUAUAAAGUAUCAGCUCCCUGAUGAGGAUCUUGAUGCUUUAAUAUCUGUUUCAUGCCCUGAUGAUCUUGAUAAUAUGAUGGAUGAGUAUGAGAAGCUGGUUGAGAGGUCUUCAGAUGGAUCGACUAAAUUGAGGAUGUUUUUGUUCUCUGCUUCAGAACUUGACUCUUCAGGUAUGGUGCAAUUUGGCGAUUUGCAUGAUAGUGGGCAGAGAUAUGUUGAAACGGUGAAUGAGAUAUUUGAUGGUGUUGGUGGCCGUAUUACUAAGAAAGAGAGUUGUGCAAGUGCUACCUCAACUCAGAAUUCUGACUUAAGUGGGACUGAGGCAAUGGAUAUCCCAAAUAAUGAUCUAGGGGUUGUGAGCGGACCUCCAUCCACAACAUUGCCCUUACCUGGAGGAAAUUUAGGUACUGCAGUUGCUAUUGACCCUGGAUUGGUGAAGGUGGAUCCCGUCUCUGCAGUUUUGUUAGAUGCCUCUGCUGUUCCAUCAAGCAUUCCUUUUGUUAACUCUGUUCCUCCUGGAGCUUCUUUCCAGCCUGAGACAGAGUUAGGAAGGUCUGUGCCUGUUACUCUAAUGCAGCAGCAACCGGGUGUUGACUUUUCUCCACCCGUGUCUCAUUUACAGCCUACUGGUGAUCCUCGACAAGCAGCAUGUGUGAACUUUAUACAACUUCGUCCACAACUAGGCUUUCCAAAUUCCCAUCAUAUAGGAGCAUCUGGAUCUGUGUUUAUACAACAACCAAAUACUCUUGGAAUUACUCCUCAUCAGUUUGUCCCUGCAGUUCACAUGACAAUGGCUCCUUCUUCUCGACCCAGUAUUAUGCCAAAUGCCUAUCAAUCGAUGGUUCAAUAUCCACAAUCCCAGACAGAAUGUUUUUCCAACCCAAGCACAUUUGGUCCAAGGGUUGUCCAGCUAUCAGCAGAACAAGGCUACAACUCAGCUCAGGUUCCAGCUCCUCCAAUAUCAGUAGGGGUUGGAUUUGGUUUACAUCAGGUACCUUGGCCUGAUCAGACAGUUAUAUCUGAUGAAUUGGUAUCUCAUCAUCAGACAACUUUUUCUGAGAAGAUCGAGAGGUUGGAUGACAGUUACUUCUGCCAGAAAGCAAUGCCACAUGCUCAUUCCAAUUCUUCAUUGCAGAAUCAAAGUGAAAAUUUAGCAGACCUUGUAACUGAUUCAAAAUUUUCGUAUUACAGUCAUCACCUUGAAGAUCAAUUAACAGCCCAUCCAAUGAAAAAUGUCACAGAAACUGUAGCUCUAGGGCAAUCAACAAUUGAACAUGGUGUUGGAGUUCAAACCAGAAUCUUUAAUCCAAUGGAUCCAGAAGUUGAAAACCUUUCUGUGGACGUUCUUAGCUUCCCACAACAUUUGGAGGACCGAUAUGAGAAUGAAAACACUCUAAAAGAUCAAUGUAAUCAUGGUUGUGGUAGGAUCUCAGCUCCGCAAGGUGCUCUUGGGAGGCAAGGUGAUAUUCAGUCACCCCAUGUUGCUAUUGUAGCCCAGAAUCCUCAGUCUGGUGAAGUUGAUACUCUCCAGCGCCAUCAUGUAGCUGUAGAGAAUCAGUUCCAUCCAAAUUUAGUCGUGGACAGACACAAUAUUUGCUUUGGCGGUGCUCCUUUUCUUGCUUCAGAGUACAACACUCAUGAAAAUCCGGAAGAAUACUCUAAUAGUCAUCAUGGCAUUAUUUCAAACCAAAAUGCUACCCACACUGGUAUUCAGUAUGACCAUCUCAGACCAAUUGUUGGAAAUUUGGAAAGUCUAAGUAUAUGCCCAACUGAUAUUUGUGCUAAUUUGGAUCACUGCAAAUCACCCAUUGAAAGAACUAGGAAGGAGGACAAUUUUGGAACCUGUUCACAACCAGUCUCACAGAGGGAAAUUCUACUAGAUAACAACUUUGUAAAGCCAAUAGCGUUUCUUAACCCAAAUCACAUAGAAUCAACUACCUUCACUUGCUCUUCAUUAGAGGUUCCCUACUUGAUGAAUGAACGACCUGCUGAGUCUAGUGAAGUGGCACAAUCUUCUGUCGGGGGCUUUCCUGGAACAUUAUCACAAGCAGAAAAUGGGAUACAAUAUUUAGAAUCCAAUGAAGUCUGUCAUAGCAGAAAUCUCCACCUAUUUGACAUGAAGACUGAACAAAGAAAUAAUGAAGUCUCAGUUUCUGCUGAAUGGAAGGACCCUUCUCUAUUUGAAUCCGGGAUGGUAUCUGGUGAUGUUGAAUCUGUGUCUUUGCCUAUCAGGACUGGAAAUGUACAGGACACUGCGAAUUCACUUUUCAGCAAUCAGGAUCCUUGGAACUUGCAGCACGACGCUCAUCUUUUGCCUCCUAGACCAAAUAAAAUCCAAGCAAGGAAUGAAGCCCUUGCCACCAGGGAACCCUUGACAGAGACUCCUUUCAGAAACGUUGGUGAACUAAAUGUGGAAGCGUUACUGGAUGAUGGAUUAUGUCACCCAUUGGUUAAUUCAAACAAGGGUACCAAUUCGAGACUGUCCAGUCUGACAAAACUAACUUUGUAGUUCUUAGUCGAUUUGUAUCAAUCACCUUUCUAUUAUCAUGUUUAUGGGGGUGAUUAAUCUCAUAUAAUUUCUUGUAGGCUCUGCAGAGGAACAAAUUAGGAAAGAUCUCCAAGCUGUUGCUGAGGGUGUAGCUGCUUCUGUUCUUCAGUCGGCUCAAUCCUCCAACUCCGAAUUGAAUGAAAGAAGCAAUUCAAUUUGUGAGACUAGCACCGAAAGAGAUGUUCAAAAUAAUGAUGUGGGUUUGUAACCUAAUCUCAUAUUGAAUUUGGCUAUUCAAGGGGAAUAUGUCAUGUCUUUUACCAUAGUUAUUCACUUUUUCCUGUUUGCCCAGGAUGGCAGGACAAGACAUUCAGAUAAAGCGAAUCUUGGUUUUCCAAUGUCAGAAGGCCUUGGCCGCUUGCAGGUAAUAAUUAGUUUUCCAUUUUCAACCUUAAGGAUGCACUUUAUGUUUAAACUAUCCAUCCUAACAUCCUUUUUUUUUUUCUCUUUUUCUUCUUUCCCUUAGGUAAUAAAAAAUAGCGAUCUUGAAGAAUUAAGAGAAUUGGGGUCUGGCACAUUUGGCACUGUUUAUCAUGGAAAAUGGAGGGGAACUGAUGUUGCUAUCAAACGAGUUAAUGAUAGGUGUUUUGCUGGGAAGCCUUCUGAACAAGAUCGCAUGGUUGUUCUUUUUAAGUAAUUGGCUUUUCUUUUCUUUUGUUAUUCAUGUGUUUUUCUUUUUGUUCCUUGACUCAAGUCCUUUUUAUUGGUUUAUGUUGUACCAGAGAGAAGAUUUUUGGAAUGAAGCAAUUAAGCUUGCUGAUUUGCACCACCCAAAUGUGGUUGCUUUUUAUGGUGUCGUGCUUGAUGGCCCUGGGGGAUCUGUGGCCACAGUAACAGAAUAUAUGGUCAAUGGUUCGCUUAGAAAUGCUUUGUUGAAGAAUGAAAAGUAACAAUUGUUCUCAUUUUUCAUAUGUUUAAUUUAAUUUGUUAGUAGUUGCGGUAUAAUAUAUCUUCACCCUUAGAUUAAGCCAUAAAAUACAAUUGAUACAGGAGUCUUGACAAGCGGAAGCGCCUGUUGAUUGCAAUGGAUACAGCUUUUGGAAUGGAAUACCUGCACAGAAAGAAUAUUGUGCACUUCGAUUUGAAAAGUGAUAAUCUACUGGUCAAUCUUCGAGAUCCUCAUCGCCCAAUAUGCAAGGUUUGUUGUUGCUGAUAAUAGCAGAAUCAUCAUUGUAGUACAUUACAUCUAGUUAAACUCUUGAUUUGAUUUUUAAACUUUGAUUUUUAAACAAAACAGGAGGAUAUAAAGGGGUACUGUCAUUUAUCAUGAUCAUUCGUGCCCAAUAGACAUUUUGCAAAUAUUUAAUACUAUAAUUUCACUUAAUACACGCACAUCAGUGAGAUUAAGAGGCAGUUUUAUUACGUGUUUUAGUAAAGCACGAUGAGGACAAAGGGAGUUGUAUUCAUUUACCAAAUAAUUUAUCAUAUCUUGGAUUGGAUACUUAUUGCACUUUUGUGAAAAUACCAAAGAUGGUUAUUUAGGAUCUGCCAGGCAAAUUUUUUCUCAGCCCAUCAGGUAGUUUGAGAUGUGAAAGGUAUCAUGAAUAAACGAUAUUGAUCUUAUUAACAAGAAUGGGUUGACAACCCUAAGUACAUUUACUCAGAGCACAAUCACAAUCAAUUGUCUCCGCCUCAACCUCUCACUCUCGAGAAGAUUCUGCUAAGUAACUAACUACCCUUCCCUCUCUCAAACUUUCUAUUUAUAACCUCCCUCAUAGUGGUCCCCACCCUUACUUGUUUCUCUCUUUCUUGCAUUUACCUCUCCUAUGAUAUUGAUGUAUAACUGGGGCCUAACAAGAUUCUUUGUUGUAAUUGUACUAAAUAAUGCUUCUUAAAACAUAAAAAUCACCUGCCUUCUCCUUAAACAUGAAGUUAGUAAAAGGUUAGAAUUAAUACAUGUAAUUAAGGGAGUUUUAGGGACUCAAAAGAUGGCAGAAAUCUAGAGUCAUCUGUUCCCAAAAUCCUACUAGAAAACUGGAGAAGAGGAGGAAGAACUUUCUAUUUCCAAAAUCUUUAUUGAGGACUGUAGAAGUUUGGCUUAUGAACAGGAGAUUGAAGGAGUUUAUUCCCCCCUCCCCCCAAGAUGUAUACAAGAGAUUCUGUAUAUAUAUAUACACCCUAAAAGGGUCUAUAUUGGUGUCAUAUAUUGUCCAUGUCUUUUUUUAUUAGAAGAUUAUUGUUGGGAGGUAUGGCAAUAGGUGAGUCAUUGGAGAUUUACCAUCAAUGGGAUUGAAGCCAAUGCUACUGAAUAUGAGGCAAGGGCAAAGCUAGAAAUAGAGGGAUAUGACAUUGGAGCAUUUGAUUGUGGGGGAGAGCAGAAGUAGUGAACCUAAUAGGGGAGGUGCAUUGUGCACGCAAGGAAAUUCUAAUGUGAUUGUAAAAGACGAAAAAAAAAAGGAAGACUCAAGAUCAGACUUGGCAGAUGCCCCUUGUCGCUUUCCUGCUAGGUCCUAGACUAAUGAGAAAAAUCAAGGGAGAAGGCCUACAGUCGGAAAGGCGAAUGAAUACUAGUUGUGGUUUACGGCUGGUCCGAUCCGAUCCAACGAACUGGACACCCAGGGAUGCUGGACGGUAAGUAUGAAGUUGUCCUUCUAGACUAGAAGCAUGAAGGUAGCAAUACCGCUCUCUGCCGUGGUGAAGCUAGCACGCAUCUCCGGUACCGCUUCUCCCUUGAAAUGCAUAUUGAAUGGAUUUCAAUUGGAAACAUUAGAAAAUAGGAAUUUGCAGCAGAAGAUUGAAAAAACAUGAAUCAGGAUGCUUAGAGAUGGAGAAAUUUGAACCCAUACAGAUGCAAGGAGGGUUUAAUAGACUAUUUUAUCACACUAGCAAGGGAAAGAGAGUUCAGGAAAAUCUUCAGAGUUUAGUCUCAAAUUCAAAACAAUCGAGUGUGGUUGGUGGAUUAUGGGCACGGUUCUGGAAUUUGUAGAGGGUGGACUAAUACUAGGAGUGCAGAGGAAGGUCCAUUAUGAGAAGAUCAAACAAAUGCCAUUCUACUGACUUUGUGAUUUAAACUGUUUGUCAUUGCAUAUAUCUGAACAGGGAUUUGUUGUCAUUUCACCCCCAUGCUGAUUCAUUAUGAGCAAUUUUGUUUCUCAUUCCAAGAAAAUUGUUAGUUUGAGUUUCUAAACAUAAAAAUGUUUGGAAGAGCUUUGUUUAUGCUGCUUUUUUGCCUUUAGGUUGGUGACUUGGGCCUGUCAAAGGUGAAACGUCAGACAUUGAUAUCAGGUGGUGUGCGAGGAACACUUCCAUGGAUGGCACCCGAGCUUUUGAAUGGUAGCAGCAAUAUGGUAUCUGAGAAGGUAUACUAAUACGUUUUACUCCUUGCAGUAGUUUGCCCUUGUAUUACAUGUGAAAUUAAAAUAGAUGAUAUGUUACUUGUGUUUGUAGGUCGAUGUGUUUUCCUUUGGUAUUGUCUUAUGGGAGCUCCUCACUGGAGAAGAACCUUACGCAAAUUUGCAUUAUGGGGUUAUUAUAGGUAAACCUUUGGUAUAUGUAUCCCAUCUUAUGCAAUUAUUCUGUAGGCAAUUUAUUUUAUUAUAGACAAAAUUUGCUUAAGUUGAGCAAGAAGUUUGAGUUUAGAUCUUCUAGUCCCACAUCUGGUGAACUAAAAUUUUCUCAACUUAAAAUUCAGGUGGCAUAGUAAGCAACACAUUGCGACCGGAAGUACCAGAGUCCUGUGAUCCAGAAUGGAGGUCACUGAUGGAGAGAUGCUGGUCAUCAGAGCCAUUAGAGAGGCCAAGUUUCACUGAAAUUGCAAAUGAACUCCGCUCCAUGGCUGCAAAAGUUCCUUCAAAAGUACCCAACUAACUGCAGUAGCUUUCUUCACUUAACUUCAUCUUCAAGUUCUGGAGUAAAUUUAGGAAUAUUGCCUCUCACAUGGAUCUUUCCUCUUCUAGUUGGUCUAUGUUUCAGAAUGGGAAAAUACAAGUACGUUCUCAAGUUUUGGAAUACGGUGGGUAUUAGAUUUGUUUUUUCAGUUCUAACAAAGAGAGAGAUUAGAGUAGUUGGCAAUGCAUGCAUAACCCCUUUUAAUUUCAAUUUGCAGCUAUUUAGAUUAUGAUUAUUUGUUAGUAUUAUUUUGUUUUCUAAAUAUGGUACUAAUUUGUUUGACACUCUUUCUUCGUUGUCAAUAUUUUCAAUGUUAUAGACAAACUUAGCAGACAAAUUUGUCUCUAAAAAGGGCUGCCACUUUUGGAAGUUCAUCUAGUGGAGUUUUGGACAAAAAGAAAUUGUUGCCACCAUUUUUCUUUUGAUAAAGAUUGUGAAUAUGAACUUCUUCCUGCCUGUUAUGAACAAUGUAGACCCCAAAAUAAAUCUCCAUUAUUUAUAUCCAAUAAAUCAUUUAAAAACUUACUAAUAUGAAUAUAUUGACAUGGUGGCAUCACAUUUUUCUUUAAAUUAGGACCAAGGACAGCUAUUUUUAGGACACUUACACAGUAAGAACAUAUUUGUUACUUUUAUACCAGCUUACUUGCUUUUGAUUGUUAUAUCAGAAGUAUGGAACACAUCUUUUGUGUACUAAUAUAUGUUCUGUACAACGUUUAUCAAACCAAACUUAAAGUGAAAUGCAGCGUUUGAGAGGGAAGUAUCUUUAGCUUAAAGAGGAUUUUCCAGGAACUUAGAAGCCUUUUCUUGUUGAGAUUUGAGAAGAGGGAAUCCAAUAGCUUAGGCAUAGGAGAUGAAAAAAACUGCUUCUUUACAAAAUUUGACCUAAAGUAAUUCUAAAUUAAUGGUUACUUUUUAAGUAAUUUUUGAAGUUAUUUGAAAAUUGCUUUCAAUGAUUUAAAGUUUAGAAAAUUUGCUGACAUCGAACGGUGGUUAAAAUCACAAAUGUUUUAAUGAAAAUGUAAAAUUACAAAUUUAGUGAUCAGCUGCUUAUCAAACUGAACUUGAAUAUAAAGAAAGUAAUUGUUUCAAAGGCUAAAUAAUUAAAAAAAAUGUCCUUGAACUUGGCUAUGAAUACUGUUUAAACUUUCAAAAAGUUACAAAACUGUUUUUAAACUUUUUAAAAGAAGUUCCAAAAUGCUUUUUACUUCUGAAUUCGAAUGAAAGUUACUGUAGUUUCGUUUAGAAAAUACUCGAGCGGUUGAAAAUUUUCAUACGUACCUUAAGUUAAAAAAUAAUAUGUAUACUCUUAUCGAUCCAAUUUUUACCCUAAAUUUCUACCUCUAGAUUAUAAUCUAGAAGAGGAAUAGUUAUAAAAAUAAACACAUUCAGUCGUAAUACAUCCUUUUAGUCCUAUAGAUAUGUUUAUAAGGUCUUCAAAGUAAUCCUUUUAGUCCUAUAAAUAUGUUUAUAAGGUCUUCAAAGUAUUUUGUGUAUGAUUUUUUAAAAAUAGUUGUAUGUUUGAUUUUUUAAAAGUUGUUAUAUGAUAUUUAAGAUGAGUAAACGAAAGUUUAAGAGAGAAUGUGAUUUUUAGAAGUUGUUCUUCUAAUUAAAAAUAUUAUUUAAUUAUUUAAAAUAAAAGUGUAAAGUUAGUUGAGGAACUUUUAAACCCAUUUUUAAAGUUGAAGGACUAAAAAGGUAAAUUUUGAAAACUCGGAGAUCAAAUGAGUAUAUUGUAAUAAACUCGAGGACUAAAAAUGUCUGUUUUCAAACCUCAUGGAUCAAAAAGAUAAUUUUUCAAAACAACAAUUAGCCAAAUAAAUAAUAUAUAUGACUAUUAACACACAACUUGUUAAAAUAUUUAAAUCCUAAAAUCUCUGUAUACUUUUAUUAUUUUUUUUAUUUUUAAUUUAUUAAAUUUAUUUGUGCUUAAGAAGAAACGGGAGAAAAAAGAAGAAAAAUAGAGAAGUAAGACGAUAUCAACGACUUGUGCUAUAUAAUGAAAAGUUUAUUUUUAAAAAAAUUUAAGUUUAAGAGUAAAAUACACUCGAAAGUUUAAGGUUAUUUUCAAAAUUUUAGUGUAUGUUAAUAGUUAAAUACAUUUUUUUUAUUUGACUAGUUAUUGUAUAAAUAUGUUUUAAAAAGAUCUUUUAUUAAAGUUUUGUGAGAUUUUAUAUUUUAAUUUAGAAAUUUUGUUUUUACCAUAAUUUUGUUGUAAAAUUUGGACUAAUGACAUUUUUUAAGGUAUUUAGGAAAGUUUUCAAUAGUUAAAAAGUAUAUUUAAAACAAAACUUUAAGGGGCCGUUUGGGGGAAGGGUUGAGUUAUGGAAGGGUUAGGGGUAUGAUAAAACUAGUGUUAUGAUAAAAGUUGUUUGAGAGAAAAGUUAUGUGAAUAGUGUUAUGAUAAGAUGUGUUUGGGGGAUGGGUUAUGUGAUUAGUGUUAUGAUAGUUUUAUGAUAAGAUGUGUUUGAGGGAAGGGUUAUGUAUGUAGUGUUAUGAAAUUUAUUUUUUAUACAUUUUUUAAAAAAGAUUCAUAUUCUAAAUCCAACCAAAAUGUUGUAUAUUUAAUUUACUAAAUUAUUAUAUUUUCGAAAAACAAUUUUCAAUAAUUUCUUUAAAUGUGAUGUAUAUUUCUAACAUUUUUUACGUUCUCGUCAUAUGCAAAUAAUUUAUUGAUUUUUUAAAGAAAUUUGUAUUCUAAAUCUAAUACACAGAUUUCUUUGACGUAAUUGAUACGUGCAAAUAAAUUAUUAAUUUUUUUUAAAAAAAAUCAUAUUCUAACUCCAAUACACAAAUUUUGUAUAUUUAAUUUAUCUAAUCGUUCUAGUUUUCGUAACACAAUUUUCCUUAAUUUAUUUAAAUACAAUAUGAACUUUUUUUUAAGUAAUUGUUUCGGUUGAAUAAAUUACUAUUUUUCUUUUAAGGAUAAAACAUUCUCAGUUUUCUUCUUAUCUCAAUAUUAUGUUUUUUUUUUCUUCUCUUCUUAAAUUAAAGGAUUGUUGUUCCACGAGCAACAAAAAUGAUAAAAAAAAUUAUAAUAGAUAUAAAAAUAAGGAAGAAGAAAGAGAAAAAAAGUACAUUUUGGAAAAAUAUAGCAUAAUUUGGUAAAAAAUUAGAUUUAAAAUUUAAUACAAAUAAAUCUUAAAUCAAAUCUCACCAUUAAAUUGAUUUUUUUUAAAAAAAAUUCUUAUACAUUUAAAGUUUAAAUACUUCAAAAAAAAAUUUUUGUUAUACAUUUUUUUGUUUGUCUCAUAAUUCUAAAGAUAGUUAAUUUAAUAUUAAAUCGUCUUAUUUGAUUUUGUUUUGAUUUUUCUAUAAGUUUAAUAAAAUUAAUUUUUAAGAAAUUUAUUUAACUCAAAUUUAUCCGAAAUAGUUUAGAUACAUAUAGAUUAGUUUUAAAAUAAAAUAUUUGAAAAGGUAAAAAACAAAUAAAAGACAUAAAAUAAUAUAUAAAAAUUUAAAGUAAAUACGAGCACUAAAUGUAUAAACUAAUCACAAUUAAUAUUUAUUUAAAAUUUAUUUUGUAAAUAAAAUAAAUUAAAAACAAAAUUCUUUUAAGAUUAUUAAAUUAAUAAAAAAAAACAAAUGACAUUUGACAAAUAAGAGACUAACUUUUUUAAAAAAAUGAAAUGGUAAAAUUAUGGGAAAUUGAAAAAGUAGAAUUACGAAGGGUUGAAGAGAUAUUGAGAAGGAAGAAAGAGAGGGAAGAUGGGUUAUGAUAAACUUAAAACAAGGGUUAUGAUAACUCUUCUCCCAAACAAGGGUUGAGUUACCAUAACCUAAUCCAAUAGUGAUAAUCCUUUCCCGUGAACACUGUGUUGUUGUUUUAAUGAUUUGAAAAUAUAUCUCAAAUAACUUAAAAUGAGAAAAAGAAAAAAAGAAUUGCGAUUAAAAAUGUAAAAUAGGUUGAGAAUAAUUUAAAAGAUUUAAAAGAAUUGGGUGUAAGAGUAGUUUAGAGAGUUAAAAGGGAUUUGAGAUAUGAAUAAAUGGGGAAAAUAAGAAAGUAAAGAAACGCGUGGUGUGACUUAGCAUAGAGAGUCUUUAGAAAGUGGUGUUGAAAGUAAGUGAGGGAAUAGCGCGUGCGCAGCCGCCCUUAACAACCAUUCCAAUUCGUCAACUUUGAUGCCUAAACUUCUCUUUACAAUUUCACCUUUUUCUUUUUCUUUUUCCUUUCUUUUCUCUUUUUCCAUGUCAUAUAUAUAUUUCCAUGUUAUGAAACUCAUUGACUCCUCUUUUUACCAUUCAAACAAACCUAUCAUCCUCACUUUGACCAAAAAAAAAAAAAGAAACCCUUUCAUUAUUUAAAACAAAUAAAUUUUUGAAAUAAUAAUAUCAACUAUUAUAAUUGAUUCAUAAUCCCUACCAUCCACGAUUUAAAGUUAUAAUUUUUCUUCUUGUCAAAGUAAGAAUACAUGGAUCAAUACCUCCCCUUUGUUAUGCUUAAAAAAAUGUUAAACAAAUGGUAAAUUUGACUUUAGACCAAAGAGAGAAUGGUUUAUUUAUAUAUUAAAAAAAACGUUUUUUUUUAUAGUAAAAAUGCAAAACUUGCCAAAUGGGAUUUGCACAAACUUUCCCUCGACGUCAUUAUAAACUCAUCUUUGGAAGCAUUCAAUGCCGAAACAGAGGAAAACGAAAAUGGAACGAAGAACCCAUUUUCCCAAUCCAAACCCUUCAUUUCUUCGUUGUUUCGAAUCUCCUUUAUAUCAUUUCAUCUCCUUUCAAUGGCUUCCACAAAACCCAUAACUCAAAACAACCUCUCCAACCCCAUAAUCCCCCACUUCACUUAAAAAGCUUAAAACCUUUGUUUCUCUCUGUUCCCCAUGGCGACCCAUCAAACCAGACCACCUUCAACGCCUUAUUCACCUCUAACCGACCAACAAGACGACCUUCAAGACAUCGACGACUCCAUUUCCUCAAAUGGGUGUGGCUGUUUUCAGCUGUUCGGGUUCGGAUCCAAUCGGAAUAGGAAUUACGAAGGUGGAAAUCUUCUUCAACAGAAACAAGGGAGGGAAGAGGAGAGUUGGAUGGUGAAGAGAUUGAAGAAGGUGAGGGAGGUGUCGGAAAUGGUGGCUGGACCGAAAUGGAAGAACUUCAUUAGAAAGAUGGGUGGAUAUUUGAAGGGGAAGAAAGAGAGGAAUCGAUUUCAGUAUGACCCUGAAAGCUAUGCUUUGAAUUUCGAUGGGGGUUUUGAUGGAGAAGAAGAUGAUCAUCAUCCACCUAUUGGGUUUUCUUCGAGGUUUGCUGUGCCUUUGGCUUCUAGGGAAUAACAUUGAAGGAAAUAAUUUGAUUGAUUGAUUUCAUUGUGAUUGUUAAUGGAAAUACUUAUAAUGUCAAUUAUAUACAAAAAGCAUUAUGAUAUGUUAUUUGAUUUUGUGUGUAUAUAUAUUAUCGAGAAAGUUAGAAAUUUUGGUAGGGAUGACCUAAAUUUUACAAACGGAAUAUCAUUUGAUCUAAAUUUUGAUUCUUACCUCUAAGUUCUUCCUCCCUAUACUUCGAAAAUUUGUGACAUUCACAAAAGCUUAUUCUUUUGUUUCAAAACUACACCAGUUACAUGACAGUUUGAAUGUGAAAUUUAGAUCAUUUGUACAAAAAUUUUAGAAAUUUGGGUUAUUAGUUCUUUUCUUCUUCCACUUCAUCAACAAUUUGGUUUUGUAGAAAUAGAAUGUGUGCUUGAAAAUGAUACAAAUUGAAAGGUUGUUGAUAAUGGUAUUAUAAAUUUUUUAAGUAACGUUAAACUCGUCAAUUGAGUUGGAAAUUUUACUGUUUCCAACUUUCACAUGAGAGUCUAAUACUUUUUUUUACGUGGGAGAAAAAUGUCAUAAGCGAUGCUUAAACCUAGAUUUAAAAGAGGUUCGACAAUAUUCUAUGACCUUUUGCCAUCAUUUUCAUGAACUAUUAACUUUUUACACGGUCUUUUUGAUAUCAAUUUGAUGACUUAUUAACUUCUUACUGUGUGCGCCCAUCACUAAACAAUUCAACCUUACGUUUCAAAUAUCCUUUUAAAAAAAAAAUUCUUAAUAAUAUAGAGGGAAAAUUCAAGAUGAACGUUUUAUGUAUUUUUUUUUUUUUUUUUUUGUGGGGUUGGACACUUUCGAAAAUGCAAUGUGAUACCUUUAUGUUUCAAUAGGUUUGGUGUUCUAUUUUGGCUAAUGCUCCCACGUUGAUUGGGUGUGUUUUGUAAAUUACAUUAUAAUCAUAAUUUCUACUAAAGAACAACACAGUUUAGUAGUCCUGUAUUAGUGUGUUUAAAUGUCAUCUAAAUAUUUACUAAAACAUUUACAAAUAUAACAAAGUUUAUAACUAAUGAUACGAGGGUCUACCGAUGACAAAAGUAUAUAAUUUAUCAAUACUUUCUAGUAUGGUUUUCAAUUCAUUUAAUAUCUAAAAAAUUAAUUAAAAAAUAGAGAGAUUGGUGUGAAAUAAGAAAUGUACAACAGCUGGUGGGCUUUACUUUUAGAAGAGUAUUAAAUGAAAAUACAAAUUUGGUCAUUAGACUUUCUAUUCCUUUUUUCAAAAACAUACAUAUUUGUUUUAUGUAUUUUUGUACUGACUACACUUUAACACACCAAAUAUAUAUGAUAAUAAGAUUUAUGUCACUGCAUUUUUUGUCAUAUUCGAUAAUCUUAUAACAUUUCUUCGAUAAUCAUCUCAUAGUCGUGUAAUAACAUUAAUUAUUUGUCAUAUUCGCAAUAUGUAAAAAAUAGAUGUCAUACCUUGUUUUUUUCUAAAUAUUUGUGUCAUUCAUGCAAUUUCUCUAGAAAAAAUGUUAACUUAUUCUCAUCUAAAAGAGAAAUGUAUACUUCUUUUUUCUAUUUUAGAUUUUCUACUUUUAAGCAUAAUUUUUGUUUUGUUUUUAGGCUUUCAAAGGUUAUAUUUUUACCUUAAUUUUAAUUUUCAUUUUCAUUUGAUUCUUAGUUUUAAAUUUUCACAUUCUUUUCCAUAAUUUAAAAUUUUAGCUUAUUUGUCUUAGUCAAAUUUUCAUAAAAGCUACUUUUUAGUUUUAAUUUUAUUGCUUAAUUAAAUUACUUUUCAUGAAUUAAUCAAAUAACCAAUGUCAUAAUUUGUAAAUUGAAUAAUUCAAAGCUAAUAUAAAUAACGAAAAGUAAGCAUUUGUAAAGCUUAAAGAAGUAAACUUUAAAACUAUAAAAUCUAUAAAUUUAUGGACUAAAUGAAAUCUAAUCUUAAAAUCUCAAACUACAUAAUGUAAUAUCUUGAAAUUUUGAAAACAAAUGAAAACUAAAUUCAAAAUCUGGAGAUGAAAAUAUUAUCGAAGAAAAAUUGUAUUCAAUACUUGCGAAUCUAUAUAAAAAAAAAAAUCCUAAAUAUGUGUCGAAGCUAAAUUUUUUAAAAUCAUUGAAACUAAAUCAAGAUUGUUGUUGAUUCCCCGCCAAACCUAGUUACCCAAUUCGAGGGAAACAAAGAGAUGGCAUUGAAGAACUCACAUCCUACAAAAAAAAUUAUUAGCCUCAUUCAUAUUACGGGUGACCACUUGAGUUGGCAAAAAUAUAAAAAUUUGAAAAAUAAUCGAGCUAUACUUAGUUUAGCACCCUAAACCUCGAACAUUGUAAAUCACCUGACAUUGCUAGAUUUACACAUAACCAAAGGUGAUGACUAUCGAAAGAGACAUUAUUACAACCUCAUUCGACAACCACAAAGGGGAAUGUGAGUAAUCUUCAAAUGAGAUUAUUAACCUUACUUAUUAUGUGUUUAAAUGAACUAGACAUUUGUUACACUGACUUUUUUUUAUGAGUUUAAAUGAACCAGACACUUCUUACACAGACUUAUACAUGGAAGUGUGUUAGGCUUGACAUCAUACCUGAAUCUGUCACAUAUAUCAAUUUAAAAAACGAGACCAAACUAAACCAACAGAAGCGAGUCAAAGGCAAAACCUAGAAAAGGCCCAUGGCCACUAUGACGAGAUGUGAGAUUCAAGCACUAACCAACACAUAAAAACUAAACUAAAACAUUUUAAGAAGAUCAAAUACUAAAUUCAUAUACCAAAACAUGUAAUUGUUUCUUAAAAUAAUUGUCAUUAGGAAGAAAUGAAAACAAGAGAUUGCUAAUAGUGAAAAUCAAAAGUUAGUAGAGCUUCCCUUUUUUCUAUUAUACCUUUGGUCCAUUAUCGUUAUUCAAUCUCUCUAUAUCCAAAACUUUUAUUCUUGUACACUUCAAUUUCAUAAAACCAAUCAUAGCAUCAAACUUUUAACCAAGUUUUCCUUUUGGCCAAAUUCUCUGUUAGAAGAAAGCAAUUCUUACAAGUUUACUAUAAUUUUUCUCUAAUAUUAAAAUGGUUGGUAACCAAAUUAGAGUGGAAAUUGUAAGAAGAUUCAAACUUCUAACAUAUUGGUUGAGUAUAAUAUACGUCUUAAUCUUUUAAACCAAUUGCUUGAAUGAUCAUGUCGAUAUUUUUUUAUAACAAGUAGUUAACGUAAUAUUCAACACAAUACAAAAUUUUCAUAUACUAAUAUGACAGCUAAACAUGCGAUGCAAAAAAAUUAUGAGAUUUUGUGUAUAGUUUGGUUAAUCUUUAUUUUAUCAUCAAGGCUACAUAUUACAGCUACAAAUCAUACUAAAUAGUUUUCGUACUUGUACACAACUCUAUUCAAUUUCGUAUAUAUCAAAUAAUUCUAACAAUCUUUCAUUAUCGGAAUAUAGUUAAGAAAUAAAAAUUUGUUAGAUAUUUGAUAUUUAAGAUUUUUGUUUGUAGAAAUUAUUAUAGAUAAGAGGGAGAAUAUUCAAACUUAAAAUACAUAAUUAAAAAGAAAAUAGCAAGAUUGAAUUACUUGAGGUGAGGUCUAUUUUAAUAUCAAUUUAACAAACCAAAAAGUGGUCCAAUAUGAAAGCAUGCACAUGACUAAACAAGAAGACAAUUUUACAAUUUGACACUUUUCUUUUGAGUAAUGACAAAUUUGAAUUGAUUGAAGAAUCCAAACUUAAAACACAAUAUAUAAAUAAAACAUUAGAAAUUACUCUACCUUCUAAUAUUGUUACACCCAAGGUACAAAAAUACAAUAUAAAGUUUAAAAAAUCAUUUUCACAACUAACCAUACAUGGGCACAUAAAGUCGAUGGUUCCAAGGAUUUCGAGAUCAAAAGUUCGCAUAAAUUCUCGUAUAUUCUGAAUAAAUAUUCUUAUGGACAAAAAACUUUAAAUAUCGUUUAUCAUUUUCCUCUUUUUCUUAGAUGGAAAAAGAAAAAGUGCGUUUGAUUGGUCAUAUAAAAACAAUAAAAAAAAAUUAUAUUAGGCUAUGAAAUGUUUUGGGUGUAUCAAAUUUAUCAAGUAUAUGUAGUAUAUAUCUGCAAUAUACAAAGUGUAUAUCGACUGUGUAUUAUGUAUGUCAAGUGUAUAUUAGAUGUAUCAAAAUUUAUUUUCACAAAUUUGAAAGAAGUACAAAGAAUUAGGCUAACUAUUUCUUUCUAGUUGUCUAUUUUUUAAUUUUACGCUUGGUUUGUUUCGAUGUCUAAAUAUAAUUGUCAAAGUAAGUUAGUUCAAAGAUAAUCAACCUAUCCUCAUCUUCGAAGUGGAUUCUCUCUCAUAAUCAUAAUAAUAAAAAAAAAAGUUAGACAUAUUUCAAUUUUUUUUAAAAAAGAACGUUACCAAAAUUAUAAAAUAAAAAAUGUAGAUUUGGUUUUUAAAAACUAAAAAAGUAACUUCUUUUUAUAAUUUAAUUAGAAAUUCAAUCUUUAUACUUGAACACAAGAUAAGAUACUAUGGUAGAAAAUUUAUAUAAAAAAAAUGCUUAAUUUAUAAAAAACGAUUUUCUUUUAAGAAAAUAACAAAUUUUACAAAAAUUUUGUAAUCAGUAAAAUCCUGUCACUGAUAAUCAUUGAUAUGCUAUGGUGAUGAGAGACAAUUAUUAAUAUAAUCCAAAAUUUUGUUAUAACUUAUAAAAGUUUAUUUAUUUUGAUAUUUUAAAAAAUGCUCCACAACGAAAUAAUUACCAAACAAACCCUAAAUAAUAUCCUAACAAAAAAACAAAUGUACUUUUGUUUUGUAAUUUUAGUAUUAUGUGUUUGACGCAAAUGUGAAGUCUAUAUAAGAGUUGAAAAUAUUUUUAAAAGUAUAUUUGAUUUAUUUUUAAACUACAAAAUAGAAAUAUUAGACUGAAUCUUAAUGUAUCAUCCAUUAAUCUACUCUCAUAUUUUAUCCUAUUGAAGUUUAUAUAAUUAUUACUUCACAAUAAAUGAUCUUAUUCACAAAAGAAGAAAAAGAUGAACAAAACCAAAUCAAACAAGAUUGACAUAUAAAAAGAAAUAAAUGCAUUCCGUAUUUAGGACAUGACACCUAAAAUAUGAAUUUCAUAAGCUAUAAUUGGAGAAGGUGAUAAGAUACACAAAGAUAUGUGGUACUCAGAGGUAUUUUUUUUCUUAGAAGAACAUUAAUGCUGCACCAUUCAAAUCUCCGUUGAUUUCAUAUUAAUAUUACACUAAUAAUAAUCGAACUACACAAACUCUCAGCAAGAAAAGACUUUGCCUUUCCUUGUCAAGAUAAGUUCCAUUCCCAUUUGUACAUAACAAGCAGCUGAAGAGUACAACAAGAAAAGGAACAAAAACAGAGAAGACGAUCUCAAAACACAUUAAAAACAUUAAAAAAGAAAAAGAAAAAACAAUUACUAAUUCUAUGAAGAUGUUGAAAAUUGGUAAACAAAGUGAAGAGGAGGAGGAGGAGAUUCGGAGUUAACAAAUUGACGAGAAGAGGAAGGAAGAAUUUGGAGAGAAGUUUUUGGGCAUUUUUGGGUUUUGAGAAACGAAACAGAGUUUUUGGAUUUCAAAGCAUGAGAGCAAGCAGCUCCGUUUCUAAUCCGAUCAUCGUGUAAUGCACAGCCACAAUUGCGAUGGUAAGGCCUUCGUUCAAUCAAAAAGCUUUGCAAUGAUAAGCUUCCAUCAAACACACGUGAUCCAACUCCUCCCAUCUUCUCCAUUCUUCCUCUGUUUCCUUGUUCUUGAAAACAGAGCAAAGGAUGAAUAUAUGAAAUUUGAAUGUCCAAAUUGGAAGGGUUGAGGAGUUGUGUGGGAUUAGGUAACUAAAAAGAGAAAUGGGGUUCCCAAAUGAAGACAAUAAUGUAAUGUAAUAGCUUUGUUAAAGUCGUAGAUGAAAACAAAAUGGGAAAAAAACGAGGACUUAGUUUCUUGAUAAAUAUGGUUGUGAAUUUAACUUAGAGUGUAAAUGACAAAAUUCAAAGUAAUAAUAAUGUCCGUUUUUGGAAAAGUAGAAAGAAGACAGUUGAAAAGAAUGAUAGAUCCAAUCUUAUAGUAUUUAAUUAGUCACUUUGGAGAUGUAGGUGAAAAUUUCAAGAAUUUUAUAUAUUCUCUUUCGUUAUGUUAUAGACUUUUCUUUAUAAAUUAAUGUUUAAACGUGGUUGGUUUGUCGAGAAAGUGGAUACGCAUAAAAAAGAACCUCGUAAAGAAUGUUUCUUCUAGUUUUAAGAAUAGACCAUUUGUGUCUUUUAGGUUAAUUGUAGUUAUAAGUUUUUGCUCAAGUUAAGUACCUCAACCAUACAUAAGUGGACAAAAAAAGUUCAAAUGAAAUUAUGAAUACAAAGUAAUUACAUAGACGAGUCCUCUUCCUAAUUUUUGUUUGAAUUCAUAUUUUAUUAUUAAAUUAGAUUUCCUCUAACUUCUUUCCGAAUUAGUCACAUUGUCUUCAAGUUGCUCGCAUAUGUGGACAUCUAUAACUUUCUAAUGGCCCUAUCAUCUUUGGUCGUAGGCCUCUCCCUCGCAUGCAUGCAGCUAGAAACGUUGAAGACCAUAUUGAGUGAUAUUUAACUUUUGCUUUGGGAAUGUUUAGAUACAAUAUAUUUGAUGUCUGGUAGGUACAUCAAUUACGUGGUAUUUUGUUUAGUUAUAGACUUAUAGGGUAUUUGAGUGUUUUUAAACUUUUUAGAAACUCUUCAAAGUUGAAUUCUCUAACAUUGUACAAUUUGAUUCAAAUAAAUGUAUUUUUUACGAUAUCGCACUAUUAUUUUUUAUUAUUUAUUCGAUUUUUCCAUUUUAAUAAUUAAUUUUUCUUUUUUUAUUUGUACAAACUAAAUAUUUAAUUUUGCCAUUUUUUUAUUCACCCCUAAAAAAUACUAAGUCGAAGGCAAGAUAAGAUAUGUUGAGGCAAAGAAGAGCUAGGCAUUUGAGCCAACCUCUCUAUUGCCUCGAAGACUAACCCAAUUAACGAGCAAUGUGUGAGUUGGGUCUUCGAGGCAACAGUCAUCUAUUUGGUUCAUCCUCAUCCUCCAAAACUAAAGAUCCCAUGCAUCAUAUGGGUCAUCUCCAACACCUUCAAUCUAAUGAAAUUGCAUAUUAUCUUAUUAGAUUAGAAAACAAUAGAAUUCCGAAAUGAAACAGAAGAGAAGGCCUAAGUCAACUUCUUUUAUAAAUACAUCAUUUUAGUUCAUAUAAGAUUACUACAUCAAUAAUAAGUAGGUGUUGUAUGUCACGAUUGUUUGGUUAAACUUUAUAAAUCUUUUCAAAAUUGUUUGUAAUCACUAGAAAAGAAAAAUCAUUAUUAUUUUCGUCAUUUUAAUUUAAUUUUGAAUAUCGACAUAGUUCAUGAAACUUAUUAUAUUUUUUAGUACAAUAAUGAUUAAAAAAAAAAGAUUCAAUCUUUGAGCUAAAUUCAUUAUAACAUAUGGUACAUAAAUAUGAAUAUCUCACCUCUUCCAUUAAAUUAUGGUUUAUGCUCAUAAAUUCUCAAUUUAAUAUACAAUUUUAAUAAUUCAUCAAUGUUGGUGUUAGUACUGGACACCUAGCUAGAUGUGUUGAACUCAACAUUUGGUAGUAGAGAUUGGAUACCUAAGAUAUAUGCGGCCAAGAACUCGUCUCCUGGAUCUCGUUGCCUAGGAUUUGGACUCCUAGACCUCGUCACUUGGAUAAGAACACUUGGAUCUCGUUGAUUGGUUUUUGUCAUUUGGAAGUCUGAACGUCUAGGGUAUGUGAACAAAAUUUUGCAAAACAAAAACUUGUGAAAGUGAUUGAGUGCAAAAAAACAAAAACUUGUGAAAGUGAUUGAGUUGCAGAACCCACUCUCUUUAAAAUGUUUUGUGCCUCUUCUCAGGAUGCAAAAAGAUCUUAUGAUUGUUAUAUCGUCUCCGAACGAAACUACCAACUCGAUUGGAACUGAAUCGAAACCGAUCUGAAUACCAACAUCCUUUAGAUAAUUUUGCUUGGAAAACAAAGAAAGAAAGAGAGGGAGAAUGAUGUAUUUUUUAUGAUGUCUUGUAAAGGAGGCUUAUAUAGUACUGUUAGUGAUUGAGUUGCAUAACCCACUCUCUUUAGGUAAGCAGUCGAGACAUGCAUGGAAAGAUAUCAACAAGCUUUCAUUUGUCUAUCACCUCGUCUCAAUAGUCUUUAGAGCGCGCAUAAUCGUAACUCAAACUUAAAAGGAUAUUAAGAGUUUCCAUCACUAAUCUUAACCAUAACCAUAUAAGAGUCUCUCAUAUUAAUAGAGAUAUAUUUCUCUAUUUAAACAAAAUUUGAAUCAAUAAUGGACAAAUUCAGGCAAUUGAAAAGUUGGGAUCACUUAGUUAAUGCCUACUUUGCACAUGGGUCGGUGUUCAAGGCCGUAGUGGCAGUUAUAGAGAGAUUUACAAACAUUUAAUUUACUACAGAAUAUAAAUUUUGUUUUUUUAGGAGGGAGAAUAAUUUAUUAUAAAAAUAACAAAAUUAUAACUUUUUUGGUAGAAAGAAAGUGUUUCGUUGCAAAUUAGUUGGGAAGGAAAACGAAUCUGCCAGGCUGGUCUACGUGUUACCCUUUUCCUUUUUUUUCAAUAUUACAUAAUUUCCUUUAUUGCAUGCACACUAUUGUUUUAAAUAUAAAUAAAGAUUGAUUAAUGUGGCUAAUUAAGUUUAUUAAAUUGUUGUGACUUUUAAUUUGUAGGUUGAAUAUAUUUAAAAAUAUAUUCAAUAUUUAGUUUUUCUAGUUUCAGUACUUUUGUAGUAUUUUAGUUAAUCUUAAGUUUAAUUCAUAUACUUUAACUUUCCUAAUAACUUUUAGGGGAAAGAAACUCGAAAUAAAAAAUAAAAAGUAUAGAGAACAAUUGAUAUUUUAAUAUUAGAUGUAUAUUUAUGGCCCACAAGUAGAGAAAGAAAUAAAGAUAUUUUUAUAAUCGCAGAAACCAAGAAAAAAUGGAUCAAUCGAUGGAUGCUUCCAUCUUCCUCACAGGGAAAGAAUGAAACAAGAUUCGUGAAUUUCGCUGAAAGAAACUUGGAUCCAGCACACUUCAACCUCUAUUUCAAAUAGAUGAAAUUAUUUUCAAACGAGAAUCAUUUCACCCAAAUCAAGAACAAAAAUCCAUUCCCAUUAAUUAAUCAAUGAAUGAAUCAAUUAACAAAGAUUAGAAGAAGAAGAAACAGAGUCAAGUAAUUAAAAUCUACAUUCAUCACUUCAAUCUUUUCAAAUCAAGAAUUCCACUAACCAAAGAAAAGAAUUCCACAUAUAUAUAUUACAAAACUAAAAUCAAAUUAGACUUUUAACAAAACAAGAAAUAAAAAACAAAAAUCAAAACAAUAAUACGGCUCAUCUCUUGUAAGAUCCAAGGCUUUCAACCUGAUCCAUGGACGGCGAAGAAGGAGAAGAAAUGCCAGAAGCAGCAACCAUAGCCAAACAUCCCUCACUCCAGGCUCGUCUGAUCGGGUACGAGACGGACUUAUGUUUAGACAUGGAAUGAGAACAGCGUUUAUUAUCUCGGUCGUGAAGCGCGCAGCUGCAGUUCUUAUGGUAAGGACGGCGGUCGAUCUCGGCGUCGGGGCUAACGAUGCAGCCGUAGUAGACGCAUCUGAGUAAGGCGUCGGCCAUGGAGAAGAGCGUAGGGAGUGGCCGAUGCCGGAGGGGGGUUGAGGGAAAGAAGGGGAAUGGAGAAGAAGGGGUUUAUAUAGGGAGUGAGGAAAUUAAAGGGGAGGUGGUUGAAGAGAAGACAGUUGUCGGGAUACUGGAAAAGGGAGAAUUAAGCGAUGUGGGAUCCGUGUGAUGUGUGUAUAAGUUUGUGCGUUGGGAGUUGGCCUACUUUGCUGCUUGCCGCCUUGCCAUGUGAUGCCAAUUGGCCUUUUGGGUUGUACAAGACAUUAACUCACUCAUCAUCAUUAUUAUUGUUAUUUUAAUAUUUUUAAUUUUAAAUAUGAAAAUGUAAAAAUCUCCAUAAAAAUAUCACCUCCUCCAUUAAAAAUAGUAUAGGAUGCAGUGGUAUUAAACAAAUAUUCACUAUACUUAACUAAUUAUUAUAGUUGGGGUUCUGAGUUAUAAUCAUCCAUUUCACGAAUUUCAUUUUGGUGCCCUCCACUACCUAAAAAUAGUAUAGGUUGUUACAAACUUUAUAAUACAACGAUUAAAUCAACUAAGGUUGAAUAUUAAAUUAUUAUAAACUAUUUGUUUACAUUUUUUUUUUUUUUUUUGUUCUUAGUUUGAUUGAAAUUGAUAGGUUUAGGAAACAUCAAGCGUGUGUUUGCCUCGUUAUUUUCUCCCACACAUUCUCCAACAUAUAUAGGUACUUUAGUUUUACUUACUAAUAUUUUAAUUUUGUUCUUUAAUGGAAUGCUUUUAUUUAUUAUUUUUUUUAGGUAAGGGGUAUCCAUAAUAUGUGUUUGAUGCUAAUCCAAGAUUAUUUUGAAUAUCUGUUUUUAUGAGUUAUUAAUGUUGCAUUUUUACACUUAUUGUUUUUUUUUUAAAUAUGUAUUUUUUUUAAUAAAUCAUUAAGGUUACACUGAUGUUACGUUCCUUUAUGCAGAUAGUAAUUAAUCAUUUUAAUUAUACUUGUUUGAAGUCAUAUGCUUGGUUGGUUUAUGAACAAUCUAACAUUUGGGCCUAACUAAUUGAAUUUUAGGUUUAGUUUGUCUUCCGGACAAAUUUGACCUACUUUUAGGCCCAAUUGAUUAUAAGCCCACAUAUUAAUACCAAAUCUAUCAACUUAUUUAAAUCAAAGGUAAAUGUAAUUGAGGGUCGAAUAAUACUUAAGGAUAUAGCAACAUUUAAUUGUAAAUAUAGCAUAACUAUCGUUGAUAGAUUUGUAUUGCAGAUAGAUUUGUAUGAUCUAUUAAUGAUAGAUUAAUAUUUACAAUAUAGUCUAUCAGUGAUAGACUUAUAUGAUCGAUAGAGUUUGACAAAUUUUGCUAUAUUUGUAAAUUUUAAAAAAUAUUGCUGAAUACUUAAUUAUUUAUUGCAUCUAAUGUAUAAAUUUGCAACUAUUCCUUAAUCAAACGAAACCACAUGACAUCAUUCAAUUCUAUUCGUUCUUAUCUUCAAUUUCCACUUCAAACCCAUAGCGACCUUAAUGAAUUUUCAGUUUGAUAAUUUGAAAAGUAGCGGUUAAUUUGGGAAUUUAUGCGACUAUUUGGGAUUAGUCUAAAUCCUUUUAUUCAACCACGACAACAUAAUGAAAAGCGUAUCUCCAAAUAAUUUGGUAAAAGAAUGCAAAUAAAAUACUUAUUAAUUAUAAGGAUUGUUGUAAUCAAAAUCUCUAGAUCCAUCAAUUCACUCUGUAAACGAACAAGAAUGUUAAAGUUUCAUCUUCAAAAGAACAAAUUGUACAAACUAUGGUUGAACAUACAAGUGUUAUUCCAACAUGAUUCUCAAAAGAUACAAUCAAACUCAAAUAUAAUGCAUAAAAAUUGAAAACACAUCAAGAAUGGUUUGAAACAUUGCCAAUUGUUAAUGCUGCCAUUUAAAAUUAUACAACCUGUUUUAGCAUAACUUGCGAAUUUGAGAUCGAAACUCCCACCUUUAAAUUAUAGUAAUUUAAAUUCAAAUUUAUGGAGUUGGAAAUUUAAAAUUUUGUUUGAAGAUCAUGAUUGGGGUUUUACUUCAAUAAAAUUAGGGUUGAAAAGAGUUGGGAUUCUGUUAAAGAAUAAAGUUGGGCUUAAACGGGCCUUUAAAGAGGAAUUGAAGGCUUUUGAAGCUUACUUGCCCAGAAAGUUAAUGGAUCCCAUUAUUCUUUGUUGUUUUAUCCAACUACCGAGUAGACGCCACCGCAAGGUUCCAUUUAAGAGUUCGGGAAUUGGGUUUACGGCCUAUCUUGCACUGGUGUACGAUGGCUGGAGGAAGACGAAGAACGAACCAUGCUAAAGCCAGUGAUAGCUUCAGGAAGAACAAGACUAAUUCAGCCAGAAGAAGAUCGGACACGCCAUCAAAUUUGUUUGUUGAUGGAGGGUUUUUAUUCGAUUGGCAGUGUUCGCCCCCCAUUUCUGCUCGAGGUGCCAUUUUCUCUUUCUCUGGAGUUAUAAUUUUUCGUUUUCUUUAAUUGAUUUUGCUUUGCUAUGUUUUCUUUAGAGGGAAAUUCUAGGGCGAAGGGCAAGUCUGAGGGAAAUUCUAGGGCGAAGGGCAAGUCUGGAUCAAAAUCGGAUACCUUAGAUCGUAAAAAGAUUGCUUCAUCAAGUGGGACUAAACAGUCCAAUGGUUAUGCUAUUGGCUACGAAUACCCUUCUGCUCCGAAUCAGGUAUUUCUUGCAUGAUUCACCGUUCUCUCCACUUUUAGUCUUCUUUAUUCUUUUAUUCUUUAUGUUAUAGUUUUCUUUUCCUAUUAAAUGUUUUCUUUUCUUCAAUUGUUUUUAGCUUUUCUAGACGCAUUCUUUAUCUCAUUGUGUUAGAAAGUCUGGUUACAUGAGAUGUAUUUCUGUCUUGGCUUCUUGAUACUUUCUUUUCCUAUUAAAUGUUUUCUUUUCUUUAAUUGUUUUUAGCUUUUCUUGGCACGUUCUUUAUCCUAGUAUCUUGGCAAAUUUUGUUUAUUUCGAAGGUAUUUACUUCUUGUUCUUUUAUUAUGUUACUGUUCUAUCACAUUAUGUCUUUUUAUUGAGAUGGGGAGACUCUUUUAGAUUCACUUUCAAGAAUUUCUUUUGGCGCUUUUCACAGGAAGAUUUGCAUUCAGAAUCCCGGGUUCUGCAGAAUGAUGCAGAGCGUCCAAAGGACGACUCGCAGCCUUUUAUAUUACUUAAUUCCAAAAGUAAUCAAAUUGUGGCAUAUGUAGAUGAAAAUCCACCAUUAAUGGCAGAUAAUUUAGAAUUUACUUAUGAUUAUGGUACUAGUUUUGUGUUAGGUGAGAGUUCACAUAGAGGACUAGGGUUUCACGAUGAUGAUGAACAUGUUACAAAGCAGAACACAGAUGAUGAUUCAGCCACACAAGUGGAAGAACAAGGAGAAUUAUGUACUCGUUCAUUAUCCUCUGGGAAGGAAACUGGUACAGAUGAGAGGGUUGAUGGCAGGGUAGGAGUUGAAACGGCUAAUGAGAUGGUAGCUGAAGCGUCACCUUCCAACAAAUAUUCAGAAGAUAUGUCAUCUCCAAGAAAUUCAGGUUUCUUGUCAAUUGGUGGUGUGAGAUUAUACACCCAAGAUGUGUCUGAUGAAGGAAGUGAUGAUGAUGGGGAGUCAUCUGAUGGAAGUUCCGAGUACUCUGAGCCUUUAGAGUCAGAUGAAUCGUCUGAAGAUGAUAGCUCUGUGGAAAUGUCUUGCAGUGGUUCAGAUAUUGAUGACGAGGUCGCUGAAGAUUAUCUUGAAGGGGUUGGUGGAAGUGAGAAUAUUUUAAAAUCCAAAUGGUUAGUAAAACAAGAGUUGCUAGAGUCUGGUGAUGAUAGUUCUAGCAGUAGCCUUGAUGAUACUUUAAAGAAAUUAGGCGGUAUUGCUUUGCAGGAAGCAUCAAAAGAAUAUGGAAUGAUAAAAACUCCUUCAAGAAAUAAAAGAUCCGUUGUUUCUAGAGAUCAUUGGUCAGCACUGGCUCUAGAUGACAUGCUAGUAAAAAAUACUAGAUCUACAUCAGCUAGAAAGCAAAAGAAUGCUUUGCAGUUUGCUCGUUCUUGGCCUCCAAAAGCUUCAACAAGUAAAGCUACUAGAAAGUAUCCCGGUAAAGAUCUCAUUUUCUCAGAAAAUUUAUUAAUCACAUAGGAUGUCUUCUUUUCUACUAUAAGUUAUUUGAUCGAUUGAAUGAAGCACAUAUAAAAGACCCAAUCACAUAGAAAAAAAGACUUGCAUUGUAGUUCAUACCCAAAUUUCUGAAAAUAAUUGAACAUGCGAGAAAAGGAAGUAGAAUUUGCUUCUUAUAAAGAGCUCUAGGUAAUUUACCCCAAGAACCUUAACUUGAUUCUCUAAAAUAUGACCUCCAGGGAAUAAAUAAAGCAGAAUGCAGAAUAAGGUCUACCCUGUGAAAUGGCUUGUAAUACCUUGUUGAUGAAUAUUGGACUUAAAUAUGUAGAUUCUGGGAAUGAAGGGAAAAGUUUUAGUAUUUCUAAUUGACUUCUGUUCAUGCGUAGUGUGCAACUUAUCUAGUAAACUUUUGAUAUGCAAUUAUAUUAUGGUUGUUGUCAGGUGAAAAGAAGAAAUAUCGUAAAGAAGCAAUUGCAGCAAAGCGUAGAGAAAGAAUGCUUAAUCGGGGUGUUGAUCUAAUGCAAAUAAAUCUGGUAUUAUUUGUUUAUUUUUUCAUCGGGUGUUGAAUUUUUUCUAAAGUUUUGUUCUACAAGGUCAUAAAUCACCUGAAUUAUGUAUGCACCUGAAUUAUGAAUAGUUAAGAACCUUGUUCUACCGAACAUCUCAAGUCCAGUAAUGCAUUGUUUCUUUUCACAAGGCCUUUAACAAUAUAUUCUCAUUGCUCCUUCUUCAUAAAGAAAGUGUACUUGUCUCUAAAUCUUCAAGCCAUGGUAGAAUUUGUAAUUAGAAGCAUAACUGUUUGAUGUGCAAUGUCAUUCAAUUUUAUUGCUAUGUUAUAUAAAUCAUAGUCCGUAGAGUGGGAGAGAGGGGGGGUGUAAACUGAUUAGAGUACAGGGCAGGCUCAAAGCAUAAGAAGACAAUGGGAUUGAAGGGGGGUAUGCUCUCAAGUCAUGAAUUUCUUUGAUCUGCAGUAGGAAUGUAUUCUUUGUUAUCAUUUAUAUUCAUUUGAAUUUUCUCUAUGUAAAUAUGACCUUGUUGUAGCAUAUACUUCACUUUGCACAAAUUGCCUUCUUUGAUUUUUACAUAUCUAAUCUUCCAGUUUGUUUGAAUUGUAGAAAUUGGAGCACAUGGUUCUCAAUAAAGAAGAUAUGUACGCUUUCCAACCUAUGCAUCCCCGUGAUUGUUCUCAGGUAUAUAGCAUGCUCUACUUCACUUGCAGUUUGUUAUCAGUUUGUGCCAUGGAGAAGACAAUGUUCCCAGUAAUAUUUGUCCUUGUAGGGUGUAAACUUGAUUGUCAAUAAUGAUAGUUUGAUAUCAUUAGGUACGACGAUUGGCAGCAAUUUACCGCUUGCAUAAUGGAUGCCAAGGUUCUGGUAAAAAAAGGUAAAUGUUAAUUUGAUGUAAGCCGUAGUUAGUUAGUUAGUUAAAACCCAUAAUUAGUUAAAGAACAGCUGUAAUCAAUAACUAACUAAAACAGUUAGACACUCAACUGUUUCAAGGAAACAGUUACUUGUAACUAACCUUGGAAUAUCAAUAAAUAAUCAAUCUCAACUUUGAAUUACAUCAAAGUGGUAUUAGAGCAGCCCCGAUUCUUGGACGGAUGGCUGGCUGGAGAGGUAACAACCCUGCCGCGGGGGAACACCGUGCGCAAGAAGAAGCAGAGGAAAUCACCGCCCUCUCUCCAAGGACAACAACAGUUCGCUUGCUGGCUGUUGAGGAAUCCUUGGGAGAUCUCCAUAACAAAUUUGAUAGAUUGAUGGAAAGCGUUGACUUGUUAAGCCGAAGAGAAGAAUACCCACAACCACCACCACGGAUUGAAGCCAACUUCCAAAACGACCAUCGUUUCGGUGAAGCAAGAGGCCAGCGAGCAAGGGGAAACUUCAGAAACGUGAACAACCCACGAGGAUUCCAAAGAAGGAGACCCGGUUACUCCAUACCACAACAAUUUGACGAAGAUUUUCAAGAAGACCAAGAAGCGUGGCAAGAAAUCCAAGAAGAUGGUUCCUCAAGUGGUGAUGAACAAGGAAACAUUUGGGACUUCAAUGAUGACUUGCGAGCAGGAAGAAAUAACCGAAGAAAUGAAGCCAGAAGAGGAGAGUACCACGACUACAAGAUGAAGAUUGACCUUCCCACGUAUGAUGGCAAGCGAAAUAUAGAAGCAUUCCUAGAUUGGAUAAAGAAGUCUGAGAACUUCUUCAACUACAUGGAUACACCUGAACGCAAGAAAGUCCACCUAGUAGCCUUAUAAUUAAGAGCUGGUGCAUCAGCUUGGUGGGAUCAGCUGGAAAUUAACAGACAAAGAUAUGUGAAGCAACCGAUCCGCUCGUGGGAAAAGAUGAAGAAGCUGCUGAAAGCGAGAUUCCUACCCCCAAACUAUGAACAAACACUGUACAAUCAGUACCAAAACUGUCGCCAAGAUACCCGUUCAGUAGUUGACUACAUUGAAGAAUUCCACCGCCUGAGUGCAAGAACGAACCUGAGCGAAAAUGAACGACAUCAGAUUGCAAGAUUUGUGGGAGGCCUCCGAUUCGACAUCAAGGAAAAAGUCAAACUACAACCAUUCCGUUUCUUGUCUGAAGCAAUAUCCUUUGCGGAAAUAGUGGAAGAGAUGAUUGCGAUUAGAUCCAAGAACCUAAACAGAAGACCGGCGUGGGAGACAACAUCAACAAGAAGGAACAAUUAUCCGGACAAGGCAAACGACCAACCCUCAACCUCAACUAAAGGAAAAGGGAAGGAAGUUGACAAUCAAGAAAUAGCCGUUGAGAGGAAGAAAGAACAAACAUUCAAAACCAGUGGUCAGAAUAACUACUCCCGCCCUUCAUUAGGAAAAUGCUUCCGAUGUGGCCAAACUAGUCACCUCUCCAACAAUUGCUCGCAAAGAAAAACCAUAGCAAUAGCCGAAGAAGAAGGGCUGACAAGUGAAGAUAGUAAAGAAGCAGAAGAAGAAACUGAACUGAUUGAGGCAGACGACGGGGAAAGGGUCUCUUGUGUCAUCCAACGGGUACUCAUCACACCCAAAGAAGAAAAGAACCCGCAACACCACUGUCUUUUCAAGACAAGAUGCACCAUAAACGGAAUGGUAUGUGAUGUAAUCAUAGACAGCGGCAACAGCGAAAACUUCGUGGCAAAGAAACUAGUAACAGUCUUGAACCUAAAGGCAGAAGCACAUCCAACCCCCUAAAAGAUAGGUUGGGUAAGAAAAGGAGGAGAAGCCACGAUUAGCGAAAUCUGCACAGUCCCUCUCUCCAUUGGAAGCGCCUACAAAGACCAAAUUGCUUCGAUAUCAUUGAGAUGGACGUAUGCCAUCUCCUAUUAGGAAGACCUUGGCAGUACUAUACUCAAGCCUUACACAAAGGGAGAGAAAACACUUAUGAAUUCCAAUGGAUGGGGAGAAAGAUAGUUCUACUCCCAAUAACAAGAAAGAAUAAGGAAGGAUUAAGAAGUGAGAAACAGCUAUUCAUCACUGUUAGUGGGAAGAAGAUACUUAAAGAAAGGGAACAAGACCUCCUAGGAUUGGUUAUUAUUGAAAAAACCAAGGAAGGACAAGUCGAAGCCAUAGAACCCAAACUACAGCAGCUCUUUGAUGAGUUCCCACGCCUAAAGGAAGAACCAAAGGGACUCCCACCUCUUCGAGACAUACAGCACCACAUAAACUUGAUCCCGGGAGCAUCAUUACCAAACUUGGCUCACUAUAGGAUGAGUCCCCAGGAGUACAAAACACUUCAUGACCAUAUCGAGGAACUAUUAAAGAAAGGGCACAUCAAACCGAGCCUCAGCCCUUGUGCAGCACCAGCCCUUCUCAUGCCAAAGAAGGAUGGGAGCUGGAGAAUGUGUGUUGACAGCAGAGCUAUCAACCGCAUCACGGUAAAGUAUACAUUCCCCAUCUCGAGGAUUAGUGACUUGCUUGAUCAACUCGGCAAAGCCAGCAUUUUUUCGAAGAUUGAUUUAAAAAGUGGCUACCACCAAAUACGCAUAAGACCUGGCGAUGAAUGGAAGACAGCUUUCAAGACCAACGAAGGCUUAUUUGAAUGGAUGGUCAUGCCCUUUGGCCUUUCUAAUGCACCCAACACCUUCAAGAUACUUCACCCCUUUCUCAACAAAUUCAUAGUCGUCUACUUUGAUGACAUACUCGUAUAUAGCACAAACGACGAUGAGCAUUUACUACACCUAAGAAAACUAUUCCAAGUCUUGACAGAGGCAGAACUCUACAUCAACAUUGAGAAGAGCAUGUUUUUGAGAAGAGAAAUUGCAUUCCUCGGUUUUGUAACCAAACAAGGAAGCAUAAGCAUGGAACCAAAGAAGAUCGAAGCCAUCCACACGUGGCCGAUUCCUGCCUCCAUUAAAGAGAUACAAGCCUUCCUUGGCCUGGCCUCAUUUUACAGAAAGUUCAUCAGGAACUUCAGCUCUAUAGUCGCACCCCCAACUGACUGUCUAAAGAAAGGAAACUUCAAAUGGACCCAACUACAACAAGAGAGCUUUGAAGAUAUCAAAAAGAAAUUGACAUCCAGCCCUAUCCUUAAACUACCAGUCAUCUCUUCACCUUUUGAAGUAGCAGCCGACGUAUGCUGCACAGGGGUUGGAGCUGUCCUAGCUCAGCAAGGACACCCUAUCGAAUACUUCAGUGAAAAGCUCAGCCCCUCAAGACAGUCAUGGAGCACAUAUGAAGAAGAGCUAUAUGCCCUUGUGCGAGCACUAAAACAAUGGGAGCACUACCUACUCUCCAAAGAAUUCGUACUCCUAACUGAUCACUUCUCACUAAAGUACCUCCAAGCUCAAAAAAUAUCAGCAAGAUGCACGCACACUGGAUAUCCUUCCUCCAAAGGUUUGAUUUUGUGAUCAAACACCAAUCAGGCAAAGAAAACAAGGUGGCCGAUGCCCUAAGCAGAAAAGGCUCCCUACUUACACUACUCUCUUGCGAAAUCAUAGCUUUCAAGCACUUACCCGACCUAUACGAAGAAGAUAUUGACUUUAAGGAUAUCUGGUACAAAUGCUCAAACUACAUAGACACUGAUGAUUACCACAUUGUUGAAGGAUACCUGUUUAAAGGAGAACAGUUAUGCAUCCCGCACACCUCACUACGAGAAGCUUUAUUGAAAGAAGCACAUUCUGGAGGGUUAGCCGGACACUUCGGACAGAAUAAGAUAUUAGAGAUCACCUCCAAAAGAUACUACUGGCCUCAGAUAAGAAGAGAUUCAAAUAAUUUUGUAAAGAGAUGCCCCAUUUGCCAAAGAACCGAAGGCUCCAGCACGAAUGCAGGAUUAUACUCCCCACUACCCAUCCCAACUUCAAUAUGGGAAGAUUUAUCAAUUGACUUUGUGGUUGGAUUACCAAAAACACAAAGACAAUUCGACUCAAUCAUGGUCAUAGUAGACAGGUUCAGCAAAAUGACCCACUUCGUAGCUUGUAAAAAGACAAAUGACGCAAUCUAUAUAGCCAACUCUUCUUUAGAGAGGUAGUACGACUACAUGGGGUACCUAAAAGCAUUGUAUCAGACAGAGACGUCAAGUUCCUGAGCCAUUUUUGGCGAACAUUGUGGAAGAAGUUUGACACAACACUGAAAUUCAGCACCACAGCCCAUCCACAAACAGAUGGACAAACUGAAGUAACAAACAGAACCUUAGGUAAUUUACUACGCUGUCUUAGCGGGUCAAAACCAAAACAAUGGGAUCUAGCAUUGGCUCAAGUUGAAUUCGCUUUCAAUAACAUGAAGAACAGAUCAACAGGAAAAUCCCCUUUCAAAGUAGUAUAUACCAAAUUACCACGAUUAACCUUUGACCUCACUACACUCCCUGCAACCGUGGACCUCAAUAAAGAAGUAGAAAGCAUGGUAGAAAACAUCAAAAAAUUACACAAGGAAGUCUAUGAUCACCUUAUACAGACAACAGAUUCCUACAAAAAAGUAGCAGAUAAAAAAAGAAGACAAGCUCACUUCAGCAAAGGAGACCUAGUGAUGGUACACCUAAAAAAGAGCAGAUUUCCUACUGGCACCUACAACAAACUGAAAGACAGACAAAUUAUUCCCUAUACUAGAGAAGUACGGAGAUAAUGCCUUUAAAAUCGAUUUACCACCAGACAUUCACAUACACCCAGUCUUCAAUGUUGCUGAUUUAAAGCCAUACCAUGCACCAGACAACUUCACGCUUGCUGACUGAUGAACUCUGGGACGAGUCCAUCCUUAGGGGGUGGAAUGAUGUAAGCCAUAGUUAGUUAGUUAGUUAAAACCCAUAAUUAGUUAAAGAACAGCUGUAAUCAAUAACUAACUAAAACAGUUAGACACUCAACUGUUUCAAGGAAACAGUUACUUGUAACUAACCUUGGAAUAUCAAUAAAUAAUCAAUCUCCUAGCCAAAAAAGGCAGAGAAUUCAUUUGAGAAAUUAAUCCCAACUUUGAAUUACAUCAUAAUUUCUCUUCUUUUUUGUAAUUUCAGUCAUUAACUGCUGAUGCUUAAACUUGCUAUAAUUUGUUCUCAGGUUUGUAACGGUAACUCGAACACAGCACACAGGAAUGCCAUCAGCAAGUGAUCAAGUUCGCCUUGAAAAGGUUAUUGAAAUCUUUUGGGUUAGAGAAUUCUUUUCUAAAUGUUUUCGGUGUCAACUUCUUGGAUAGUCCAUGAACUUACUGUUUUUAUCCCUCUUUUCUUCCCGAAUUCCAGCUAAUUGGGGCAAGAGACGAGGAUAAUGACUUUUCGGUUGCUGAAGGCUCAAACAUAAAAUCACGAGGCGGCAACAGAAGCAGAGAAAAGAAAAAAACCAAAGUUCAUGGUUUGAACACAUUGGAAUUUGAUCAAUCUGUAAGCAGUAAGUCGAGGUCAAAGGGUUCUGCAGGUAAGGGGUCGAGUCAGAAAAUGACUGGCAAAAAAUAUGCUGAUCAACCAGUCUCAUUUGUAUCAAGUGGAGUAAUGCAACCAGAAUCAAUGGAAGAGAAACCGGUCAAUGAUGUUAAUGAUGCAGACAAAGGUAAGGACAUUGUAGCGGUAUCCGAAAUGAUUGAGAUGACCACUAGUAAUGUUAAUAAUAUGGAUAUAAGUAGGGAUAGUAUUGGUUCAUUUGAGCUGCACACCAAGGGUUUUGGGUCAAAAAUGAUGGCAAAAAUGGGAUUUGUAGAAGGCGGAGGAUUAGGGAAAGAUGGUCAAGGAAUGACUCAUCCCAUUGAAGUGAUGAAAAGACCUAAAUCACUAGGGUUAGGCAUCGAGUUCUCCGAGGCCUCAACAUCUGCUGCUGGUGAUAAUCAGGCAAGUGGGAUAUCGUCUGCUAGAACGGGGUCCAGUGCCUUGGAAAAAACUAAAAAAAUUGGUGCUUUUGAAGUGCACACUAAAGGAUUUGGGUCGAAGAUGAUGGCAAAGAUGGGAUUUGUUGAAGGCAUGGGAUUGGGAAAAGAUUCACAAGGGAUAAUCAACCCCUUGCUUCCUGUUAGGCGGCCUAAAGCUCGAGGAUUGGGAGCCAAAAGUUAGAUAUGCAAGAAUAGAUGUUCGUUUCAUCAGCUAAUACAUUAUUCUCUUAGAUUCCUCUCAUUCUGUGUAACAACACUGUAAGUGCAGUCUACUCCUGCUAUUUUCGUUGACUCUUCCUCUUAAAUUAGUGAUAAUAAAAAGACAAACUUUCUUUUAUUUACUAUUAAGAAUAAUUCCUCUCAUUCUCUUAAAUUUGCUUUUCCAUCUCGCUUCUUCUUUCUCCUUUGUGUCGAUGAACAAGGUGAACUUUGAAUUAAUGAUUUUAUUUCAAUAAAAUUGUAUACUGUGAUUUUGAAAUAAAAGUAAGGAAUAAUUCGGUAAAAUGUGGUAUUUUUCUGUUAAUUUUUUAUAUUAAUUAGAGAUGAUGUGACUCUAUUUUCUUUCCCCUCUACCAUUUCUCAUGAGUAUUCUCCUCGAAUAGCUUAAAAGAAAGUGUGCUGCAACAGAGAACAAGCUCUCCGAUGGUCAUUGUCCUGCUCUUCAUUGUUGUCGUUCAUAGUUCCAGAUAUGUUUUAUUUUGUAACACUUUUGGAAGAUAAACCAAAUGAUUUGAUGUUGUAUUGUAUAUUGAUUUCUCAUGUUAUUUGUUGAUGGAUUUAAAUUAAUGGAGAAACUAUUUCCUACGAUUUUUGGUCACUGAAUUUAGUUGAGUUCAGUGGUUGAUAAACUACAAAAAUUGGGGACGAAAGGUAUUCUUCUGAUAUCAUUUUUAAUUUUUGCAAUUUGUCUCUAACUUUAUAUAAAUGUCUUAUUAAUUGAUUUUUUCUUUUUUACAUUUCUAGUCCUAUCCUCAUCAAUUAGCAUGUAAUUAGAGUUUGUCUGUUAGCAUGAUCACCCAUUUAAGAGAAUAAGUGUAUUAUCUAUACUUGUAAAGAUCUAACAUUUGGCUCCCGAUCUUCAUAGCUUUAGGCCCAUCUAAGAGGAGUCAAAGGGUUACUAUCCCUUAUGAAUCUUUUUCUAAUCCCAUGCCUUCAACAAUUCCCAUCUUUGCCACUAUCUUCCACCCAAAUCCUUUACUGUGCACUUCAAAAGCACCAAUUCUUUUAGAUUUUCCAAAGCACCGGAUUCCGUUCUAACAGAGGAUACCCAACUUGCCUGUUAUCAUCGGUAGUCAGAUGUCGAGGCCUCUGAGAACUUGAUGCCUAGUCCUCCGCCUUCUACAAAUCCCAUUUUUGCUAUUAUUUUUUACCCAAAACCUUUGGUGUGCAGCUCAACUGAACCAAUACUAUCCCUACUUAUAUCCAUAUUAUUGACAUUACUAGUAGUCAUCUCAAAUCAUUUCGAAUGCAGCUACAGUGUCCUUACCUUUGUCUGCAUCAUUGACAUGAUGAUGAUGAUGAUCGUGAUCGUGAUGAUGAACAAUGACGACGUCACAUUAACUCAAAAAUUAAUGUGAUACAAUCGAGAACAUACGUGAUCGUGAUGAUGAUGAUGAUGAACAAUAACGUCACAUUAAAUCAAAAAUUAAUGUGAUACAAUCAAGAACAUACGUUGCAUUAUUACUUCAUAUGAUACAAUCGAGGCAUGUUAAUCUAACGUAUACUUUUUGUUAAUCAUAUCUAAUUUAUUUUGUGUUCUAGUCGUAAAUUGAACUAUCAAUCUCUUUUAUUAAAGAAAUUGAUGGCCAUUCAUUUAAUUAUUUUCAAGUAACAAGAUAUUAGCACAAACGAUGAGAAAAAAAAUACUUUUCAAGAAAAUCAAAAUUUAUUUUUACUUAAAAUUCUUUUAAUAAAUUUCAACAUGUUUUAAAAGUCUUAUGAUUUCUAAACACUUCAAAAUAACUUAUUUUCAAAAUUAAACGGGCUAAAAAUGAUAGAAUACAUUUGAAGAGGGAGCAUUUUGUUUGUGAUGUAGAGUAAAAAGGGUAAAAAAACAUAAAAGAUGAAAAUAUAUACAAGAAGUUCAAGUGUCAAGGUAAUCAUAAUCCUAAAUUAGGAAAGAUCUAUUACUUUCUUAUCAUUAUACUUCUCCUUUAUUCUUCAACUCCGAUCUCUAACUUGAGCAUCAAGUUUCUUUUUUGUUUUGCAGGUUCUUCUUUCUCAAAUUACAAAUUUACGGUUACCAUUGAAGCUUAGGUGCGUUACGUCACAUUAGCUACUAAGAGAGAUUAUAUGAAAUAAAUAUAUACAAAAAAGAAUGUGAUUACUAAUUGAAGAGGACAGAACGGUCAUUUGAACUGAUUGGCCACAACUUCUAGUCUUCCUUCACCCGUUCACCGUUACCGUAAUUUAACACGCCGGGAAGGAAAUCUAUCAAAUUCUCCUUCAAGCUUUUCAAUUUGUGAAUUAUCGUCUAUUUCUGAGUUCGAGAGCUCGAGGAAUUUGGAGCAGCAGCUGCAAAUUUCUUCCUCCGCCGGAGAUUUUCCUUCCACUUUUCUAUGUCUCAGGUCAGUUUAACUUCGUUCUUUCUUUGAUUCCUUCUUCCUGGGACUUCCAUUUCUUGUUCUCUUACUUCAUUUUUGUUGCCAGUUAUAUGUUAUGUGAAUUCCUUUAUUUGUUUUUUGGUGAAUUUAAGAGCUGCUGUAGAUUUACUGUUUUGUUAUCCACUUUUGUAUGCGACUCUUCUAGAUCUGACUUCAAUCGAGCUCGUACUCUUCAAGGAUGGAGUUUUUCGGUGGAUUUAGGAUCUGGGUCUUAUCCCUAUGCUUGAUUUUUCAAUCGGGAUAUGGGUUUUAUCUUCCGGGGAGUUAUCCUCUAAAACAUGUUGUGGGUGAUGACUUAUCUGUCAAAGUUAAUUCUAUAACCUCAAUCGAUACCGAAAUGCCGUUUAGCUAUUACAGUUUGCCUUUCUGUACGCCUCCAGGGGGUGUUAAGGAUAGUGCUGAAAAUCUUGGCGAGCUUCUUAUGGGGGACCGGAUUGAGAACUCGCCGUAUCUGUUUAAGAUGUAUAAGAAUCAGACAGAUGUGUUCUUGUGUCAGACGGAUCCAUUGACUGAUGAUCAGUUAAAGAACUUAAAGGAGAGGAUUGAUGAGAUGUAUCAAGUGAACUUGAUCCUGGAUAAUUUACCGGCAAUCCGGUAUACCAAGAAAGAAGGCUAUCCUUUGCGUUGGACAGGAUAUCCUGUUGGCAUCAACGUCAAGGGUUCCUACUAUGUCUUUAACCAUUUGAAAUUUAAGGUUCUCGUUCACAAAUAUGAGGAGACCAACGUCGCGAGUGUAAUGGGAACGGGGGAUGCUGCAGGUGUGAUCUCAUCAAUCAGUAAACAAGAAUUGGAUGUCCCGGGAUACAUGGUUGUUGGAUUUGAGGUUGUACCCUGCAGUCCUUUGCACAAGGUGGAUUUAGCUAAGAACUUAAAGAUGUAUGAAAAAUAUCCAAAUCCUGUUCAAUGUGACCCUGGCAGUGUAUCAAUGCAAAUUAACAAAGGGCAACCUAUAGUGUUCACGUAUGAGGUUACAUUUGAAGAGAGUGACAUCAAGUGGCCUUCUCGAUGGGAUGCAUAUUUGAAGAUGGAGGGUUCAAAAGUUCAUUGGUUUUCAAUCUUGAACUCUUUAAUGGUGAUAACAUUUCUAGCCGGUAUUGUUCUUGUAAUUUUCUUGAGGACUGUUCGACGAGAUCUUACACGUUAUGAGGAACUUGACAAGGAGGCUCAAGCGCAGAUGAAUGAGGAGUUAUCUGGUUGGAAGCUUGUUGUGGGGGAUGUUUUCCGCGCUCCAGCCAAUCCUGCACUUUUGUGUAUAAUGGUUGGUGAUGGGGUUCAGCUUCUAGGGAUGGGAAUUGUGACCAUAUUGUUUGCUGCUCUUGGGUUCAUGUCCCCAGCCUCCCGUGGAACACUGAUUACAGGUAUGCUAUUUUUCUAUAUGAUUCUUGGUGUCGCAGCAGGGUACGUUGCUGUACGUCUUUGGAGAACUAUCUGUUGUGGCGACCACAGAGGAUGGAUUUCAGUCUCAUGGAAGGCUGCUUGUUUCUUCCCUGGCAUUGCCUUUCUUAUUCUUACUACACUGAAUUUUCUAUUGUGGGGUAGUGGAAGCACUGGUGCCAUUCCUUUUUCGCUCUUCGUUAUCCUACUUUUGCUGUGGUUCUGUAUAUCAGUUCCUCUUACUCUUGUUGGUGGGUAUUUUGGUGCCAAGGCACCCCACAUUGAGUAUCCUGUUAGAACCAAUCAAAUCCCAAGGGAAAUUCCACCCCAGAAAUACCCCUCAUGGCUUUUAGUACUUGGCGCCGGCACUCUUCCUUUCGGCACCUUGUUCAUCGAACUCUUCUUCAUCAUGUCUAGCCUCUGGAUGGGUCGUGUUUAUUACGUUUUUGGGUUUCUCUUUAUAGUGUUGGUGCUUCUUGUUGUUGUUUGUGCUGAGGUGUCCUUAGUUCUAACCUAUAUGCAUCUGUGCGUGGAAGAUUGGAAAUGGUGGUGGAAGUCUUUCUUUGCUUCUGGUUCAGUUGCCUUGUACAUCUUCUUGUACUCGAUUAAUUAUCUCAUCUUUGAUCUUAAGAGCUUGAGCGGACCCGUCUCAGCAACCCUCUACCUUGGUUAUUCGCUCUUCAUGGUUCUUGCAAUCAUGUUCACAACUGGAACAGUUGGAUUCCUCUCAUCGUUCUGGUUCGUGCAUUACUUGUUCUCUUCUGUGAAGCUGGAUUGAGUAAUCCCCAAACUCCUGAAACCAUUAAAAAGUGCAGCAAGCUCUAUGCAGAUGUUCUAUCAUGUAUUAGUCAUUGUCUUUGUUUUUUGUUUCACUCAAAUUGAGCAUGGAUCUAGAUAAUCUAGCAACAAUACUUGGUUAGAAGUUUUGCUUCCUAUUGUUUUAUGGAGCUCAUUGUAUGACAUUUUGAACCUGAGUUUACUUUUAGCUUUGUUAUAGAAAAGACCAAUAGUAGCUCUUUAUAAGUGAUGGGUAGUUUACAACUAAAUGGUUUACAUUGUAUUUUUUGUUUUAUCAAAACCAUGCAUUUCUCAACUUCUAGCACUCCAAAAGUUCUGUUUUUAGUCUUUGGGAUAUGUGGUAGAGGGGCAAUAAUCCUCGUCCCUCCCCAAUUUACUUGAUAUAGAAAAAGCUUUUGAUGCAUGAGCGAUCGAUCAAUAUCUAUGAGCUAGUAAUUUGGGAAAAAGAUUUACUUGAUGGAUGGAUGGAUGUAUGGUGAAUUAUAAACAUGUAUAUAGUGUAAAGUAGUAGAGCUAGAGCUAGAUUUUUGUUAAAACUUAGCAAACUUGCUCGAUGAUUAAUUUGAACAAAUUUUGAUUUUGUCAACAGUAGUUGGAUUUGUGGAAAUUUUUGGAUUGUUAGUUUGUUCAAAUUAGUGGAUUGAAUUAGCAAAAGUUGAAUUAAUGGUAUUAAUUGCAAUAUUUAUUUGAGUCUUAAUCAAAAGUUUAGAGUGGAGUUUGAUUUAAUCUAUAACCAGUUUCAGAAUACAAGAUGAUUUUUUUUCCUUUUUACUUUUUUCUAGUUAAUUUGAAAAUUCGAAUAAAGAAAUAAAUGGUGUGGGGUCCCAGAAAUUCCUCUUAUAGAUUUUAAAGUCGUUUGAUUGAUUGAUUGCUGAUUUCAAAAUUCAAACACAAAAUGAAUACACAAAUCCACAGAUCACAUCUCUAUUUUCACUCUUCACACUAAUUUUUCUCUUUUAACAAAAACCACUUUUAAAUCAUAAAACUACAUAAAGUAUAGUAUAUUUGUGAUAGAAUAUGAUAGCGUGACAUAAAUAGAUACACUAGACUAGUCUAUAAUUGAUAGUUCAUACUAGUUAUAAAAAAAUCACUUUAAUUUUCUUUUAUAUGUUGAUGAUAAAUCAACCAAAGCAAUGCUUUUACCAAAGAAAAAGUUCUCUUUAUUGAAUAAUGUGAUACUUUUUUUAAUUGUUUUAUUAUUAUUUCUUACAAAGAAAAACAAUAACCACAACAAUUUAUUUAUAUUUUAUUUUUUGGAAGAGCUUCCUCUUUCUUUUUCAAUGGAAUCAAAUAUACCUCAAGUUUUAAUCAUUUAAAAAUUUAGCAUUAUGUUGUUUUUCUCCUUAAAUUUGUCAAUUUGUCUAAUCAACUCAUAUUCUUUCUUUAACUCUUAUCUUAAAUAAAGAUAAGACAAUGAUAUAAAAUGUAAAAGCCACUUUAUAACCGCAUGUUUCAAGUGAAUACUACAAUACCAUGUUUCUCAGUUAUGAAAAAUCAAAUUCCACUAUCCAUUUCGAAACUUUAAAACCAUUUUAACAAAUCGUUGUCUCACACAAUUAAUCUUCGUAAAAAUUAUCUAAGAGGAGAUUAUAAAAUGUGACGUUUAUUAAAUUGACAACUUAAUUUAAAUUAAUAUUUAUCUUUGAAGUAAACUAAGCUCUAAAUGAACAAAAGGUUCAAAAUUUAUGAACCUAGUGUGAUGGACUUAAGCAGUAGCUGCUGCAACCAAUAGUAAUCAAAGUAUUAACCCGAAGAACAUAAUUCAGUUAAAAUAUAUGGUGGUAACUAAAGAUUAGAAAUUCAGAAUACUGAUAUUGUUUACUAGAAAAACGUACAGCAAAAGUUAAGCAUAGCAUGACAUGACAUCUAAACAGAAAGCAAGUCUGGACUAGUUUUGAUAAAGAAUUCAGAAUCAAAAGAGAGAAAAACGAACACAUGCAACAAAGACCUUGAAAUUAUCAAUAUCUCCAAGUGGAGCUUAUCUCACAAUUAUAUUAACUUACAAAUUGCUGAGGCCAUAUGCCAACUCAGAAAGACAAGGGAUCCUUUUCCAAGAACGCGACUUUUUUCCAGACGUAUACACAUCACAAAAGUUCAACAAACCUGGACAAGUAGAAUUGUCAUUUUUCCUAUUUUCAUGCAAAUAAAGUAUCAGUUUAAUUGUAAAUUUGGUAUGCGUAAUGGAUGGAGUGUUAAAGCUUUGUCAUAUAAUCUACAAUUAGAAUUAGUGUCUAUAAUUUGAUAAACUACUCUAAAAUAAUCCAUAGAAUAAGGAUUGCGUAAGAGGAGUAUUUAUUGUGUUCUAUCAAACUAUAAUGAGUUAGAAUUUAGUCUUCCCCAUGUGCACUGUGUGGUUUCAGUGUGGAAGAUGAAGAACUUUAGUUUUUAUUGAAAUACGGAAAGAUUUACAAAAAUUGUUUUGAAAAUCACUUCCUAAAGCACGUAAAUAUGACAAAAUAGUUUUCUCUAACAUUAAAAACCACUUUCAUUUUAGUAAUUUUAGACAAGCAAUGAAACAAGUUCUUGAACAAAAAUGGGUUUUAAAGACAAGUGAAGAUAAACAGCUCGAUCCCCCUCUUGAUGUUGGGGCCCUGCCUGUUGAGGAAAAAUGUUAGUGGGUGACGACUUCACUUUGAAUAAGACAAAACACACCGAUGCAAUCAACAAAACAAGGGAUAUUAUUCAAUGUUAGUUGAGUGAAUCCUCCAUGGUCCAAGCAUGAAGAAGAGCCAAUCAAAUCAAACAAAUAAGUCAGCAUAGGUAACGAAUGAAAAUUUCGACUACUGAACUUGUAACAGAUAAAUGUAAAGAACAAAGAAAAGAAAAGAAAAUUAGAAACAAAAUUGGUCUACAGAAAGCUCCAAGAUUUAUUUAAAGGAAAAUGAUGACUAAGACACGGGACUUAAUUUCCCUUGACCAAAAUAUUUAAAGUUUGGUUUCUCAUCCUUUCCUUCCCAUUUAGUUGAAUAUGACCAAUUUCUUCACACCCACCAAUAAACUGAAGAAAUCCCCGGAAGGUUAAAAACAGAUAAAAGAAAGGUUCAAGAGAAUUGAAGGUUGAACUGAGGAAGUCGUGAAUUUUGUAGAGAAGGGAAGAAAAUGGCAGGUGGAUCUUUUGCUCCUGCAGGAGUGGCCAAGGAGAGAGCAGAGCAGUACAAAGGAAGAGUGACGCCUUAUGUGGUUAUUGCUUGUCUUGUGGCUGCCAUUGGUGGCUCAAUUUUUGGUUAUGAUAUUGGAAUUUCAGGUACUUUCUGUUCUCUAUCCAGCUUCUUUUGAAUCUCUUAUAUUCUCUCCAGAAAAGUAUAGGAUCUUCAGGAUUAUAUCAGGCUGUUCCUUUUUCGUCGCUCUUUUUUUUUUUUUUUUCUUUUGGAGGGGGGAUUGGCCAAGACUAUAUGGGAGAGAAAAAUUAGAUGUCAGCAGCAACUUCAAAGCUUUUAUUCAAUUAUCCAGCAAAAAACUGCAAAAAGUUGACUUUCUAGCAGAGUGAUUUAGCUAACAUACAGGAAAUAAACAAACCACAAAAGUUAUACCAACUUCGAGAGACGAUGGUGCUAAAAAGCACCUUUCGUGAUUUUGUGAUUUUUUCUCAUGAAAAUAAUAUAGAAUAACUCCAGAGGACCUGAGCAAAUGAAUCCCUACAGCCCGUUGCAUUUUGUUUUCUAAAAUCAAGCCAAUAGACACUACUUUUAUUUUCAUCUUUCAUUCUUUGUUACCUAUAUUUCAACAACGGUUAAAAAAUUCACGCCAAAUUUUCAAAACUAAAAAGAGUAGCUUUCAAUGGUUUUGCUCUUGAAAAUUAGCAAGAAAGAUGCAAAUCUAUGUAUGACAUUGAGAUGUAAUAGACAUAAUUUCAAAAACAAAAACAAAAAGGGAAAGGGUUAUCCAACUGGCCUUUCUUAAUAGAACAUUUUGUAAUGUUAAGUUAAUGAUCAACAGGUGGGGUGACAUCGAUGAAUCCGUUCCUUAAAAAAUUCUUUCCAACGGUGUACAGAAACAAGAUGCGUGCACACGAAAACAAUUACUGCAAGUACAAUAAUCAAGGGCUUGCAGCAUUUACCUCAUCCCUAUAUCUUGCUGGACUAGUUUCCUCAUUGGUGGCCUCCCCCAUCACCAGGAACUAUGGGCGCCGUGCAAGUAUAGUCUGCGGUGGAAUUAGCUUUCUUGUUGGGGCAACUUUAAAUGCAGCCGCCGUCAAUAUUGAAAUGCUCAUCCUAGGAAGAAUAAUGCUUGGUGUAGGCAUUGGCUUUGGGAAUCAGGUAUACUUCCUGCACUUGAUAAUGAAGAGAAUGGACUGCCUCGGACGUGCUUCAACACCUUCAUUUGCUUGUCUAGAUUUUAAAAAAACAAAAACGAAACCUUUCAUUGAUAUAAUGAAAAGAGUCUUAUGCUUAAAAUACAAUACACAAUCAUCAAAAUUUAAAUGCACAUAAUCGAAAUAUUAGAUGCUAUGACUAGAUAGAAACUCAUUUUCACCUCAAUUCCUCCUAAUGCGUUAAUGCUUAUUUGUUAUUGAAGGCAGUUCCACUCUACUUAUCAGAGAUGGCACCAACUCAUCUUCGAGGAGGCCUGAACAUGAUGUUUCAGUUGGCAACUACUCUUGGGAUCUUCACGGCAAACAUGAUCAAUUAUGGUACACAGAAGAUUGAUCCAUGGGGAUGGAGGCUCUCCUUGGGUUUGGCUGCAUUUCCAGCUUUGUUGAUGACAGUGGGAGGCUUACUUCUACCUGAGACACCCAACAGUUUAAUGGAGAGAGGAGCAAAAGAAAAAGGAAGAAAAACCUUAGAGAAAAUUAGAGGAACAAACGAUGUGAAUGCAGAGUAUGAAGACAUCCAAGAAGCAAGUGAAUUUGCUAAUUCUAUCAAACAUCCUUUUAGAAACAUCUUUCAAAAGAGAAACAGACCACAGUUGGUAAUGGCAUUCUUCAUGCCAACGUUUCAGAUUCUCACAGGCAUAAAUUCAAUCCUAUUUUAUGCUCCAGUAUUGUUUCAGAGCAUGGGGUUUGGAGGAGAUGCAGCUCUCUACUCCUCAGCUCUAACAGGAGCAGUUCUAGCAUCUUCAACUCUGAUUUCAAUAGCAACCGUCGAUAGAUUAGGCCGAAGAGUACUACUAAUCUCAGGUGGAAUACAAAUGAUAACAUGUCAGGCAAGAUUUCAUCAUACUUUUCUUUAUCAUACUUAACUGACUAAUCAAAAAAUCAAAUAGCCCUUAUUCUUACUAAUGCAAACAACAGAAAUGGGUUGACAAAUGAGAGAUUCUUAACUUAAACAUGAAUAGAAAAAGACAGAAAUCCAUAAGAAGUCAUGAAAAACAGUCCAAAUCUGCUGAUUAUUGACUUUUCUUUUCAACAAGCAGGUGGUGGUCGCCAUUAUCCUGGGGGUAAAAUUUGGAAACAAUGAAGAACUAUCAAAAGGGUUUUCGAUUUUGGUGGUGAUAGUGAUUUGUCUAUUCGUUUUAGCCUUUGGAUGGUCAUGGGGGCCACUGGGUUGGACAAUACCGAGCGAGAUAUUCCCGUUAGAAACAAGAUCAGCGGGACAAAGCAUCACAGUGGCAGUGAAUCUUCUUUUCACAUUUGUAAUUGCACAGUCGUUUCUCUCAUUGCUAUGCGCAUUGAAGUACGGAAUAUUUCUGUUCUUCGCCGGCUGGAUCAUUGUGAUGACGGUGUUCGUUUAUAUAUUCUUGCCGGAAACCAAAGGAGUUCCCAUUGAAGAGAUGAUACUAAUGUGGAGAAAGCAUUGGUUUUGGAAGAACGUUAUGCCUUCAAAUGUCGACAAUGAUCAAAGUAAUGCUAAUGCUAUCUAAUUCUUUUUCAACCUUCUCAAAUCAUCAAUGAUCAGUUUGCAAUUAUGCUAAAUUUGCAAGGGCAGAAGAUUUAAAAAAAAUCAUCGUGAAAAUUAUUAUAAUGUUUAAAUUCUGACGAAAACAUUGAUGUGUUACUUUGUGAAUUGUCAAUAUAAAUGUGAUAGAAUGUUGAUAUAGUUAACAAAAACGUUCCUAAUAAAUAAGUUUAGAUCAGCAAAUAAAUAUUUUAUGAGCCUAACUCCUCGCACACCUUGUCGCUUCGACUGUUGGACAUUUGCUGGCCCCUCAUUGCGUUUUUCUUAAAGCAGAAUCAUUGCCUCUAAUCUCUCUACAACUUCAUUAACUGUUUUCUCAAAUCUCUGCACUGAACCUUCAACAUACUGCAAGCACCAUGAAGAAGUCUUUGGAGAGAGGAUGAGGGUUGUCUCGGCCUCUUGCUCUUGAUCGUUCGGGCCAUUUCCCCACCUGAUCUACUGGUCGAAGAAUGGCCAUUGGUCUCAAGAAUUACCAAAUGGUAUUAACCACUAGGAAGAAUUAGUUGAAUGAAAGGUAGAUACUUCAAGUCACUACUUCUAUAUUUCUAAAAAUUAUUCGUGUGAAGUACAUCAUUUGUGUUUAAUUCCAUGCAGAAACAAAUUUAAAGGUAAAAUGUCAUUUUGAUUAUUAAUUUUUUUAAUACAACAUUGAAAAUAAGACAAUUCAAACCACAAACUUCAUAGUUAUCAGUACACAUAUGUCAAUAGAAAAUGUCAUUUUGAUUUUUAAUUUUUUUAAUACAACAUUGAAAAUAGAACAAUUCAAACCACAAACUUCGUAGUUAUUAGUACACGCAUAUGUCAAUAGAAUUUAGUUCACAGCAAGAUCACAAUAAGUUGAUAAGUGGUAAGAGUUGCUAGUACCACUAACCACAAACUCAGUGAAUGAUUUCUAAAGUUAUUAAAAGUUUGUUGUUGAUAUAAAAUAAAAAAGUGUGACCAUUUGUUGAUGCAAACAUAUUGUCACGUGGUUAUUUUAAUCACAGAACCAACGUGCGGCACAAAGGUGUUGGGGUUGCACCAAUGUAAGCCUAAGAGUAAUUGGACUUGUUGGAACAACUAAGGAAGAAGGAAAUUCGUAGGUAAGAAGUAGGCAAAGAGUUGUAGACAAGGUGUUUGAUAAAAUGCUUAAGAGAGCUUUGUUGAUGAAUUCCCAAGGAUUCUGUGUUGUUUUUACAAAUGGACCCCUUUGGGGUAUUUAUAGAAGUAUACAAUCUAUUUACCAAGCACUAAACCGCCUUACAAGGUCGGCAAAAGCAAUCUGGAACAUUCCCGAGCGCUCAUGACACUGUCCAGAAGCUUCUGGAAGCGUCUGGGGCCGUCUGGGGCCGUCUGGCGCCGUCUGCGCGCGCGCGCGCGCGCGUCUGCGUGCGUCUGUCGCGCGCCGCGCGCCUUCGCGCGUGUUCGCGAGCCUUCCUGGCCGCUCGCGAUUCUUCUGGAACCUUCGAGAGGUUCCCGGAUGCUUCUCCGCGCGCUCCGUGCGCUCCGUGUCCGCUUCCCGCGCGCGCUACACUAGCGCGCGCGUCCGACUGGCCUUGCGCGCGCGUCCGACUGGCCUUGCGCGCGCGUCCAUGCCGCGCGCGCCCAUCUGCCGUGCGCGUCCGCUUGUCUGCCUGCCGCCCUUGCGCGCGCGCGCGCCCAUGUCAUGACAGGGCCGCGCGCGCCAAUCUCCUGCACAUUGGCGUGUCAUAGGCUUGGCGUGAACUUGCUCCUCUUCCUUGGGUCUUUGGACUGCUUGGGACUUGGUUGGCUCCUCUUGGGCAAUGCUAAGGAGCCUUAAUUUGCGAAAAAUCUGUUGGGUCAUUUUUGGGGCGUGACACCCUCCCCCACUCGAUUUCGCAACGUCCCCGUUGCGCUUUCUUGAAAUCUCCUGAUUUCAUCUUGAAAUUGCCAUAGGGUGUCCUCCUUUUCCCAACUUGCUUCGCUUUCGGGUAGUCCUUCCCAAGCAAUUAAAUAUUCGUUAUAACUGGGAACUCCUCUCCUUCGUAUCUUCCUCUCCGCUAAGAUCUCCUUGAUUUUCCUGUCGAACUCUGAGAUCAUGCCGGUAGGUGCACGAGAGGACUCACCUCUGCUUGGAUCCUCCUUGUCUUCAUAGAAAGGCUUCAACAUGCUCACAUGGAAGACAUUAUGGAUUUUCAGUCUGGGAGGAAGUUCCAAUCGGUAAGCUGCUUUGCCCACUUUCUCUAUGAUAGAGAAGGGUCCUUCGUAUCUUCGGAUUAGGCCUUUAUGUACCUUGCGUAGGGAUUUAAAUUGGUUAGGUAGCAGCUUUACCAUUACUUUUUCCCCUACUUGGUACUCUCUAGCCCUCCUUUUCCGGUCCGCCCACUUUUUCAUUUUAGUGGCGGCCUUCGCCAGGCAUGCCCUUGAUAUAUCACAUUCUUCGUGCCAUUCCUUCGCAAACUUGUAUGCCGUUGGAUUGGGUCCUUCAUAUGGAAUAAUCAGGGCACUAGGAGUGUUGGGUUGUUGAUUCAUGACUAUUUCAAAGGGGCUCUUUCCGGUAGCCUCACUCCUUUGAAGGUUAUAAGAAAAUUGGGCUAUAUCGAUGAGAGUUGCCCAAUUCUUUUGGUGUGCACUGACAUAAUGCCUUAGGUAGUGCUCCAGUAAGGCAUUUACUCGUUCCGUUUGGCCGUCGCUCUGGGGAUGGAAACUAGUAGAGAAGUUUAGUUCUGUCCCCACAAGUUUAAAGAGUUCUCGCCAAAACUUGCCUGUGAAGCGGGGGUCUCGAUCGCUGAUGAUGCUUUUAGGUACUCCCCAUAACUUCACAACAUUUUUGAAGAACAGCCUAGCUGCUUCAUCGACUUUCACAUCUGGUGAGCAUGGAAUAAACGUUGCAUACUUGCUGAAUCUAUCCACUACCACCAUGAUGCUUCCAAACCCUUGGGACUUAGGUAAGGCUACAAUGAAGUCCAUUGUAACACUAUCCCAAGGUUUUUCCGCUAUAGGCAAGGGUUCAAGUAACCCUGCUGGGAGUUGCUGUUCCCCCUUGUCUUGUUGACAUACUAGACAAGUCUUGACAUAGGCUUCAAUAUCGUCUUGCAUUUUCGGCCAGUAAUAUUUGUCAUGAAUAAGGGCAAGGGUUCGAUUCAUACCUGGGUGUCCGGCCCAUAAAGAAUCGUGACACUCCUUUAAAAUAUCCUUCCGUAAGGAUCCCCAUCGUGGCACGAACAACCGAUUUCCAAUUGUAAGGAGGGUACCAUCGCUCUCCCAAAAGCGUCUGGUUUUACCUUCCUUGGCCAACUUUAAUAAGUUCUUGGCUGUUGCAUCAUUCUUCAUCCCUUCCUUGAUUUUGUCAAGGAAGUCACUCCUGGGCAUGCUGGUGGUUAUAGCAGCCAGUUUUGCCUUCUGGCUUACGACGUUAUUGACUGCAUCGGCGUUUCCUGACUUUGCCUCGAGCAUAACGUCCUUGUGUUCUGUUGGGACUGUUGGUUUAGAAUUUGUCUCUCUCGACGGUACUGUUUGAUGUUGGGUUUCGGCGACUCCCUCCUUAUUUAGCAUGGCUGACAAUCUGAUUGUUGGUUUUCCCUUCUUUAGUGGGAUGGUCGUUAUUUGACCAUCCACUAUCGUCAGGGUACAUCCGGAGGAGUCAACGAUAGCAAUUACUCUAUCGAAGAACCCUAAGCCAAGCACAAUAUCAAAGUCAUCCAUAGGUAGCACGGUGAAGUCGAGCUUACCUUGCCAAUCACCGAUCUUGACUGUUACACCUCUUGCUACACCUUUGAUGGCUUGUGCUUCCGAGUUUACCGCCUUGACAGUCCCCUCUUCGUUUGUGAACUUGAGGCCUAUUCUCUUAGCCUCAUUCACGUUCAUGAAGUUAUGACUCGCACCGGUGUCAAACAUGGCAAUAGCCUCUCUCCCGUUUAUCUUUACAUUUCCAUGGAGUAGGCCUCCUUUAGUUGUUUGAUUGGCCUGUUUCAGAGCUCCAAUGUGUUGCAAGGAACCAAUCUGUGGUGUAUCAUCUCCUUGCUUGGACUCGAGCAAUUUGGCAACAAGUGCAUUCAUUGCUUUUCUAUUCGGACAGUCUCUUGUCCGAUGAGGGCCAUUACAAACAAAACAGGGAGAAGGUUUGGACGACUCACCUUGUUGAGUUUUGUGAUACUUGCCAUGUCUUUGGAAUGCCUUCUUUCCCUUUUCCUUUUGCUCGGAGUCUCUAUGCUUGUAGUGAUUGCCUUCACGUUUACUUGGGCUAGGUUUUCUCUCCUUUGAUUGGGUUGUAUAAUCGAUAAGCAUCUCAGCUGCGGCUAUAGCGUCGUCCAAUGUUUGGACAUUGCGACGGUCUAGCUCAACCUUGGCCCAAUCUUUCAAUCCAUCUCUAAAUUGGAAUAGGGCUUCCUUCUCGGGCAGAUCACUAAUUUCAAGCAUAAUAGUGGUAAAUUCCUUCACAUAGUCGAGAAUGUUACCUGUGUGUCGUAGCCUUCGAAGUUUGGCUCUUGACUCCAUUUCAGCAUUGUGGGGAACGAAGUGCUUUCUUAGCUCGGCCUUGAAUUGUUCCCACGUCUGGAUGGCAUUCCCAUUUUGGUCAGCGUAUCUUCGACGCCACCAAAGUUGUGCGGCAUCCCUUAGGAAUGUCGGGGCAUUGUUUAUCUUGGCCUCAUCAUCUCGAACACCGACAGCUACAUAGUAUCGGUCAAGGCCAAAGAGGAAGUUUUCCACGACCGUGGCAUUCCUCACCCCAUUGUAUGUGUCAGGUUUCGGCACUUUUAUGUGAGUAGUGCCUUGCACAGCGGCGUGUGUACUGGUGGAUGGACCGUCUCCACCAAAGUGCUUGGAACGACAUUCCAUGCAAAGAGUAUCUACCUUUGCAUCUAGGGAAAUAUACUUAGAAUAGAGUUCGCGUAACUCACCUUCAACAAAUGUCUUCAAAGUGGUUACGGUUGAUGACAACUCCUUCAAAUCCUUUUGGAAUGUUUUUCCAAGGUCGGCCACGAGCUCCUUGGUUGCUGCGGAGAUUUCCACAUUCUCCUGAAUAAGCUCUUCGUAGUUAUCACCCAACUCUUCUACCGUGUGCUGGACAUCCUCGAGACUUUGCUCAAGGUUGGCAAGGCGAGUUUCGACAUGCUCCCUUGCAUCCGGACCCUUAGAUUUCGAUCGUCGGGUCGGGGAUCGUCGGUCCUUCCUACCUCGUGUGAUAGGUCCUUCAAGAACCUGUUCAGCUUGGGCUGAAAUGUGGCCUUCUUCGCUGGACAUCUUGUUCACAAGUCAACUGGGAUUAAGUGGGUGUAGAAACUGUGUUUCGUUACUUUGACAACGUUUCAAGAACUAGAGUCUUGAAUCUUGGUCUCUCGGUAUCGUGCACUUGAUAGCAACGAUCAAGAGUAUGUCCCUUUGAACGAACCUGGCUCUGAUACCACCUGUCACGUGGUUAUUUUAAUCACAGAACCAACGUGCGGCACAAAGGUGUUGGGGUUGCACCAAUGUAAGCCUAAGAGUAAUUGGACUUGUUGGAACAAACUAAGGAAGAAGGAAAUUCGUAGGUAAGAAGUAGGCAAAGAGUUGUAGACAAGGUGUUUGAUAAAAUGCUUAAGAGAGCUUUGUUGAUGAAUUCCCAAGGAUUCUGUGUUGUUUUUACAAAUGGACCCCUUUGGGGUAUUUAUAGAAGUAUACAAUCUAUUUACAAGCACUAAACCGCCUUACAAGGUCGGCAAAAGCAAUCUGGAACAUUCCCGAGCGCUCAUGACACUGUCCAGAAGCUUCUGGAAGCGUCUGGGGCCGUCUGGGGCCGUCUGGCGCCGUCUGGCGCCGCGCGGCUGCGGCGCGCGUCUGCGUGCGUCUGUCUGGCGCGCGCGCGCCUUCGCGCGUGUUCGCGAGCCUUCCUGGCCGCUCGCGAUUCUUCUGGAACCUUCGAGAGGUUCCCGGAUGCUUCUCCGCGCGCUCCGUGCGCUCCGUGUCCGCUUCCCGCGCGCGCUACACUAGCGCGCGCGUCCGACUGGCCUUGCGCGCGCGUCCGACUGGCCUUGCGCGCGCGUCCGACUGGCCUUGCGCGCGCGUCCAUGCCGCGCGCGCCCAUCUGCCGUGCGCGUCCGCUUGUCUGCCUGCCGCCCUUGCGCGCGCUGCGCGCCCAUGUCAUGACAGGGCCGCGCGCGCCAAUCUCCUGCACAUUAGCGUGUCAUAGGCUUGGCGUGAACUUGCUCCUCUUCCUUGGGUCUUUGGACUGCUUGGGACUUGGUUGGCUCCUCUUGGGCAAUGCUAAGGAGCCUUAAUUUGCGAAAAAUCUGUUGGGUCAUUUUUGGGGCGUGACAAUAUACAUACAUAUUCCAUUAACAUUAAUUUGUGGAUGAUUUUGCAUAGGACUUCUAAACUUUUAUACUAUUGUAAAUUAAAUGAAAAACCUUCCUAUGCGUCUUUUUUCGAAAUAACUUUAAGAAAUACUUUCAAAAUCUACAAGUAUAGUUAAAACCUACCGAAAUAAUAUUUAUAAACAUAUUUGUACAAUUUGAUCUAUAGUAUUGGUCCAUAAGGCAUCCUUUUUAGGUAGAAUGGUAGAAAUGAAGAUUAACCUUUGCAACCAGUUUCAUAAAUUGACCUAAAAUUUUGGUUUCUCAAAACAAUUUUUUUUAUAACUCUUCAAAAUUUUGAGGUACAUUCCUUUUUCUCACCCAACCACCCCUCUCAACUCUUUCACACUUAUUGGGUUCUUUCACUAUCCUCCCUUCUCUAUAUUUUGUCUACCGAUAGUAGCAACUACCAACAAGUGUAGUUUCCUUUCUUCCUCCAGCAACAUACAAUGGUUGACACAUUGAUUUUUUUUACAUGUCAAACAGACUAAGUAAAAGGACCCUGGCAAUAAAGUGAGCUAAAACAAAACCAAGAACCAUAAAAGAAAGAAAAGAAAGCUACGGUGAUACUAAUUCGAAUUAUUUAACUCAACCCAAUAUCUGGGAUAAAAUUUGAACCUACGACUUUUUGAAACACUACUAUAUAUAUAUAUAGCAAACACGUCCAACCUAGGUUUACUUAGUUACGAUCCACGAGGAUUAGUCUAUCAAAACAAGCAUGAUCCAACUUAUCAUAUAACUUCGUUCAUACCCUACAUAAAACGUCGAUUUACCCAUACAAAUCUUUUUUUUUUUUUCCUUUUCAUUUAAGCCAAAGGAAAAACUAAUAAAUUAUUGUAUUAAAAAAAAUGGUGUUCUUAAAUAAUUUUCGAGUGAUUUAUAUAGCAGAUUGCUGCGGAUGGAAGAUUAUUUCUUAACUCAAAAUGGAAGAUUAUUUGCAAUUAACGAAAGGGGAAAGCCAAUAAUGAUACACAUGGUGAUGAUAACAAAAGCAAUUAAAAAACAUACAGUGCUGGUUCGAAUGAAUAAAGAUGAAACGAUUCCUUCUAAAUUAUUAUAUACAAGAAGAUGAUUCAGCGUCAAGUUCAUAUAUAAAAUGGCAAUUGAAGUUACAGUAAAGAACUUGAUAUGUUUUAGAACUUAGAAAGUGUUCUAUUCUAAGUUCUGCCAUCUCCAAUGAAGAGCAUCAACCACACCAUUGAAGCUAUCAAACUUAGAACUCACCAAAUCAACCUUAACGCCGAGUCUCUCAGCUCCAGCCGCUGUCACGGGCCCAUGCGCAGCCACUACCAUUUCCGGCCAUCUCCUUUUCAUCACAUCCCACUCCAAUCCCAAAUGCGCCAAGCUUUUAAGCAGCCCCUCCACUUCCCCAGUACUCGUAAACACAAUGGCAUCCAAUUUUUCAUCCUUCCCUCUCUCCACCAGCUUCCUCGCGCAAUCGGGUCCGGCCCAUCGGGUCUCGUAAGCAUCGACGCGAACCGGAACCCAACCUUUCGCCUCCAGGUCACGGAGGAAGUUUGGAACCACCGGGGGUUCGUUCAGUCCCACCACGCGAGGAACCGGACAUAAAACACUACGGUGGUUUCCAACUCCAAGAGCUUCCACUAAACCAGUUGGAGUUGCAAUUUCAGGUACCACAACUCUAAUUCGACUCGUGUUAUGGCAAAUUGUGGUAAGAAAUUCAUGGUCGAGAAGCUCAGAGUCCUUACCUAGGGCUGCGAUUAAGAAGGUAUCACCGUGGGACGGUAGCAAGGGCUCGCCAAUUUCAGUAGCAGCGUCGAGGAGGGCUGUAAUGCCGGAGCGGGACGUGAAGGCGACGGCGGAGAAGGAAUGCAGAAUGGGCGGAAGGAGAUGAGAUUUGAUGGCGAGAGGAGUGGGCUGGACGGUGAGGGUGGGACACCAGAGUGGUUCAAAGCCUUUGAGAGAGAGGAGGUGGGAGAGGCUGCCGGCAUAGUUUGGAGGCGUCGUGAACGCGGCCGUACGCGGAGAGAAGUGGGUGGGGAUGGCGGGAGAAGGAGAUGAAGUGAGUGAAUUGAGGUGAAAUGGGCCGUUGGGAUGCGCGGCGCCGGUGCUCAUUGGUGAUUUUUUGGAGUUCCCCCGUCACAGUUUUUCUUUUUCCUUCCAUCUUUAAAAAUAUAAUUUGGGCCAAAUUGAAAAAACUAUAGCAAUCUCAAGUAAAAAUUAGCCUAUUAGAUACUUUAGAUCCAUCGUUUUUUUAUUCAUUAAAAAAGUUCACUUUCAAAAGCUAUUUUGAUCCCUUACCACUUUGUUUUUUCUUUUAAGCUAUAUUGACAACUAAAUUUAAAAAUUUUAUGUCAAUAUGUGUGCUAUUAUACUCAAUAAAAAUGUAGGGUCUUGGUAAUUUUUACCCUUUACAAUUGAAUGAAAAUUUAAAAAAUUCACCUAUCUAAAUUUUUUUUUUAUUGAUUUUAAGUUAGAUUAAAUUAGUUUAAUUGUGUAACUUUGCUCCAACAUUAAAAAUGUUUUUGAGAUUUUUUUUUUUUUGUUUUUUAAUAAACAUAAUUGUUCAAAUAGAAGGUAGAAUUUUUGUAGGAGUGCACGUUGUAUGAAAACCUAUAUCCCUCACGUUUCUUUUCUUUUUUGACAAGAUAACAUAUCAAAUUUAUACGAAUUACUUUUUCAUUUCUAUUGUAUUUUCUAUAUUGCCAAAAUAUCAAACAUCAUACACGACCAAUUUUAACUUUAUCGAGCCAUUUUAAACAUAAAAUGUAUUUUAAUAUUUUGAAAUGAUACUUUAGCUAAAAUAAAGUUACAUUAACGAAAGUAUUUGCUAAGCUUGGAAGUGCAUAACCCUAAUUCUCACUUGGAUUUUGUUUUAUUGAUGUGUAUGUCAACACAUUUCAUUUUAGCUAAAAGACAACUCAUUUUUAUACUUUUAUCUUUUGUAUUUUUAAGCUAACAAUUGAAAAAAAAAACUAUCAAAAUUUCUAAUAAAUAAUUUAAUUUUCUUUUUUUGUUAGGUCUUGUAAAUAGUUGCAAUUUCUUUUUUCUAUUCAUAUGAUUUUUUUUUCUAUUAAGCCAGGAUUUUUUUUUUAAAUAAUGUCUUUUGGAAAAGUAUUUUCAAAAAUAGGGUAGUUGGGAAAGAAAUUAUAAGAAUAAGGUUGUUUCCCAAACUAUUUUCAAAAAUAGGUGUUUUUUUGAAAUUGAAGGAAGUCGUGUACGGGGUACACGACUUCGAAAUGAAAUUGAACGAAGUCGUGUACCCCGUACACGACUUCCUAAAUAUAUGUUUGUAAAAUUAUUAUAUUUUAAAAGAUUAAAAAAAUUAGUUUUUGUUUAAAUGGCCAAAUUUUUGGUAGUUUAUGUUUAUUAUGAACAAAUUAAAAAAAUAAACCAAAGUUAAACACAUCAUUAGUGAUAUCUUAUAAGAAUUUUGAACGUUUUUUUUAAUACUUGGUUCUCUACUUUUAAAAAAUAUAUAUUAUAUAUUGAUAUUAUUAAGAAUACUCCUACAUCUAAAGCAUAUAUUAGCAACUUCUAAUUUAUAAUUAAUUUAAAAAAGUUCAACUUUUUAUUUAUACAACUUGAAUAAGUUCUAGCAAAAUUUAAAAACACUUAAAUUAUACAACUUAAGAAGCUUCCCCAUCUCCCUCUACGACAUCAUCGCCUUGUCGUCGUCGUCGCCGUCGAAUGCGUCUACGAUCUGUGUCGGCAACAUUUAAACGUCGAGUCCGCUGAACAAGGCUGUCUAUAUCUGCCAUGACUUCGUCACACAUUGGACUAAAAAUUUCAAAAUUGUUUUCCAUGGAGACUCGACGUACGUCUUCAACAAAAUUAUUCUGAACGAUUGUAAAUAAUAUAAUUAAAAAAUGUUCAUGCUUGUAUUAAAUUUAUAAAUCAUAUUAAAACUAUUACCAUGCGAUAACAGUAAGCGCCAUCAGGUGUCAUGAAGCGUCGGGUAAUUUAUAAAUCAUAUUAAAACUUCCUACAUGCGCGACAUGUGUCCGCUCCCUCUGCACCCUACAUCCACCCGUGAACCCUACGGUUGACUGGACUGUUGACCGUUGACUCAUUGUACGGAAGUCGUGUACGGGGUACACGACUUCCACCAUACGCGACAAAAUGUGCCAGCUGUACGGGAGUCGUGUACCGGGUACACGACUCCAGUCAGAAAACGUGGGCCGGGUCCACGACUCCACUCGGAUAUCGUAAGCCCGGUCCACGACACCAAAUCGAUUUGUGGAAGUCGUGUACCCCGUACACGACUUCAGUCACCUAUUUUUGAAAAUACUUUCCCAACUACCCUAUUUUUUAAAAUACUUUCCCAAAAGACAUUAUUUUUAAAAAAAAUCCAUUAAGCCAUGCUUGUAAAGUUAACAAACAUUUUAAAUAAUUUUUUAACUUUAACAAUACUCUAAAAUUUAAAUAUGUCGUGGGGUAAGAUUCUUUCGAAUUAAAAUUCAUUCAUCUUUUCCAUGUCGAGGUUGAACCAUAG